AAAUGGGUAAUAUUGAUGUGCUUACCGGAAAGAAAGGAGAAAUUAGAAAACAAUGCAAUUUUAUUAACAAGAAAUCUUCUGAAUUGGAUCUUGGCAUUGUGGCCUCUGCAGAAUCAAUGGAAGGGGAUAUGGUUAGUUCAAUCUAAAUGAAUGUGGGUUACUUUAGAUGAAAUGUGGUGAUUGGAAUUCACUAAUAAAGAGAAGUGCUGGCUAAGCACAUUUGUGUCAUGAGGUAUACUGUAUUUUACGUGUUUUAUGUGUGUAAGAUAACCUUCUUUCAAUGUAAUUUUCAUUAUAAAAUCCUUUCUUUCUGUCACAAGCUCUUUCUGUGUUUUUUUUAACAACAAAGAGAAAAUUAUUAUAACAAAGAUGAAUAAGUACAACUACAAGUAGUACUAAAUGAAAAUUUAGAAAUGAAGUACAAAAUAUACUUCACUCUUAUAUUUUGAUAAAACCACUUAUGUACUUAAAUAUGAACUACAAUUAUUGAAAGUUGAAUUUUGAUGCCUAAAACUAAUUCUUGAUUUUUUUUUGACAAGAAAAAUAAUUCUUGAUUAUUGAAACAUUCAUUAGGUAUUAAGCAUUUUCAAUACAUUAUAACUACACCGCCAAAAUAAAAUACAUUAUGAAUGUUCAUAAGAUCCGUGCGGCGCACAGGUCAGCGAUCUAAUAGUAACUUCUAAAAACCAACAAGUUGAGAAGCAAAAUCAAAAUACCCUAAUCCAUAAAAUGAAAAUUUCACGAAGGUAGUGACAAACCUGAUAUUAAAUAACCUUGAUGGAAAAAAAAAAAUUGUUAUACACAACUAAUAGAUUAUUUAGGGCUAGCUGGUUAAAAUAGUAUAGGGAGGGGGUGAAAUAUACACAACUAAUAUAAUUGUACUUGUCUUAAGAGUCUAUUUAGACCCUCUAUUUCUUGCUACCCGGUAAUUGAGUCUAGUUAAUACAAAUGUUUAAUAUUACGAUAAAUUAACAAAAGAGUAAAGAACAAUGAAUCAAUGCGGUAUUAGUACCAAUCCUAAACUAAGAAAAUAUAUAAUUUCAAUGAGCCUUAAGACUCAACAAAAAGAAAGAAAGAAAGAAAGAAAAGAACAAAUAGCUACUGUCAAAUUGAGUAUGUGCAUAUUAUUUCAACAACUUCAUUAUCGAUAGAAAGCAAAACUAUAUUUUACAAUAUUUUUGGUAGUACCGUCAAAGAAGCAAUAUCUUUUGAAGUCUAACUUUAUAGAUCAGUCUGCCACCUAUUAUGUUAUCAGUAUAAAAAAGUUGAAAUAGCCUUGUAAUUGACACCAUAUUUUGUCCUCCUUAAUUCUUAGAAGAUUUAACAAAUAUAUUUUUUUUAAUCGGCAAAAAAACAAAAAUUAGCAUAAGAUAGUAUAAUCUACGUUCUAGUUAAAUAUAUAUGCAAUGUAUAAUUGACAAUAAAAUAAUUGAAUUAUGAAUUUUCACCUACGAAAAAUGACAUUUAAUGAUGGAUUUUGUUCGUAGGUACAAAUUUUUUUUCUUCCUUUUCUUUUUCUCUAACUUUUGAGGCCCUUUUAUGUUUGUGGCCCAGUGCCAAGGGCUUUGAUGCACACAGUCAAUCCAAAAAUUGGUGUGGUGCGGUAGUGGAGUGCCUAACAGCCGCUAUAUUUUGGUGGCACAACUGCAAAUACAUUUAAUACUAAAAUACCCCAAAUAUUAAAAUACCUUAAACAUUAUCAAAUGACUAACCUUCAAUGACCAACCUUGCGGAAACCCAAUGCAAAUGAUACUUUCAACCAUGAUAACCUUCAAGUUGGACAUGUGCAUAAUAAAUCAAUAUUGAAAAUAUUAAUGCACCAAAUUUAGUAAUAAUUAUGCAUAUUUCAAAAUUUAUUUUUAUUACUUCAACCAUUUUUCUUAGUAUCUGUGCAUUUUUGUAAAGCACUCGUAUAAAAUAUAAAAAUGGACAGAGGAUUAUUUGUUUAGAGAAGGCACGCCACAUGUAAAAUUGGAAGGAAAACAUUACUUUCAAUUAGAUUUUAUGAUCUAUUCCGGGAAAAAAAGUUUAAGAUGAAAAAGACAACAACUAUUUAUAUUAAAGCAGUUUUAUGACAGUUUACUUUCAAUAUUGUUUUCUAUUUUAAUUUUACUACAACUAAUAAAUAUAAGAGAAUAUUUAAUCGAAUAUACUCUUUACCAUUUUCUUUAACAAUUUUUUCAAGUUUAUCUUCCCAAUUUUAUUACAAUUGCCACAUGAAUCUUCCAACCCAUUGUUAAUAAUUUAAAAUGUUUAUCCAAAAGUGUUCAUAUGAGAUGACGCGUAUUUCUUCUAACUUAACUAAUAUACUGGUUCUAAUUCGAUAUUAGACAUACAACAACGUUAAAACUUUUAAGGAGAGUUUGUUACCAUUUCGUCAAACUUUAAAAUAAUUACUAUUAUAUAAGGUACAAAGUUUUUCCAAUAAAAAUUUCAAAAUAAAAAUCAUACAUGAACUUGUUUGGGAGGCUGCUGAAUCAAAGAGUAAGCCAAGUUGAAUAAAUUAAUAAGUGUGGAAGUGACAAACGAGAAAAGCCAAUGCUAAAAAUAAAAAAUGAGAGGGGGCAGAAAAAUAAAAUAUCUAUCUAUAUAUAGACUAAACACAACUUCGAAAUCACACACAAAUUAUAUAUAAUUUAAUGCAACACGUACCAUUUGUAGAAUAUAACAUCUGUCCAAAUUUUAUACAAUAAUAAUAAGGUCAUGUUGACUUGUGUUUUAAGGAUAUAAGUUAAGAAGUUAAAAAAGGAAUAAAUCAAUAAAUAAACAAGUUAAAAAGAUAAAAUUUAAAGCAUUUAAAAUUUUAUUUUUAUUUUUAGUUUCUUAACUUGUGCUUUUAGAGCACAAGUUAAUAUUCCCCUAUAAUAAUAGGAGUUAGUAAUAACAACUCCACAAAGAUUCUGUCAAACAAAACAACAGGGUAGUUAACAACGUAAAUGCCGGGAAAAUUAAGACUAUAGAACUAAUCCUGGUCGAGACACGUGAGCCCAUGUUCGGUUCAGCAAGACAUUUGACUAUUUUAUUUGACAAUAGUCAUGUGUUUUUGUUAGAGGACAAUAUAGUCAUAAUAAUACAUCAUUUUAAGGAGAUAUUGAUUUAUAUACUAAAACUUAUUUUCAUAUGUGUUCAAUUAAGUCAUGUAAAUAUUUUAAAAACUGAGCUAAAAAGAUGGCAUCAUGAUUUGAUUUGUAUAAAUGUACAUGUGUAAAAUAGAAUUACUAGGUUCUGUUUGGUUUGCAAAACAGUAAGUACUAAACAUAAUUGUACAAGACAGAACAACACAACACAAGACAGAACAAUAUAAGAAAAAUUUUUAUGGCAUUGAAUAAUUUUUCGUUUUAUACGAUUGUUAGCGGACGAAAUACUAUUUUGGAAUUUUAGACAACUUGUGCGUGGGACAAAAAGUUGUGAUGUGGUUUGGUGAGGAACAAAAAUAUGAUUUUUUGUCCUGUCCCUUGCCUCCAGUUUGUCCUGUAACUGAACAGUUUACAAAUCAAACAUUGGACAAUUGGAGUUGUUUUGUCCUGUCCUUCAUUUUUUAGCAAAUCAAACACACCCUCAAUGUAUAAAAGUUUCAAGUUAUUGAAGCGUACACAUAUAAAACUAUAUAUUGUAUAAUUAUUUUAAUAAUAUUAAUAAUGAUAAUAAAAAAAAUAGUUUUUUCUUUUCUACUUUUUUUAUUUGUGUGUGUGAAUGGAUUUUCGGUUGUUAUUACAUGACAUUGUAAUCGAUAUAUAGGGUUAAUGGUGUUUUACCCCCUGUAAUAUAGGUUAUUUUUUGUUUUUCCCCUGUAAAAUAUUUUUUUUUAUUUACCCCCUGUAAAAUAUUUUUUUUUUUAAAUACCCCCUAAUAGGUCAUAAAAAAACGACUUUAUUUUUUUUCCAGAAUUUUUUCGCUUUUUUAUGACCUAUUAAGGGGGUAUUCCAAAAAAUAUAUAUUUUACAGGGGGUAAAUCAAAAAAAAUAUUUUACAGAAGGAAAAACUAAAAAUGACCUAUAUUACAGAGGGGUAAAACACCAUUAACCCUAGAUAUGUACCUUCUUAUUGUAAAUAAGGCAAGACCGUUUUAAUGCGUAAAACUGAAUUUAAAAUUUAAAUCACCCACUCUGAAUUAUUUUAAAGACCUUUAAUCAAUGAUAUGAGAUAAACUCCGAAACUAUAUGUGAAAAUGCUAAAACAGGGAAAUAGAGGAUAACCAUGUGUAGACUAAAUAACUUAAAUUUAGAGUGUGACUACACAAACAUUGACCUCGGUGUAAAUACAAUCUAAGCAAUAGUUAUUGGAUUUUACGGGGUCCACACAAUACAACAUCAUUGACCAAAACACCAAUACUCCUUUGUUUUAGUUUUGUACACUUCAUCAUCAAGAAAUAAAGUGUGAUGGCGGUUGAGAUACGACCGUCAGAGUGGUGAUCGAUGGUGAUCAGAGUGGUGAUCGCAAUGAUGAAUAGAAUAGUAAUCUGAUGAUAGUUGGAAUGGUGACAGUGGUAGUCAAAGUGAUAGUCAAUGGUGAUCAGACUUGUAAUUUGAAGUUGAUUAAACGGUAGUUGGUGGCGGUUAGAGUGGUAAUCAUAAUGGUUAAUCAUGUGGUAGUGAAAUUGGAGAUUGAGAGUGGUUGAAGUGGUGGUCGGAAGUGCUCGAAGUGAUGGUUGGUGGUGAUCAAACUGGUGUUUGGCAGUGAUUAGAGUAGUUGUCGGAAACCAUUAGCGGUCACCCAUGUUAGACUCCAAAUAAAAAUGAAAAUUAUAACAUUUAUUUUUAUUUUUAUUAUUUUGAUAUUUAAGUGAAAUUAGGACUGGCCCUGGCCAAUUGCAACCAACCCUGCAACCAACCCGGCACAUGGCCUCACACUUAGAGGAGUCUCAAAAUGUUUAGAAAAAAAAAAUGUACCUACGGAUAAAAUCCGUCACUAAAUGUCAUUUUUUUCGUAGCUAAAAGUUUGGAAGACAACAAUUUUGCUGUGAAUUAUGAAUUGUACAUAAGUAAAGGUCUAUUUAUCCGUAGGUAAAAGUUUGGAAGACAACAAUUUUCCUGUCAAUUUUAAAUUGCCAUAAGUAAAUGUCUAUUUAUCUGUAGGUAAAAGUCAUGUUUGAACUAUUCCUUAUAUAUUUAAUAAUAAUUUGAUUGUUUAUCACCAUCAAUAGUGUUGGAUUUUUUUUCAAUUCUUAUAAAAUAAAAAUUGUCAAGUUUAUGACCGGACCUUCGAAUUGUCGGAACAGUCCUAAGUGAAAAUAUUUUCAAAUAAAGUAAGAAAUUAUUUUAACAUCAUUUUACACGAACGUGUUUGUUUUUCAAUUUAACUUUUAAAAUAAAAACUUACGACCAUCAUGAAUGGUCCCUAAUGUUUUACAAUGGAGAGAUACAAAAACGUUUUGUUAUCACCGAAGAGUUAAACUCUGUUUGUAAAAAAAACAAAAAACUCUUUUUGUCAAAGCCAAUUUUCGAAUUUAACAAAUACUUUAUAAAUUUAUAUGACCAAAAUAGACUUGUCUGUUAAUUAGUUUUUUUUAACGAGCCAAAGUCAUUUUUUACUAGGUUACAAAGUUGUUUGAUACACUUCUUCAAGUAGCAUUUGAACUUAUAAUUAAAAAGGUAAUUGUUUCAUAAAACCAUAUUUUUAUAUCAUUUGAUAUUUAUUUAGUUUAACCGUUAACUUUACCGUAUGAUAUAUGAUAUGUAUAAAUUCAAUCUACUACAUUAUUAGCCAUAUGCUAAUUCGCUAUCUGACUACCAAGCAUUUUUUUUUUUUAUCACUUUAUAGAUAAUUUGAAUGGAUAUUUAAAGUUACUUUGUUCAAUUAAUUUCUUUCGACUGCAACACUAUACAUAUACAACAGUAUAUGCUUUGAAAUCCUAAUCACUAAAGUCAUAAAAGAAAAAGUAGAUAAAUUUAGAGGGUUUGAAUUCAGAGUACUAUAAUAAUUAAGUGACGACAAUUUUCACUGGCCAGUAACACACAUCACCUUAAAUUGGUAUAUAUAAUAAUGCGAUUUAUAUAUUAUAUUUUUGAAGACUUGACAAAGUUUUCAGAUCAGAAAAAUAAUUACUAAAUUUACAAGUGUAUCUUAAAUAUUGAUGUAUAUUCUUAUGAAAUGUCACUCAUGGCAACCACAAGCCACCACCUAUAGUCAUGUUAUGGCCUAUAAAUAAAGGCACAUUUUCUUCCUAGCAAAGCACAUCAACUUCAAACACAUAGCUCUAAAAAUGAAUUCCCUUAGUCUCAUAGCAACAGCUCUAUGCUGUGUAGUUGUUGUGUUUGGAGGACUACCCUUCUCUUCAAAUGCACAGCUUAGUCCAGACUUUUACGCCAAAACAUGUCCCCAAUUGCAAUCUAUUGUGUUUCAAAUCUUAGAGAAGGUUUCUAAGACUGAUUCUCGAAUGCCUGCGAGUAUCAUUAGGCUUCACUUUCAUGAUUGUUUCGUUCAAGUAUGUAUACCUAUUAUUAUUCAGUCUUAGAAACCAAGUUAUUGUUUUUCACUUUGUGUUUAUGAUAAUGAAAAAUAAUCAGUAGUUCAUAGAGUUAACAUUUUCUCCUUAAUUUAAGCAAAAUGACUUAAUAUGACGAUUUAUGAUUGAAUCAGGGUUGUGAUGCAUCAGUUUUGUUGAAUAAAACUUCUACUAUUGCGAGUGAACAAGAUGCUGGUCCAAAUAUAAACUCCUUAAGAAGAUUGGAUGUUAUCAAUCAGAUUAAAACUGAGGUGGAAAAAGUUUGUCCUAAUAAAGUUUCUUGUGCUGAUAUUCUCACACUUGCAGCUGGAGUAUCUUCAGUUCUGGUAAAUAUGUUAAAACCCAAUUAUGUUUUAGUAAUUUUACAUAAUAUCAUAAUAACAUAAUAAUGGUUGAAUCAACUUCUUUUAUUUAUUUAUUUAUUGUAUUCACAGAGUGGGGGUCCAGGUUGGAUCGUUCCAUUGGGAAGAAGGGAUAGUCUAACAGCAAAUCAAUCCCUUGCCAAUAGAAAUCUUCCAGGUCCCAGCUCCAGUCUAGAUCAACUUAAAUCUUCCUUUGCUGCUCAAGGACUCAACACGGUUGAUCUAGUAGCACUCUCAGGUAUGCAAAUACAUGCACCAUUUCCUAAAUAAUAAUAAUAAUAUAAUUUUCUAUCAAACCAUGAUAUUUAGAUAAGAUGAUAUGAGCCUCCUUAAUUUUAAAUUUGAAUUUAAUCAUGUACCAUAGUGAUAUUAAAAUUUAUCGCGACUUUAGAUUUCACAUGACUCGGAUAAAAAAAAAAAAAAAAAAGGACAAACUGCAUCCAUUAACACUCAAAUAAGUAUUUUUAAAAGUAAUUAAAUCUUGAUGAGGAAUUGUUUGAACUAGGAUUCAAACUCGAAUUCUUCCAAAAAAAAUGUGUAUCUUACUAGAUCUUAUUAAUCCCUAGAGCUAUAUAGCACAUGAUGUAGGAGUAUAUGAUUUACUUGAAUGGUUCAAUUUCAGGUGCCCAUACAUUAGGAAGAGCACGUUGUCUUUUCAUACUUGAUCGAUUAUACGACUUCGACAAUACUGGCAAACCUGAUCCAACUCUUGACCCAACAUACUUAAAACAGUUGCAAAAACAAUGUCCUCAAAAUGGACCUGGAAAUAACGUUGUCAAUUUUGAUCCAACAACUCCCGAUAAAUUCGACAAGAACUACUACAACAAUCUUCAAGGUAAAAAGGGUUUGCUUCAAAGUGACCAAGAAUUGUUCUCAACACCGGGUGCAGAUACCAUUAGCAUUGUCAACAACUUUGGAAACAACCAAAAUGUUUUCUUCCAGAACUUUAUAAAUUCAAUGAUUAAAAUGGGUAAUAUUGGCGUGCUUACUGGAAAGAAAGGAGAAAUUAGAAAGCAGUGCAAUUUUGUUAACAAGAAAUCUUCUGAAUUGGAUCUUGCUAGUGUGACCUCAGAAUCAAUGGAGGGGGAUAUGGUUAGUUCAAUCUAAAUGAAUGUGGGUUACUUUAGUUGAAAUGCAUGUGGUGAUUGGAAUUCACUAAUAAAGAAAAGUGCUAGCUAGGCACAUCUGUGCCUUGAUGUGUAUGUUAUGUGCUUUAUGUGUGCAAGAUAAUCUUUUUUUUUUCUAAGUAAUUUUCAUUAUAUUAUAGUAUAUCCUCUCUUUCCGUCACAAGUUAUGUCUUUGUUUUUUUCAACAUUUCCCAUUAUUAGAUGAUCAUCCUCUUGCAUCCAUAGGGUUGAAUUAGGUUCACUUGCAUAAUCAAUUAACACUCGGCCUACAUAACAAUCCAUUACAAACUCAACAUGACAGUACACUUAAUAUAAAUAUCAAGAAUGCAUUGUGGAGAGCAAAAGUGAAUGGAACACAAUCUAUAGCACACAUGAUUCAACAAAAUAACUUAACUUUCCAACAUUACCUAAUAUAUAUAUAAAUUAUUUUGGAACAGACACAUCAUAUAAAUAUGUGUAAAACAACAACACAAGGAAGUUACUCAAAGUUUACUUUUAAACAAGAUUUAAGUAUGCAUUUGUUGAAUUCAUUAUAUUUUACCUUUUAUGUAAAUAUUUACCCAAUUGCAUUAAUAGAAAUCAGUUCCCAAAUUGUUCAGUUAAUUAAGUUCAAAAGCAAUUAUGAAAUCAAAAUGGGAUUGAAUCAACAAAAAACUAAAACUUAACAAUUAAACUAGAAUCAACAAAAACUAAAACUCACAAAAUAUACGAAAAAUGAGUAGAAUAUAACCUAGAUGGGAUUGCAACUAAUCAGCCUUUUCCAAUGGUUCCACUCUAGCUUCAUCGGAAACAUAUACCCAACCCAUUGCGGCUGUCUACGUCAUUACCUGAAAUAGUGUGAGUUGAGUGACUGGUUGGGCUUUUGUGCUUGCUUCCCACACUUGACUUCCUAGUUCAUCAGAUGUUAUCUUUUCCUUGAUCAUGUCAACAAAAGAUUUACAACCUUAGUGAUGAUGUAAAUAACUUCCAAAAACAAGUUUUCUCCAGAAACAUCAAUCAAAGAAAAAGAAUGACUCUGAUCAUCAAGGAAAAGAUCAACAUCUGACGAACUAGGAGAGUCAAGUGUGGGGGAAGCAUGCACGGAAGCACCACCAGUCAAUCAAGUCGCACUAUUUUAGCUAAUGACAAUCAUGAUGGUUUCCAAACUGAAAAAGAAUGAUGAGAAGCAAUGACAUUGGCGAGGAAGAAGAUCGGGCUGAAUGAAAUAGCCUUGUAAUUUUCUCUCUUUUAUAAUACUUGAUUUUGUUUUGUUUGUUUGUAACAAUACAUGCCUUUUAAUAAAGUUUGUCUUCCUAUAUAGAAGACCGGAGUUUUUGCCCAACUAUGGAUGAUAUAUGGUAACAUUUCAGAUUUCAUUUAUAAUGAAUGGCAACACAUACCUCCUUGCAUUGAGUAGGGGUAACAUUUUCUGCUAAAUAUUUAUGCUCAUUAAAGACAAGUUUUCCAUGAUGGACUUUUUCAUCACUACUUGCAUCUCUAUAUGGGCUAAAUGUACUGCUUUCGAUGCUCAAAAAAAUAAAAUAAAAAUUACCGUCUUCAUCCCUAAUUAUAAAACCCUUUUGAAAAAAAAAAUUAUUUUUUUAUAAGACCAUUUUAGUAUUUCCAAAAUACAUUAGUUAAUUCUUUACCAACAUACACUUAUUUAUUUUACAUCUUUUUAUUCAAUCAACAUUAAAUGUUAUGUUGAAAACAUACACCAACUCUCCCUCUUAAAUGAUAAAAUUGUAAAAACAGUAGUAAUUACAAACAAAUUUAGGGCCCUAUAAUUAUGGACAGAGGUAGUUUUAAAUUUGACUUUUGAAUGUGUGUAAAUAUUAUCAAAUUGUCCUUUGUUUAAAUGUAUUAAAUUUGACUUUUUAUAUUUCAAGACAAAGUUAGUAGUAUUAAUUAAAGAUAUAUUAAAGAAAAAUAAUAAAUAAAUCUAAUAAUUUGAAAACGGAUUUAUAUUUAGAGAUAAUUUUUUAGUCAAAUAAGUGCUUCGAUAUAGAAAGGAAGGAAGUAUUACAUAUGUUUCUUUCCAUGGUACCUGGAGACAAACCAUGUAAUGCUCAUCAACUGCCUUCACAAUUUGGUUGCUAGCAAUUACAGUACAUAUUGGUUCCCCAUAAGAGUGUCACAAAACCCAAUUAUUUACCGUUAACUCCCCUAUAUUAUGAGUAAUGAUAUUAUUACUAGUAUUUUGUGAUAACUUUCUUCAUUUCUCUUCUUAUUAUUGGACAAAAGAAAAAGAGACAAAGAUAGAGAGUAUUAAUUAUAGGCCAAUUCUAUGUGCAUAAAUGAGACAUACACAAGUUUUUUUUUUUUAUUCUGUUUGUUGAUAAAUCAAGAGUAUGUACAUGCAUCAAAUUAGUUAUAAGACAUCCUAACUACACUGACACCCCAAACAACGAAAAAUAAUUAGCAAACAUACUCAUAAUAUCACACACACAAGUUUGUCAUUUUCUCACUUAAUGAGGAUGAGCAUAAUGACAAUAAAUAAGAUGAAAAUAAUGACAAUAAUUAAGAGCAUUCUUGUUGGUUUUUUGAAACCAAUUAUACAUUACCAACAACAUGAUGGGAACAAGAAAGAAAUACAUUAUGUUUUCACUCACUUUACACUAACUGUUGGUGAUCCAUGUACAAGGAAUGUAUCUUAAAGUUGGUAAAUUUAUGUAACAUUGCGUAUCCAAUUUUUUUUCUUCUUGUGAACACAACAUUAUGCAUCCUAAUUAGUAACAAGAAUAUAAUUAAUUUAUAUACUAUUAACCAUUCAAUAAAAAUGCUUGCUAAAGAAUGGCGACUUACGUGCAUCAAAGAGAACGAGGAAGAGGAUACACACGCCAACUAGUGAUUUCUUCUCCAUGGCUUAGUGAAUUCAAAAAGGCUUCAAAGAGAAAAUUAUUGAGAGAAUUUCUAAUAUGGUUAACGAUUGAAAAUCACACAUCUCCUAUCUCCUAUACAUAUACAUUUCACAAUUAAUAGAAUGCCUAAUUAGACAUGUUAUGUCUCCUUCUCCUUUCAAAAAAAAAAUGUUAUGUCUCCUUUUCAACAAACUUUACAUGAGACAUUAAUUGACAAUUAUUUUAUCAUGUACAAUACUUUUUUUUUUUGAAGAAUCAUGUACAAUACUUAAUACCAUUAUUUUAACCAUUGACAAUUGUACAUUAACGCAUUCAUUUAUUUUAAUUUAUUCCAUUAAAAAGUUCUCGGUAAAAUUAUAUUUUUAAUCUCUUAACUUAAUUUCAGGUAACAGUUUGGUCCUUUAUAUAUUUUUCAUUUCAAUUUGGUCAUUUUUGUCCAUUUUCGUAUGAAUUUUUAAGCUCAAAAUUCAUGAUUUUAUUUUCUUAUGGUCUUUCAGUCUUCAAAUCUAUGAUCCUCGUCUAUGUUUGCAUAAAAAUAUAAGAUUUGAAGUUUGAAAAUGUAUAUAAAAAUGGACAAAAAGAACCAAAUUGAAAUGAAAAAAAAGAUAAAGGACCAAACUGUUACCAAAAUUUAAAUUAAGGGACUAAAUUAAAAUGUAAUUUUGCCAAAGUUCCAUUUGACCGUAACCAUUUUGAAGAUUUAUUUCAUUAUUAAAAGGUAGAAAAAAAAAAAAAAACAUUUCCAUUUCAUCCUUCCUUGAUUUAUGGCAAAGCCAACAUGCAUGAAAAAGUAGAUCACAAAUUACACCGGUAAUUAUAAUAAAAAAAAUAUGCAAUAUAAUUUAUUUUUGAAAUAAAAAAAAUUAUAAUUUAGAAAGAAAAAAAAAAUAAUGAAAGAAGUUUUUUCUUUUUUAAGAAAAUAUAAUGAAUGUAGUUAUCACGCUAUUAACAGACAAAUGUUUGCUACCGAUAAAUAUUAAAAGAAAAUUGAGACAACUAUUUGUCACUAAUACAUAAAUAAAAAACACAACAAACAUUUAUUAGGGAAGGCUAUACAAAAUUCACAUGACAUUAGUUGUAAUUUAAAUUGGACCACUGACGCGCAGUACGGAAGCGUAGAUUAGCAAGCGUUAAAUAAGGUGUUGCUAACCGGUGCCCCCGAGGCACCGGUUGAAGGAGCAAUAAAUUGAUCAGUUCUAUUUAUUUUAUCUCAAUUAAUAUGAGAAAUAAUAAACCAAUUAAUUAAAAUUGUAUUUAAUACUCUCUUAUGGAUUUGUAUGGGUAUCUUGUAAUCUUUUGUUUUUCAACUUUUUGGAUUUGUUCUCGUUUUGGCUUUGGUUGUAGGUGCCUGUUGUUUGUAACAGACGUUGGGUGAUUCAUCAUUUUAGCACACCUUGUGCGGGGUGAAUUACCUUUUUACAUUAACCUAGAUUGAACGUAAGUAAACUGAAUUUACAAACUUAUUUUACAUCAACCUAGAUUAAACGUAAGUAAACUGAAUUUACAUUAACCUAGAUUGAACGUAAGUAAACUUAAUUUACAUUAACCUAGAUUGAACGUAAGUAAAUUUAAUUUACAUUAACCUAGAUUGAACGUAAGUAAACUUAAUUUACAUUAACCUAGAUUGAACGUAAGUAAACGUAAGUAAACUGAAUUUACACUAACAUCUUAUAUACAUACGUAAACUAAAUUUACAUUAACCUAAAUUGAACAUAAGUAAACUUAAUUUACAUUAACCUAGAUUGAACGUAAGUAAACUGAAUUUACACUAAUCUAAAUUGAACAUACGUAAACUUGAAUUUACAUUAACCUACAUACGUAAACUACACUAACCCCUUUUAUAUACAUACACGUAAACUUAAUUUACACUAACCUCUCACUUAAAAUCAAAUUGGCUGACAGACAUAUCUCAUACCAAAACAAACAAUAAACAAAUAGAAACUCAUCGAAAAUGAAAUUCAUGAAAUUCACUAACCUUUAUGAAUAUAGUACAGAUCAAUAACAAAGAUGUUGAUUCAGAUAUUGGUUGCACAUCUAUGGUGAUUUGUGGAUGAAAGGGGGUAAGGGUUCAAAAUGAUCAUAAAAGAUGGGUUUUUAAAAAUUUACAUGAAGAGGGCAAUUUUGGUAUUAUUGUAAAAUUUUAAAUAAAUUUGGGUGUAACUUGUUUUUUUUUGGGUGUGACUAGCACCGGUCCUCUCUUAAAGGCACAACAACUAUUAUAUAAUUUUGAGAGUUGAUCAAUUAAUAUCCUGUGAAAUAGAAAUAUAAUAUUAUUUGAAUUCUUCUUGUAAAUUUUCCUCAUAACAAUAUUGUUUUUUCCCGUGAAUUUUUUUUUGCACCAUUUUUUUUCGUUCCGUGAAUUUUACUCAGCAUAUUGUCUUCUUUCAUUUUUUUUUUUUAAUUAAAAGUUGUUGAAAUAAUUAAACAAAGACAAGAUAUUUUAAAGUCCAAAAUAAAUUGGCAAUUUGAAAGAUAAAACAUAUUCAGAUAAGAUAUCAAAUACAAAAUCAUUAAAUGUGUAAUUAAAUUCUCUUCAAAACAAAAAAUUGCAUCUUUUAGAGAAUAUUGAUCACAGCUUUUAUUAAUUUUAAUUAGUUACAUAUUAUUCCUCACUUUAAUUAAGAUAGAUAAGUAGAAUCUAUAAAUUUAUUGCUUCUUAACCAGUGUCCCCGGACACUAGAUAGCAUUACCCUAAUUGUGUUUUAACCCAUUGACAAUUUUACAUGAACUCAUUUAUUUAUUUUAAUUCAUUCCAUUAAAAUAUUCAUUAAACCGUAACCAUUCAUUUUGAAGAUAUAUUCCAUUAUUAAAUAGGUAAAAAUACAUUCCCACUUCAUCCUCCCUUGAUUUGUGGCAAAUCCAACCUGCAUGAAAAAAUAUAUCAGAAAUUAUACUAUUAAUUAUAAUAAAAAAAAUUAUUAAACACUCGGCUUGCCACUCCUUUUGUGAGAACAUCAGCUAAUUGCAAUUCUGAUCAUAUACAAAGGGAAAUGAAAUUAUUCCUGCUUCAAGCUUCAAGCUAAGUUACAUAUGCAUCAGCAGUACAAGCACACAUUCGCAACAAAUUUUCAAAAUUCCAAGGGAAACCUGAUCUAACCAUUAUAUACUCAAGGAAAUUCCAACUGAGAGAGUCGUAGACCUUUUCGAAAUCCACCUUAAAGAUGAGGUACUCCUUCUUAGUUUUUCUAGCAACAUCAAUAACCUCAUUCACCGCUACCACCCCAUCAACCAAUUGACGCCCCUUAAUAAAAGCAUAUUGGUUAGCAGAGAUAAGUUUAUCCAUGACAUCUGCUUUUUUGAUAGCUAAUAACUUACUAUGUUCUCUAAAUAUUGAACUUCAACAUAUAUUUUUCCUUUGGUUGCAGGGCCAUAUGAAAUUUCAUUCUAAUGUCGGAGUAAAAUUAGCAAAUGCCUAUAAGAUGCAUAAGAAAAUUUGAAAAUAGGCCUGAUUUUGUGUAUCCAAAUUCCAACUCUCCUCCAAAUUUUUAAUCACCUUUUUUUUCGAGGAAUAGGCAUAGCAUACACUUAUGUUACAUUGCUGAAUUAAGAUGUGAAAUGUAAAAAUAUUAUGUUGUUAUUGUUUAAUAAUUGAUCAAUCAAAUUAUAGAUUACAAUAAGUAACAUAUGUAGUAUUAUACGUAUAUGACACUUCCAUACACACACAUAUAAUAUUCCUCAAACAUAGGGGUUAUUAUUGGUAUUUGAUUUAAAUCUAAAGUUUAAUAUUCCUCAAACAUAAGGGUUGUACGUAUUUGGGUAUUUGCUAUUUUUAACACGUUGACCAUAACUGCGUUGUUACCUAUGACAUGUAGAUAACUUAUAUUUGUAUUCAUGCAAAUUUUGUAUCGUAAUAGUAUCAAACAAUAUAUAUAUUUAUUAGAUUACAAAUUCUUUAUUCAUAUAUUUCGUCCUUGCAUGCGUCUAUUGGAUCCAUUUAACAAUGUUGUCUAAGGCACCAACAACGGAAGUCAUCCCAGCACCUUCCACUAAAUGCGUGCUGUUUGUUCUUGCAAUAUUUGUUACAACGACUACGCAGGAAGAACGGAAUGCAUGGUCCCUUGAAUGUAGCAGAUAAUUUCUCAUUACAAUAUGUUGCUUCGAUCACCACAAUCUCCUCUGCAUCAAAGUACCAAAUUGAAUAUUAAUUGGAUAACAUAUUUAACUUUGAGAAAUGAUAUUUGUACAACCAUUUUUGCAUAACUUUUGUACAAACUUUCUCUCUCAUACUCACAUUAUCUUCUUAUUCUCUCUCUUCCUUUUUCCCUCUCCAUUGUUUUUGAUCAAUAAGAAGAAAGAAAAAUAAAUUGUCAUAAAGGUUGAACCAAAUGAUUGUUCAAAUAUCAUUGCUAUUUAACUUUUUGAUAAAUAUACAAGAUGGACUAUACUUUUUUAAGUCAAAUCAAAUGAGUAUAACUCAUAGUAUGAACAAUAUAUAAAGUGGUAAACAAUGAAUUGAGCUACAAUAAUAACAUGCCCUUGUUAUUUACAAUUGGAUGUGUGAAAAAAAUUAUAUAUGAGUAAGCGUUUAGAUUUAUAUACAAUACAAUAAAUCAAAAUUUCUAUUAUUGUUAUAAAAAAAUAAAUUAGUAAAUGUUUAUUAGAGAUAGAAAAUUUUAUUUAUCUCUUAUUUUAAUAUCUUUACUUUUCACUUUAAUUAUUUUUCUCUAAUCAUUUUAGCGAUCACCAUCAAAACAUCGUCAAAAGAUAUAUAUCAUAUACUACUUUAAUUGUUUUUCUCUAAUCUUUCUAGUAUCUAAUUAAGAACCACGCAUGUCUUUUUUUUUAUUAAGGAUCGUCGCAUGUAUUUUAAACACAAAUAUUUUGUGAACAACCGAAUUCUUAUACACGCAUUUGACACUCCAUUACAUUAAUUUAAUAAUUAAAAAUAAUUUUAUUUAUAUUUGAAAAACUAUUUUUCUAAAUAUUUUUAUUUAUUUACUAUUAUUAUUAGUAAGGGUGGGAAGUGAUCGGCCAACGAAGUUCUACCACCGCCUGAUGUGGGGUUACCAUAGUUCAACUGCAACCCACCGUAUGGUGACCAAACUCUACCUUUGGUCGAUCAGUAUCAUCCACCACAUAUGGUGGGGGUGCCAAAUGGAUGAAUGACAAAAAGAGUGAUCCUUGUAAAAGGAAUAUAUCUCAAAAAGUUGGUGAAUUUACGUAACAUUGUGUGUCUAAUUUUUUUUAUGAACACGACAUUAUGCAUCAUGAUUAGUAACAAUCCUAAACAAGGAUAUAAUUAAUUAAAAUACUACAAACCAUGCAAUAAAAAUGUAUGCUAAUGAAUGAUGUCUUACGUGCAACAAAGAGAACGAGGAAGAGGAAGCACAAGACAACUAGUGAUUUCUUUUCCAUGGCUUAGCGAUGAGUUAUAAUUUGUUAAAAGGUUUCAAAGAGAAAAUUAGCUCUAUCCCUAUAAUAAACAUUUACCUUCCUUCAAAUUGAAAGUACACGUGGCAUCUUCAUAUUUUUCAUCUCAUUUAAUAUUUUAUUAUCAACCAAUCAAAAUGGAUUAUGACACAUUUAUUUUAUAUCAACCAAUAAAAAAAAAGAUCAUGACUCAUUUGUGUAUAUCAACCAAUAAAAUUAGCUCCAUGCGCUUACUACAGGAUCAUACACACUUUGUCUGCUCUUAAACAAUUCUUGAAAAGUUUUUUUUUUUUUUUUGAAGAAGCUAAAUUAGCACAUCUAAAUUGACACCAGAGGGAAUCAAACAUGCCACUCAAGUUGGUGCAUGUAUAUCAUAAAUUCUCAAUUUGAAUAAAGACUCAUUAAACACUCGGCUUGCCACUCCUUUUGUGAGAACAUCGGCUAAUUGCAAUUCUGAUCAUACAAAGGGAAAUGAAAUUAUUCAUGCUUCAAGCUUCAAGCUAAGUUACAUAUGCAUCAGCAGUACAAGCACGCAUACGCAACAAAUUUAGAAUUGAAUUUGAAAUAUUUCAAUUCCACAAGAUGAUGACAAUUUACUAAAAAAAACAUGAUGAUGACCAUGCAAUGUGCAUAGUGUUACCUUUAAUGGGAGUGUAGAUUUAAUAAGAUGAUGACAAUGCAAUAUCGUUGUUAAAAUUCUGAUCAGAAUCCUACGAUUUUGUGAUUUUUCGAAUCCUGGGUAGAAUCCUAAAUUUUGCAAAAUCUAUUUGUAAUCGUUUAUGUUUAAGCGAUUUUACGAUUUUGAAUUUGUGGGUUUGUAGGCUUGUAACAUAACCAGACUUUCGAAGAUGUUCUACAUUAUAAAUGUCACAGAUAGAAUCAAGCUUUGAAGUAAAGUCCCCAUGUUUUCCACUCUAAUUUGGAAAACACUUUCAACUGAAUGUGAAUCAAGGACUUCAAUAUAGUUGCCUCACGAUCGUGACUAACUAAAUGAGUAUGCAUGCAAUUUUUGGAGCUAUCGUACAUUGUAUUUUUCAUUUGGAAUAAAUGCACCAGCCGUUGGUUUUAGUAGAACAAGUUUUGCAUACACGGCGAAAAAUUCUCAAAAGCAAUUGCCACUAGAAAUUGGUGUGUCAUUGAUUUUUCAGAUUUAGACUGAGUGACUCACUUAAUGAGGAUGAACACAAUGACGAUAAUUAAGAACCUGCUUAUUGGUUGUUGCAAACCAACUGUACAUUAUCAACAAGUUUUUUUGUAUGCAUGUUUGUUACCUUGUAAUUUUCUAUUACAACCCAACAACCUAGUGGAAAUGAGAAAGGAAUACAUGAAGCCUUCACACACUUGACACUAAUAGUUGGUGAUGUAACAAGGUUGAAAUAUUUAUUGUCUCACACUUAUUUCACUAAUCUUUUGAACUUGCCACGGUUAUAUCUACAUAAUCAUAUGAGGAGCGUAUGGUUAGCUUAAUUUAAUAAAUAAAUGAGGACUUGCAAUGCAAUUAAAAUGUUGUGGUUGCAAGUCACUAAUAAAGAACAAAUAAGCACAUUCGUGUCAUGUGUUAUGUGCUUUGUUGUGUGUGUAAGAGAAUCUUCUUUGAUGUAGUACUGUCCUCUCAAUCUCUCUACCAUUUGCUCAAUUUGUUUUUUUAAAACGGCAAGUUAAAGGGAAAUCCAAGGCUUUAAUAAACUGAUCAGAAGCACAACUUUAGUAACAUCUUUUAUAAUGACUUGGUAAUUUUGUUUAAAAUUUACGUUCAUGUGAACCAAUGUUUUAAGGAUAUUCUGUAAGAAUUUUAAAUUAUUUAUUAUAAAAAAUCAUUAAUAACAUUAACAUUUGUAUUUAUAUAUUCCAUCCGUUUCAAAUUAUAUGUCAUUCUAACAAAAUUUGUUUGUUCUAAAUUAUAUGUCACUUUACAAUAUCAAGGAAUCAUUAAUGUUUAUUUUUUUAUUAUACCCGUUACUAUUUAUAUUACUUUAUCUUUUCUAAUUCUUUUAAUUUAUGUUUUCUAUCAUAAUGAAGAAUAUUUUUGUAAAACAACUCACAAUUACUCUCUUCUAUACAGCAUCAACUAUAUUUUUUAAUCUAUAUAAAAUUAUUAUUUUUUACUAAAUUUAUAUGAAAUUGUUAAAGUGACGUAUAAUUUAGAACGAAAGAGUAUUAGUUUAUAAAUAUGAUCAAAAUAAGUGAUAUGAAUAAUAUAUCCUUAUUUAUUAAUGGCUUAAAUGCUCUUUUGGUCUCUUAAGUAUUUAUUUGGUAUCACUUUGGUCCCUUAACUAAUAAAAAGAUUGUUUCAGUACUUUAAUUUAAUUUUUGUUACACUUUUUGGUCCCUUUCGUUAGAGUUGUGAAAAAACUGUUGAGGGGUUAACCCCAAAUGUCUCUGGUGGACUCACAUUAUAGGUGGUCCACCAAAGACCUUAGUAAUACUUUUAACCUUAAUCGUUUGAUAUUUUUUAUAGAAUUUUUUUAUAGAAAAACAACCAUUAAAUCAUACAUGUCUACGAGAUCUAACUAUAUACCACCAACACUUAAUUUAUUUUUUAGCUUUCUUCAUCUCCUUCCCUCAUUCUCUUCUUCAUAUUCAUCAUCACAUACAUACAUUCAUAACAAAACUAAAAAAAAAACCAGAAAAAUCCAUAAAAUAAAUUAAAAACAACCAAAAAAAUCAUAAUCAUAAUAACAAUUCUUUUCACUCAAAAAACAUCACUUUCAUUUAUCUAACAACACAAAUUUUCAAAUCCCAACAACCAAAAUCUCCAAACCCACAAAAUCAUAAUCAUCAUCAUUUUUACAUCAUCAUGUUAAAAAUUCAUACUGCCCUACCACAUAAACCCCAUUUUCGAGCUUGUUAAUCCUCUCUCCUCCAUCAAUUUUCUUCUUUCUUAGCAAGAUCAAAAGAUUGUUGUUGUUGUUGUUUCUUCUCUCCUCCAUUUUCGAGUUUGCCAAUUCUCUCUCCUCCGUCAAUUUUCUUCUUUCUCAGCAAUAUCAAAUGAUUGAGGGAUAUACUUUCUGCAUUUGUUUCUCUAUUAUAUGUAUGGAUCUGUUUAAUGGAUAUGGGUUGCUCGAAAUUGCAGAUCCAAAUGAAGGAGGGAGUAUGUGAAUUGUUGUUUAUGAAAUUUUGGUGGAUAUGUUUAUUGUUGCAUAUUCGAAAUUUCAGAUCUGAAAUUUUGGUGAUUUUUGUUAUUUAUUGUUGUUUAUGAUGGUGGUGGUGAUGAUGUUGUUGAAUUUCUAGAUUUUUUAUGGGUUUUUUGAUGAAGCUUGAUGAUUUUCUAGUUUUUUUUUUGUGUUGUUCAUGUUGUGUUCUUCAUUAUUUUCUUUGAAUGUUUAUGUUAUGUUCUUCAUAUUUUCCAGAAAGGAGAUGAAGGAUUGUAUGGAGAAGAUGAAGGAAAUAAAUAAGUUUUCAACUAAUGUCAAAACGACACGUGUACCACACUUAACGUUUUUUGAAUUUUUUUAACAGAAGAAACCAAAACAGGUAACAGAGAUAAAUAUAAAUUACUGAAACAAUCUUUUUUUUAGUUAAGGGACCAAAGCGAUACCAAAUAAAUACUUAAGGGACUAAAAGAGCAUUUAUGCCUUUAUUAAUUUUAUUAGGUCUGCAGCAACUUAACUUAAUAAUUUCCCUCUAAAAUGCUGCAUUAGGUUAGCAGCAAUUUAACCUAACAAAUUUCAUCUAAAAUAUAGUGCACCAAUUUAACCUAUCAAAUUCCCUCUAAAAUGCAGCAAUCCCUAAUAUUUCUCCUCACUAAUAAGUUUUUCAUUCCUAUCAUGUUGUGUCAUCGUUUGUAUAUAUUUAUUGUUUAUGUAGACUUUUUUUUUUACAAGUUAUUGUACACUUAUUUAAUACGUUUACAAACAAAAUACCCUAAUUUUCAUGCAAACUCGGCUACCAUAAUUUCAAUGCAAAUUCAACUAUAAAUAGCAAACCCAAAAUCGUGUUUCUCUAAAAAAACCAAAACUAUUGUAAAUUACAAACUCUGCUACCCUAAUUUUCUUUUAUAAUACUUUCAGAUUUUAUACAUUUUAUAAAGUGUUUUAUUGUGUCUACUAUGGAUUAUCACCUGUUCUUUUUUUUCACCGUUAUCAAUUAUAUAUUGCAUUUUAUUAUUCGUUUGUCAAUCUCUUAACAAUAAACAUGUGUGAUGCACGGGUCAACUAUCUAGUAGAGUCUUACUAACGAGUGCCCUAAUGACAUUCUUUAAGAAUUCCUAAUUAAGAAACUAUUCAAUAAAAAAAUCUGCUUCAAUUUUCGAUAUAUUGAAGUCAUAUGCUUUCAUAAAAUCUUACUAUUAUCUAAAGUCCUUAAAGAGUACUUUAAGACAUUCUUAACAGUUAACAUUUCCAGAUAUAUCGUUAAACUGCAACAUGUGUAAUGUGUUUAAGAUCUUUCAGGAAAAUUCAUUAGCAUUUCUUUAGAAUCUAGAUGGCUUGUUUUUUACUUUGUUUGGAUUGUUGUGUUGUGUCACCGAAAUAUGCUUUGAUUCUUUGUUUAUAAUUAGAUGGUUAUGUCACCGAGAUAUGCUUGACUUUAUUUAGAUGGCUCUACCUAAUAUUAAUCGCGACAGUGAUGGCUGCAACUGCUAACAGUUGAACAACAAAAACAAGUACUAAUGACAAAGAAGAUAAGACCAUAUUAAUAAAAGAAGACCAAAAUAAAUGUAUUGAGAAAUUAGAAAUCUCAAUGAUAGAUCGACCAACUCAAUUUGCGCACUUUGUGUCCGACCAUUGGAAACUACACCUUAUUUUAAUGCAACACACUUAUGCUUUGUUAAAUAGUCCUAUUUUAGCUUGAAAAUUGCAUUUUAAACUUCAAAAAUUUAUCUUCCACAUUCUAAAAUUAUAAUCUCUCCGUCUUAGAAUGGGUAUCGUUUUAGCAAAAAAAUUGUUUUAACAUGAAUUUUAUUUUCAGUUUCAAAUUCAAUAAUAACUUUUUUAUUUUCAAUUGUAUCCUUUAAUUAAUACUAUAUACAUUACUUUCAAAAUAUUAUUUUUUCUUUAAUGAAAAACAAACAAAUAGUUGAUUAUAAUAAUUUGGUAAUAUAAUAUCUUUUUCUUUUAAUUAAUGCAUUUCUUAAUAUGUGCGUAAAAACUUUAAACGACAAUUAUUUACGGAUGGAGUAUUAAUAGUAGUUAAUUGUAGUUCAUCAUCAUGGUAAUUAAAAGGUAAUAAACGAUAAAUAAUUGUCGUUGAAGGUAUUAAAAUAAUUCUAAGGCGCGGGUGAUCAAUUUUUGAAGUUUAAAGAGUAAUGUUCUUUCACUUUUGAAGUGUAUAAAUGAAGUGUUAUAAACAUUUUUUUUCACAUUUUCUUUUUUGUUGAAUGAAGUCGUGAUAGACUCCGUAUUUUUUUUUUUGAAGGAGACUCCGUCUAUAUUGAUAUUUAUACCAAAUAAAAGAGCAAAUGUGUCCCCGUGAGCAUAGCUCAGUUGGUAGGGACAAUGCAUUGUUAUAUGCAGGGGUCGGGGUUCGAACCCCGGACACCCCACUUAUUCACCUUAUAAGGUGAAUUCUAGCCACUAGGUUACCUGACAAAAAAAAAAAAGAGCAAAUGUUAAAAAAAAGGUUUAUGUCAUUUAUAAAGUUAUAAAAACUUUGUACUUUUAAAAGGAAAAUUACAAUGGUUUAAUCUAACGGUUAAAAUAAAAAUGUAUUUUCUCUGUUAAAAUUUAGAAUAUAAUGCAGAGAUGAUCAAGAUCUUAGCAUCAUUUUAGAGCGAGUUAAAAUAAAAUCUACUUAUAUUCUCGAGUUUAAUUAAAUUAGUCUUCUUUAUUUUAUUUUUGUAUCUGGAUCAAUUAUCUUUUAUGCGAAACAUUAAAGAUUAAUCUCUCGAUACAAAUAGAACCGCGAAAAAGAAAUUUAAUAAUAUUGCAAUUUUUAUUUGGUCAAGUAGUAAAUGAAGUGUCCGAAGUUCGAAUUUCGAUCCAUAUAUAUAACAAUGUAUUUCCUUGUCAAUUGACUUAUACUCACGGAAAUAAUAACAAUGCUACAUUCUAUAAAAUCGAAUUCAAAUUCAAAAUCUCUGCUAAAACUUUAAAGAUUUUAUUUUAACCAUUUUAUUUAAAUGUUUAUUGAACGAAGUUUCUCUAUUUUGAACUAGAGCAUCAUCCAUUCACACUGAAUUUACACUAAGAGUAAGUAAAAGACUCAAUUACACUUUUAGCCCCUAUCUUUUCAAAAGUUACGAUUUUGGCGCCCUAAAUAAUUAAAAUACAAAACUUCCCCUAUGUAUUGAAUCUUUGGCCCCCAAGGCCACUUUUGACCCCCUAUCUUUCCACUUUGGGGGCUAAAACUGCCAAAAAUCCAAUACAUAGGGGGCUGUUUUGUAUUUUAAUUAAUUAGGGGGUUAAAAUUCCAACUUUUGAAAAGAUAGGGGACCAAAAGUGCAAUUAAACCUAAGUAAAAAUAGUCCUUUCAAAAAAAAAAAAGUAAAAAUAGUACUUUUAAAUAAAAAAAAAAAAAAAAAAAAUUUACGUACAAAUCGCGCUCGUGCCGCCCACGUGUUUGUUUAACGUGACCAUUUCUUUUGGUUACACGAUGCUAUGGAUUUAUCGGAUGACAAUAAUGUCAAUGUCAAUCGUGGUUGGCGACUUUAAUAUGGGCCCACACAUGAGAGCAGCACUGCCACUUGCAAUUUUUAUUUUUUUUUAUUUUAAGGAACUACCACUUGCAACUUAAUGACUGGAUAAUUUUCUUAUGGAAAACUAUUGGGUAUACCAUUUAAAAUUCAGUUAAAAAAAUAUUCACCAUUCUUAUAUUAUUUGUCAUUUUUUUUUAGUUUUCAUCGGGUCAUAAUUUUUAUUAUUUCAAUUUAUUUUCUUUUUUAUAGCAUAAAUACAUUAUUUAUUAUUCUUUUUCAAUAACAUACCUUUAAUUAUUGUUUUUCAAUAAUCUAUAACUAUUCAUAACUAUAAUCGAUAAAAAUAUUUUAAUAAAUGAUGCACAACUUACUAACAAUAUUUAUUAUUUCUUUAAUAAAUUUGUAAAACGCAAAUGAGACACUUAAAAUGAGACGGAGAGUGCUUCAUUCUUCCCUUAUUAUAAAGUUCUUUAAUAAACAUUAUGAAUAUAAAUAAAAGUUGUUGAAUAAAUUUCUUUGAAACAUGUGUGACUAUUAUUAAAUUACUCAAUUUGUCUUAAAUUAUAAGUCACUUUGGUAAAAAAAAUAUUUUAAAUUAUAAAUUGUUUUACAAUACCAAUGACAUAUUCCUCAAAAAAUACCAAUGAAAUAUUGUUAUUUUUUCGAUUAUACCAUUAAUCAUUUAUUACUUUAUUUUUUAAGAUUAAUUUUGUAAAACAACUCAUAAUAUAUUUUUUCAUACAAAAUUAAUUAUAUCUCCUAAUACGUGUGAAAUAACCAAAACAACUUAUAAUUUAGGACGGAGGAAGUAAUCUUUAUAUAUAAACUUACGUUAAGUUGGACACUAACAUGUUUGUCUCUGUGUUUUUAUUGAUAAAGAAUGAUAAAUUAUUGGAAAGGAAAGUUGAGUGUGUAUUCCUUUUAUAAUUAUAUCUUGAUAUAUAUGCAUUUAAAGAAAAGUAAUAUAUGCUCUUGUAAAAAUUUGUAUAGAAUUUUAUAUUUAACGAAAAACGAAGUACUUAAGAGAGGAGGGAGUACUUAAAUACUUCCUGUAUAUAAUAAAUGUUAUAUAGUUGAUUAUUUCACAAAAUUAAGAUCAAAUGAUAAAUAAAAAAAAUUGGAUUACUAUCACACAUAGUAUUAUUUCACAAAGAAUAUUAUUAUUAUUUUUAAAAUAAAAAAACACACGCUGUUUCUUGCCAAAAGAAAAUGUUUGUUGCUAUAUAUUAUUACAAUUUGCAACCUCAAUACUUUACAAGUCAUGGCCAUUAUUUUCCUUCAAAAAAAAAAAAAAAGUCAUGGCCAUUAUUAAAAUAUAAUUGUCUAGUCUUUAUAAAUAACGGUUUGAUUAAUGUCCAAUCAUACUCAUAACAACAAAAUGAACUCCUUUGGUCUCACGUUGACUGCUCUAUGCUGUGUAGUGGUUGUUCUUGGAGGGUUACCCUUCUCCUCAGAUGCACAACUUGAUCCUUCCUUCUAUAGGGACACUUGUCCAAAGGUUCAUUCCAUUAUUCGUGAAGUCAUAAGGAACGUCUCUAAGACUGAUCCUCGCAUGCUUGCUAGUCUCGUCAGACUUCACUUUCAUGACUGUUUUGUUCUGGUAUAUACUCUCUCCAUAUUCAUUCUUUCCCAUGUCUUUUGUGUCUACUCAUACUCAUGUAUGUAGAACUAGCACCGACAUGUCAAACUAAACAUGUUUUGAUAUUCGUCACUAAUACUAAACAUUUAUACAUAUAAUUAUUUAUAAUAUUUAAGUUUUUCAAAUUGUUACUAAUAUAAACGUGUAGUGUUAGGUCUGAUGUCCAUGUUAAUAUUUGUGUUGGAUAUUUUACUCGUGUAGAAUCACUCAUAGUUCUUUACUUGAAUUGCUUCUAUUUGAUAUAUCUAAUAUUGUUAGUUUUAGUUUUAUAUUGAAUUUAACUUAAUCUAAAAUAUUGAUUUGGGCUAAAGGUUAUAAGAGUAAGAGAUUUGAAAUUUAAAUUCAGACAAAAGAGAAAAAAAAUGAUAUUCAUCUAACUACUAUUAUAAUUAUUGUCCAUUUCGUUGAGCUUGGUAACACAAACUUGUGACUUUAGUUGGGGUAUAAAAGGCACGGAUCCUCUUCUGUGAGGAAUUAAUUGGAGGACAUCCAGUGCUAAAUCUUACCGUUCAUUUUUUUAAAACAAUUUAAAUUGAAUAAUUUAAACAAAAAGUGAGUGGAGGAGAUUCCAUUGGAUGACACUUUUACGGGAGACAAUCCCCACCCGGGUAAUAAGAUGUUGAAAGAGGUCUUUUGACGUGUGCCAAAAUAAAAUAUUGUCCAUUUCGGGAAAAAAUUCUACAAAAUACGUUUAGAGUUUGUUCUAUUGGUCACGUAUAUUGUCCAAAAUAAAAUAUUGUCCAUUUUGGAAAAAAACGCUAUACCAAAUACAAGAUACAUGACCAAUAGAACAACAAUGAUACAAAAGUACAAUCCAAAGUCACACUUGCACUUCCACAACAUGUUUGCAUAAUGGAUCCACUUUUACACUCAACCGUUGAAAUUGGAGAGUUACCUAAAGGGGUAAAUAUGAUUUACUCAUGGUCACUACUACAGUGGAUACAUGUCAUUAUGACAUCAUUUUGGUUUCUUUUCCAUAUUAUUUUGAAGUUCUAACAACAAUUUUUUUAUUACUAGUAAAUAAAUUUUGAUUUUUAAUAUUUGUAUUAUGUUGUCUAUGAUUGUAACAGGGUUGUGAUGCAUCAGUUUUAUUGAACAAAACUGAUACCAUUGUGAGUGAACAAGAAGCUUUCCCAAAUAUCAACUCUCUACGAGGUUUGGAUGUUGUGAAUCAAAUCAAAACAGCAGUGGAAAAGGCUUGUCCUAACACAGUUUCUUGUGCUGAUAUUCUUGCCCUUUCUGCACAAAUUUCCUCAAUUUUGGUAUGCCUCAUCCUAACAUGAUUAAUAACAACUAUCAUUUUAAUUAUUAGUGAUGAUUAAUUAAAUUAAUACAUGUAUGUAUUGACAGGCAGAUGGUCCUAAUUGGAAGGUUCCCUUAGGAAGAAGGGAUGGUUUAACCGCCAACCAAUCGCUCGCUAAUCAAAAUCUUCCGGCUCCAUUCAAUUCGUUGGAUCAACUUAAAUCUGCAUUUGCUGCUCAAGGCCUCAGUACUACUGAUCUAGUUGCUCUCUCAGGUAUGCAAUGUUUUCUAAUUAAAAGUGCUCGAAUCACUUCGUUAUCAUGUAUAUAAUAACAAAUUAUAAGGCUAAUAUAUAUGCUUCAAAUGUAGGUGCUCAUACAUUCGGAAGAGCACGUUGCACUUUCAUCACUGAUCGAUUAUACAACUUCAGCAGUACAGGAAAACCUGAUCCAACUCUUAAUACAACUUAUUUACAAGAAUUACGUAAAAUAUGUCCUAAUGGUGGACCACCAAAUAACCUCGCCAAUUUUGACCCAACGACUCCUGAUAAAUUUGACAAGAACUACUACUCCAAUCUUCAGGGUAAAAAGGGUUUGCUUCAGAGUGACCAAGAGCUUUUCUCGACAUCUGGUGCUGAUACCAUUAGCAUUGUCAACAAGUUCAGUGCUGACAAAAAUGCUUUCUUUGAUAGCUUUGAAGCCGCCAUGAUUAAAAUGGGUAAUAUUGGUGUGCUGACCGGGAAAAAAGGAGAGAUUAGAAAACAUUGCAAUUUUGUUAAUUCAAAAUCAGUUGAACUUGGUCUAGUGAAUGUGGCUUCCACAGAUUCAUCGGGUAUGGUUAGCUCAAUUUAAGUACUUUAGGGUCACUAGUUUCAAAUGUAGUGAUUGGAGACCAUAAAUAAAGAUGUUAUGACUAGGCACAUUUGUGACUUGUGUCACAUAGUUACUAGGUGCUUUGUGAGGGAAGACUUUUUGUAUUUGAAGUAUUUCUUUGGGUUGUGUUCAUAAUCAAAUUUUCUCUAUCUUAUUUUGGACUUGUUUUGGCAAAAAUUUAUGAGUAACAUUAGUAUUUAUCUUAUGUGAAAAUUAUGAUGAUAAAAAAUUGACCAGGGGAGCUUAAAAAUUGACCAGACGAACUUAAAUACAUUUGCCAUUUCCUCUUCAAAAAUAUUGUUGGUUCUCAUUUUUCAAACCCCUCAAGUAGCUAACCAAAUUAUAUGCAUCACUUUCUUACUGCUCUUGAUUGCAACAACUCUCCAAAAAGCAAUAAAUGAUUCGACUACGAGAAAAUCGCGUGGUUCUCACCAAAUUUUUAAAGGAGCACAUGUUCCUUGGAAAAAAGAGUACAUCCAAGGAACCAAGUCCUUGGAAAACAUUUAGUGGAAAUAUUUUUUGAAUUCCAACAUCUAUGAGGAACAAAGUCCUUCGAAAACUGAGAGGCAAUAUUUUUUAAAUUCAACAUAUUGGAAGAACAAAGUCCUCAUAAAUGUCUGGAGAUCUAACCUUUAUAGAGCGUUUUUGUUGCUUUAAGAUGUGUGAUUCUAGGAUUUUUUUUUUAAGAAGUCAAACUAGCCAACCGAAAUUGACAUCGAGAAGAAUUGAAUUUGAGACCUUAAGAGAGCACACUCCACGGUCUUAAGCCAACACCAUCAAAACAACCCAAAUGGGUUUCCAAGAAAUCCUUUCUGAUGAGCAUUUUGAGGACCAAGUGCGUUGGAAACGAGCAUCAAGAAGACACAUUUUGCGCAUCAUAGCACAAGAAACUUUGAAGUCAUUGGAAGUCGCACAACUUUUCUAGGACAUCGUUCCUAGAAAAUAGGUUGUCCAAAAUUUAUCUUUAUAACUACACACUCUCUUCCAUAAUUUCUUCGGUUACAAUUCUCAUUCUUUUCUCCAUUAUUUCAUCUCUUAUUUUUUUUUCAUUUUAUUUCAUUUCUCCUUUUUUAAUCACUAUCUUCAAUCUCUUCAUCGUUUCAUUUCUCCAUGUUUUCUACAUUCUUUCAUUUUACACCGUCUUUUAUCAUUUCUUCAUUCUUUCAUUUCUCUCUCUUUUUUUCCCUUACUUCAUUCAUUUCUCAUUUCUCUUUUUUUUUUUCCUCCUUAAUUCAUUUCUCAUUUGUUUCUAUUCUAUCAUUUCUCCUUUUCCCAUAACAAAAUCACUAUUUCAAUUUAGAUUUUUUCAUUGAAGAUGGGGGAUUUAUUGAUUUUAUCAUUAAAUCAUUUCUAAUUAAAUGCAAAUCAAUUCAUUCAGAAUGAUUUUUUAGUUAUUUUAAUUUGGGUUUUUCUAUCAUGUGCAACUUUUUUCUCUAUUGUAUUUAUAUUUGAUAAAUGCCCGAAAACAAAGUGCAAUAAGACUUCUAGAGGAAUGGGAAUCAUCUUGAAGUUUGGUUAUGGUAGUUGUUGUAGAUUGCAUGGUUAUGUAAUACAAUCUCUAAAGUAGCUUAGCCCUAACCAAUCAAUCUUUAAGCUCCAAUUGUCCUAUAUAAAAAUUUGAAAUCUAAAAAUGUUAGAACAUUUGAGAAUCAAAGCAUAAUAUAGCACAUCAAUCCUUAGAGACUUUUGGAGUCAUCAACAUCCUUCCAUUCUUUACACACUUGCGAUUGAUCUGCAACAAUGGGCGGAUAGUGUUUUAUGUAGCAAACCUUCACAAUGUGACAUGCCAUUGUACAAUGACUACACACCUUGCGAUUGUUUGAUCUUUGAAUGGAACUACCGCAUCCUCUUCCUUGUGGUUUACGAAAUUCAAUAGAAUUUAUAAGGAUAUAUUGUUAGAGAAAAUUUUGUUGAUGUUAGGUAUAUGAUUCAUAAGAUGAAUAUGAGAUCGAACAAGAUCAAAAUUCUCAUUCAAACCAAAAAGAAGAUCAAAAUGUUUUUAGCUAUGUUUUUUAGUUUGUUUGUAUGCAUUUGAAGACAAUAUAGAGGUUUUUAGAGUGAGUUUCUCAUGGUGUUGGAAACGUUUUGUAAUGUUUUGAUUUUAGUCGUUGUAAUUCAAUUUGUUCCCUAAUUAACUAGACAACUUCUUAUUUGUUUUGAGUCUUUUAUGAUCAAAUUAUGUAGUUGGACGACACCUCAUGGAAGUUAUGGAAGCUAAAGAAUGAAAAACAACAAAGGUUUUAAGACAAGACAAGUUGGAGAAAUUAUGUUCCAAGUUCCAAGAGCAAGUCGAGAAAAAAAAUAGUUAAAGAACGAAGAAAAACGAAAAAAAAUACAUCUGAGCCACGUGACACGAGUAACCCUGUGCACCCUGCACAUGGAAUGCUUAUAAAGGUCAACUGGCCAUGUCUUAAUGCGACCCCCGUGUGCCGAGCAAGAAAAAUAACUUUUUGUUGUUUUUUUCGAUUGCAUGCAGGGGGAAAAUUCUAGUAACCCAGUGCAAACCCAAUGCGAAAAUGCCUAUUUUAAGGCCUUUGUUCACCUAAAAAUAUUCAUUCAGAAACAUGACGGUUUAAAGGCAAACAUGGACAACCAAAGCAUUAAAAAUAAGUUGUUUCCUACCUCUUUCCAUUUGUUAUAUAAUAUGUUUUGUUUUUACUUGAUUAUUUAUUCAGUUACCAUGAGUAAAUAAACACCUUAAGAUUAGGGUUCUAACAUGAAAUUAUAAUUAUUCGUGGGAAUGUUAUAAUGCUUGAUUUCUUUAUUCAAUUAUGAUCUGAGUUAUGCCUAAAAAAAUAUGAUAUGAGUUAUAUUUACUUGAAACCCGUAGACUUUGAAUUGAUCUUAGGUUCAGAUUUAUAGAUUGACAUAUUUCUCUAACUGAAAUCGUUAUUUAUGUAUUUUGCUCAAGAGUCAUUAAAAAACCUAGAGAUUCUUAGUAUUAUGGUUAGGUUCUAAGACACGUGUGCAACUGCAAAUCCUUACCGUGUCAAUAAUACGAUUAUGACGUGUCAUAUGUUUGUUCACAUAUAAUUCCAUUAAAUAGUUUAGUUGCAACAUGACAUUUUGGAGUCAAUUACCUGUGGGAGGAUAAGUCCAUGAAUUAUAUAUUCCUUAGGCUAUAUUUGGUAUGGAACAAUCUAAAAUUUGGAGGGCGAACAAUCUUCGACACACAUGGGGUUAACCAUCGUUUAUAUAGUCUUAAGGUCAUAUUUGAUCGGAAACAUGCAUUAAUCCAAUAAAGAGGUAUAGGGAAUUCAAAUAAUCUUAAUCGUUGUUAAAUCAUUUGAAUUUCUUCACAAAUUAUCUUAAGAGUGUGUUUGGAUGGGGGAAUGUUUUGAGGGAAUGUAUUGUUUUAAGGGAAUUCAAAUACUUUGGGGUGAAUUACAUUGUUUGGAUAAUAAUUUGAAGUAUUUUCAAAAUGAUGGAAAUUUAUGAAGUAUUUUGUUCAAGUUAAAUUUAGAGAAUUUUAAAUGACACCUAAAAGCUAAGAAUUUCAAAUUUCUUUAUUGUUGUUAUUUUUCAUAUUUUGCAUUUUGGUCCUCAAAUUUUCCAAAAAUUUUAAAUUGACCCCAAUAAAUUUCCAAAAAUUGCAAAUUGGUCCCUCAAUUUUUUCGAAAAUUAUAAUUUGACCCCUCAAUUUUUUGAAAUUUACAUUUUGACCCCUAAUUUCAAUUUUCAAAUUUGGCCCAAAAAAAUUAAAAUUUAUAAAAGUUGCCCAAAAAUGAUGACAAUGAAUUUUUUUAUUACUUCAUCCAAACAAAAGAAUUAAGAAAUGAAAUUAAUUUAAUGGAAUCAUUUAAAUUGUCUAGGAUUCUAAAUUCUUUAAAAUUUCUCAAUUACCUCAUCCAAACACACUUUAAAAGUAUUGAAAAUUUCUAAAACGGAUCCAAAAUUUUGCUUAAAGUAAAAAAUUUCACAUUGUAAUUUAGAAAUGCAAAGGAGGAAAUACAAGUAUGUAAUAAAUUAUGGUACAUGUAUUUGUACAUGUUGUAUAGAUUUUUGACAAAUUGACAAACUUAGUACAUAAAGAACAAGUUUGAGUAAUUUAUUUAUAUAUUUACGACUUUAAUGGGAAAAAAAUUGUGAUUUUGUUAUGGACUGAGCUUUGACCAACAUUGUUGGUCCAAUGCAUAGAGGCUCAUUAAUGUGUAAUAUUCUCCAUUCAUGACAAUACAUCAAAUCUCAUGUACGCCUCAUCACAUAGGAGAAAUUCUCAUCAUAUCCUAAUCGUUCAGCUAAUCUCCCGUGCCUUGUGCUGAAUUUCUAGAAAACUUUUAAAAUGUCUCAAACUAUAUAAGUGUGACUUUGCAUGACAUUCGAUGUACAAUUACAUUUGAACAUAUUUUCACAUACUUUUCCUUCCAUAAUUUCAUACUGACUUGAGCAUUGGAGUGCUAACCCUUUUUACAAGUUUCUUCCCCCUCGUACACUGCGCCAGAGAAUAAUUUCCCAUGCACCAUAAAUCUUUCUCCAUUGGUCCUGAUUCUUUGUUGCAUGAGCAUUGUCACCCGAUAACCUUCACUUUGGUCCACUCCGUAUUAUUUGCGUCGUCUAUGGGAACUAUGCAUUGUUUCCCUCGAACUUCCUCAAAUCCACUACCUUAAUUGUUUUCUGCUAUACUUUCCAAUGGACAGAUCUUCUCCAUCUUAGGCUAAAAACAUCAAUUUUGAUACUCCCAACACCAUUGGGACUCCCCAUUCUAUGUUGCCACUAUUGCAAGAUUGUGUUGAUCUUGUUAUGUCUUUUGCGCAUGAAGGAAACACAAACACCAACCUUUCUCUAGUUAUUGAAUGUCGCGUCGCCACCAUUCUUUCUCCAAUUUAUCAAGGUGAAAGUCUCCCCUACCGGAAAGAAUGAGACUCUUCGUGAAUAUAUUGAAAGGUUCACUAAAGAGGAAGUAGAAGUCUGGGGAGUAAAUGACAAAGUUAAAUGCUUCGGCUUUAAAAAUGGCCUAAGGCCCAAUUGCAUGCAUGUAUAGGGGGGAGUUAGGUCUUGAAGUGCUCAAAAAUAUGAGUGAGUUGCUAGUAGAAGCUAAACCCUUCAUUAACUACAAAGAAAAGCUGCUUGUAAAUGAGAUAGUGAAAAAUUAAGAUAACCUAGAAUAUUUGAUAUGUCAUGGACACAUCAAAAUUAAGUUAUAAUUUAGGCAAAAUGCAACAUUGAGUUUUUAAGUUUAAUGUUUGUAACAAUAUAAUUUUUGAGUUUCUCCAAAUAAAAAUGAUUUUAUACUAUGAAGAAAUAUUAAUCCCUCAAAGUCUUUCCUUCUUAAUGCCAUCUAUUUCUUCCAUUUACUUCUUUCUUUUUUCCAAAUCUCUCCAUCUUUUUCUCUCCAAACUUGCAAACAAAGUUGGACCACGAAGAUCCAAAAUUUAAUCUUAAAAUAACUCAUAGCAUACUUUUCGCAUAGAAUUACUUGAGAGGAAAAGUUUACUCAGUUUAUAAAUGGCUUUACCUAAUAUUUUAAGGCGGGAAUAAUCAUUGUACCCUAACAUAAAGCAAAAACGUACUAGUUGAACUAGUAAUAAUGGCAUCGAUCAGUCCUCAUAGAAAAAUCAAAGGUGUCAAAAUUGAAAAAGAAAGCUCUACACAACUUGCCAUCGGAGCUGGGAAAGCACUCUUUGCUUUAAUGCAACAAUUCCAACCUAACUUUAACAGGUUAUAAUUCUCUAAAUUCCUCUAACUUUAACAAAAGUUAAUAUCCUUGUGAUUUUCAAGAGAAAUUCUUAACUUUUUUAUAGUAAAAAGUACAGAGCUCUAAUAUUUAUGAGACUUGUGUUUAUAAUUGAUUUUAAGAUUAGAUUCAACGAAUAUCCUAUUGUGUUUAUGUGGCUGCCUGGCUUUGGUGAGCCUGCUUUAUUCUCUCUUUACUCAGCUUUUGGUGCUAUGUGGGUUUUGGGUGGUUUUUUUGUGUUCUCUUUAUGCCUUUAUAUUGCCUUUUAUUUUAUUGUUUUUAGUUCUACUGUAGUGCAAUUGUUUAUUCAUCUCAUUUUUUAAUCAAAAAAUUAAAUAAUAUUAUGUAAAAGAUUUGUUUUUUUAAAGGAAAAAUAGAGUUGUUGUUAGAAUUAUAAUUUAAAUGAGGGUCUUGCUAACUGUGUCUUGUUAAGGAUUCAAAAAUAAAAACAAUAUCUUUUAUGCCGAUAAAAGCAUUUAUUAGGAUUUUUUUUUGUCAAGUAGCCUAGUGGCUAGAGCUAACACAAUUUAUUGUGGAGAAGUGGGGUAUCCGAGGUUCGAACCACAAUCCCUACACAUAAUAUGCAAUAUUUCUACCAACUGAGCUAAACUCACGGGGAUAUAAAUUGAAGGAUAAAUAAUGAUAUAAAUCGAAGAUAAAUAAGAAUCAUGUAUGCCCUUUGCAAGCACUAAGAUAAUAAAAGUAAUUUUUUAUUAACAAAAGUAUUUUUACGAAUAGCUAAAACAAACUCACCCAAAAUCUUUCCUACGAGUCAUCAUUAUGUUGUCCAAAAUGUUCAUUACAGACUAAAAAUGGCAUGAAUAUAAAGAUAUUUUUGAACAAAUUCGUGCCGCCCACGUGCCUUCUUCAGCAGAACCAUGUCUUGGACAAGAUACAAUGGAUUUCAUGAGUGACAUUGAGCAACAUUAUUUCCCUAAAAAAAAAAAAUUGAGCAACAUUGUUCGUGGCUGGCUUUUAUGGGGUGGACAACUAAGAGUAUUUCUUUGUCUAUAACUUUAAAAUAUAAUAUUUUUUAAAUAAAAUUAUAUUUAUUAUUUGUUUCUAUUUUUGAAUGCUUAACAAAUAUCUUUAAGGGCAUUUUGUUGGUAUGGUACGUAAUUUAUUUGGUCAAUAUUGGUGUGACCAUUUACUACAACCACAAGCUAGCCUUUACUAGGAGUCAUGAGUGGCACAUGCCCAUUUAAUUUGGCUAUCUAUAAAUGUAAGAGCCAUUUAUGAAGAAUCUCAAACUCAAUCUCACAACAAAAAUGAACUCUCUUCGUGCUGUAGCAAUAGCUUUGUGUUUUAUUGUGGCUUUGUUUGGAGUGUUACCUUUCCCUUCCAAUGCACAACUUAAUCCAUCCUUUUAUAGCAAAACUUGUCCAAAUGUUAGUUCCAUUGUCCGGGAAGUCAUAAGAAACGUUUCUAAGACAGAUACUCGUAUGCUUGCAAGUCUUGUUAGGCUUCACUUCCAUGACUGUUUUGUUCAAGUAUGUAUACUUUACCUUCUACUUGUAAAUGAUUUGUAUUAUGCUAAUGUUAUAAUCAUAAUGUAAAUAAUGUAAUCUAUGACUUGAACAGGGUUGUGAUGCAUCAGUUUUGUUGAAUAACACUGCUACUAUUGUCAGUGAACAAGAUGCUUUUCCAAACAGAAACUCAUUGAGAGGUUUGGAUGUUGUGAAUCAAAUCAAAACAGCAGUAGAAAAGGCUUGCCCUAACACAGUUUCUUGUGCUGAUAUUCUUGCUCUUGCUGCUGAAUUAUCAUCUACACUGGUAUAUAUAUGCCUCAUCCUUUAUUAUAUAGUAUUUUUAUCCACCAUUGAAUUUCAAAUGGAAAUUCUUAUUGACUCUUUUUGUUUUGUGAUGUAAUAAAAUAGUCUCAAGGUCCUGAUUGGAAAGUUCCUUUAGGAAGAAGAGAUGGUUUAACAGCAAACCAAUCACUUGCUAAUCAAAAUCUUCCAGCUCCUUUUAACUCAUUAGAUCAACUCAAAGCUGCAUUUGCUUCUCAAGGCCUCAGUACUACUGAUCUAGUUGCACUCUCGGGUAUGUAACAUUUUUAAAGUUUUUGUUUAAAAAUUUCUAAUUAGUAGUAUGUAUGAUUAUUGAUCUAUAUCUGUUUCAAUUGCAGGUGCUCAUACAUUUGGAAGAGCUCAUUGCUCUUUAUUUGUUAGUCGAUUGUACAACUUCAGCAAUACGGGAAGUCCCGAUCCAACUCUUAACGCAACUUACUUACAACAAUUGCGCAAUAUAUGUCCCAAUGGUGGACCUGGAACUCCCCUUGCAAGUUUUGAUCCAACUACUCCUGAUAAAUUUGACAAGAACUAUUACUCUAAUCUUCAAGUGAAAAAAGGUUUGCUUCAAAGUGAUCAAGAGUUGUUCUCAACAUCUGGUGCUGAUACCAUUAGCAUUGUCAACAACUUUGCCACUGAUCAAAAAGCUUUUUUUGAGAGCUUUAAGGCUGCUAUGAUUAAAAUGGGAAAUAUUGGUGUGUUAACCGGGAACCAAGGAGAGAUUAGAAAACAAUGCAACUUUGUUAAUUCAAAAUCAGUAGAACUAGGUCUUGUCAAUGUUGCCUCAACAGAGGAGGGUAUGGUUAGCUCAAUGUAAAUGUAGUGACUGGAGCCAAAUAAUAAAUAAGCUAUAACUAGGCACAUUCAUGGUAUGUGUUACAUAUCCUUAAAAAAAAAAAAAAAAUGGUAUGUGUUACAUAGUUAUUAGGCGUUUGGUGAACAAUUUGUUUUUAUUUGGUACAAGUUUCUUUUUUUAUGUGAAGUACUCCCUCUAUUCCUUUUUAUGGGAUCUUGUAACGAAAAUCACGAGUAUUAACAAAACUUGUUGGAAUAAUAAAUUUGUCACAAAUAUGUAUGACUAUUACUAAAUUACUCUUUGUUAUAAAUAAGCAACAUGCUAUAUUAGUCUAUUAAUUCACUUAUCUAUCUUAACAUAUAUCAUAUUAUUUGUUUAAAUAUAUUCAGAAGAAAUAGUCUUUUAAACAAGAUACAAGUUAUAUCACCCUUUAGAAACCAAGAAACAUACCUAAAAAAUAUACCUACGAUAGGCUACAAAUCAAACUUAAACCUUAAAUGUUUUGACAAAUUAUAUCGGAUCUUGCAAAGCCUAACUCGACUUAACAUAUAUUUACCCCUUAUCACUAUGGAAGAUUUCAUGUGCCUGAGGUCUUCAGGUUUGAUAACAAUGUGGUUGGCUACAUGCGUGUAUAUAUGGAAAUGUUAACUUGUGUCCUUAGAUCACAUUUUUUGGAACUUAAUUAGAGUGGAAAUUUUGUCUAGGAAAUCAUGUCAAUUUAUUCUUCUAGAGAUUGAAAGUUAAUGUUUUGUAAUAAAUAUUUAUCAUUUAUGGAAUCUUUAGCUAAUAUAUAAAUGACUUUAUCGUUAAUAUAAGCGGAUGUCCAUAUAACAAUUGGGUUAAUGAGUCAUAAUAUUAGACCAUGCAUAUUAUAUUGUUUGUUCUCCAAGUUAUCUCUGUAAAUAAAACUCAAAUGUAACCUAAUUAUACACCACAAAAUAAUAAUAAUAAUAGUAACAAUAAAAUAUUUUUUCUCGGAUUAAUCGAUUUUUUGAUCGGAUACCGAGUUUUCAAAAAAGAAGAAAAAAUAAUAAUAAUAAUAAUAAUAAAAUAUUUAUCUCUCUUCUAUCCCUUCCUCCCCUUUCUUUAUUCUUGUUCUUAUUUCCUUAGUUUCAUAACAAUUAAUUUAUUGAUUUAGAAAACAAUUAUACAGAAACACUUUAAUUUAUGAGUGUGCCACAGACGCUUUCAACAUACAUGUUUGUAUAUCGGUUUUGAUGGGCUGUGUCUGACAUAAAAUUGGCGAGCUUUGUAUUUGCAUAUAAAGUGUGCCUCAUUCUUUGGGUUUUAUUUGAGUUUUUAUAUUAAUUUUUUUACCAUUCAAAUAAAAGAAGACCAAAACAACUUGGGUCAUAGUUUUAGUGCAACUUGGUGGCAUAGGAGAUACCAAUUUGCACGGAAAAGUGAUAAGUUCUGUCAAAAAAUAAUUAUUAUUUAAGUCUGGCAGGACCAGGGAGGGAUGAGAAUGAGGGAGAAAUGCUUAUUAUAGAUUAAUGAUCAAAUCAACAACGAAGAAAAGAAAAUGCUUAACAAGAUUAAUUAUUUUCUUUUUACAAACGUUCGAUUAAAUUAUUAAAAAUGUAUACGUUUGGAUCAAAAUUUUAAAAUAAUUUUUGACUGUGCAUUUUGUUAAUCAAAUUAAAUGUUUCAUUAACAUUAUCAUAUUUGUCUUUUUAUAAGAUACAAUGGAUUUCAUUGAGUGACAAUGAGCAACAUCGAUUCGUGUGGUUGGCUUUUAUGGGGUCCACUUAUACGAGUAGCACGAUAUGUAUAGUAGUACUAUUUGGACCUUGUUUUAUUCGGUCAAUUUUCACACCUCAAUGGUAAUAAUGUUCUCACACAUCAACCACAAGCCUUUUCUAGGAGCCAUUCACGACUCAUUGUCCCUUCUUUUUCUAUAAAUAAGUGCUUAUUUUAUACACAUUCUCAGUAUCACUUUCACUUUCACUUUCACAACAAACAAUGAACUCCCUUCGUGCUGUAGCAAUAGCUUUGUGCUGUAUUGUGGUUGUGCUUGGAGGGUUACCCUUCUCUUCAAAUGCACAACUUGAUCCAUCCUUUUACAGGAACACUUGUCCAAAUGUUAGUUCCAUUGUUCGUGAAGUCAUAAGAAGUGUUUCUAAGAAAGAUCCUCGUAUGCUUGGUAGUCUUGUCAGGCUUCACUUUCAUGACUGUUUUGUUCAAGUAUGUAUAAUAUUCAAUCAUUCACUAACUACAUGUUCUAUUUUGCUCAUUGCGUAUGACAUGCUAUAAAUUCUUGAAAUCUUAGUAUACCUAUAAUCCUAUAGUAGUAUGAUCUUCCCAUUUAAGUAGAAUUAGUACAUAGUAAGAUAUAAUAUAAACUAGAACAAGAUCAAAUAUAGCAAAUAAAGAAUAUGUUUAGCAUGUCCUUAUGCUGCCCCUAUAUGUUAUACAAUCCAAAAAUGAAAAAAAAAAAAAAAAUCUUAAUUUUGUGUCUUAAACAUAACUUGUGUUUAAGGGCACAAAUUAACAUUCACUCUGCUCAUUAAGAAAAUAUUAAGUAAUAUAUCUAGCAAAUGAAUUGAGUUGGAAUAGUGACUUUACUUACUUACCCGGCUGAACCAAAUUCUAAAAAUUUGAGGGUUGAAAUAAAUGAAAAAUAGAAUACUAUUAGAUAUAUUUACCCUUUUGUUUUAUUAUUAAAAUAUAAUCAUUCAUUAGUAUGUCCAAUAAUUAUAGUUUAAAGUGUAUGUCUAAUAAUUAUAGUUUAAGGUUUUUUUCCUUUUUAGUGAGAGAUUUUUUUUUUUACUCAUUUAGAAGCAAUGGAGCAAGUUUUUUUUUUCAAUUAGCAAAGACAUUGUAUAAAAAACUAUGGCAUCAACCUUUUAAAUUGUACGGUUGAAGUUAAUUUUUAUUAUGCUAUUGUUAUAAUCAUAAUGUAAAUUAUGUGAUCUAUAUACUGUAACAGGGUUGUGAUGCAUCAGUUUUACUGAACAAAACUGAUACCGUUGUGAGUGAACAAGAUGCUUUUCCAAACAGAAACUCAUUAAGAGGUUUAGAUGUUGUGAAUCAAAUCAAAACAGCUGUGGAAAAGGCUUGUCCUAACACAGUUUCUUGCGCUGAUAUUCUUGCCCUUUCUGCUGAAUUAUCAUCUACACUGGUAUAUAUAUGCCUCAAACUGUACUAUAUAUUUUUCUCAUUUACCAUUGAAUUUUCAAAUCCAAUUAUUAAUUCUGCUUAUUUGUUUUGUGAUGAAAUAAAAUAGGCAGAUGGUCCUGACUGGAAAGUUCCUUUAGGAAGAAGAGAUGGUUUAACAGCAAACCAAUUACUUGCUAAUAAAAAUCUUCCAGCUCCUUUCAAUACUACUGAUCAACUUAAAGCUGCAUUUGCUGCUCAAGGUCUCGAUACUACUGAUCUGGUUGCACUCUCGGGUAUGUAACAUUUUUAAAGUUUUUGUUUAAAAAAAUCUAAUUGGUCGUUACAAUGAUGACGCCAAUGUUACAAUAAUAAUAUAUUUGAUUAUUGAUUUAUAUAUGUUUCUCGAUUUCAGGUGCUCAUACAUUUGGAAGAGCUCAUUGCUCUUUAUUUGUUAGCCGAUUGUACAACUUCAACGGUACAGGAAGUCCGGAUCCAACUCUUAACACAACUUACUUACAACAAUUGCGCACAAUAUGUCCCAAUGGUGGACCUGGCACGAACCUUACCAAUUUCGAUCCAACGACUCCUGAUAAAUUUGACAAGAACUAUUACUCUAAUCUUCAAGUGAAAAAGGGUUUGCUCCAAAGUGAUCAAGAGUUGUUCUCAACAUCUGGUUCAGAUACCAUUAGCAUUGUCAACAAAUUUGCAACCGAUCAAAAAGCUUUUUUUGAGAGCUUUAAGGCUGCUAUGAUCAAAAUGGGAAAUAUUGGUGUGUUAACUGGGAAACAAGGAGAGAUUAGAAAACAAUGCAACUUUGUUAAUUCAAAAUCAGUAGAACUAGGUUUAGUCAAUGUGGCUUCCACAGAUUCAUCAGAUGAGGGUAUGGUUAGCUCAAUGUAAUUGUAGUGAUUGGAAGCAACUAAUAAAUUAAUAAGCUAUAACUAGGCACAUUCAUGGUAUGUGUGAGAUAGUUGUUAGAUGCUUUGUGAGCUAAAAUCGUUUGUAUUUCAUUUGAAGUGUUUCUUUGAGUUGUGAGUUGAUAAUGAUCAUUUUCUGUUUCUUAUUUCGGACUUGCUUUAGCAUUAAUUUUACAAGUUUUAAGUUAAUGGAGUGCAAGACAAAGACAUCUCUUACACUAGAUUUAUCCACUUUGUAUGAUAUUUCCCAUUAAUUUACAUGCUAAUUUUGUAUAAAAAAGUAAUAAGCAAGUAUCUCCAUGGUAUAUAUUCGUAUAUUUUCUAUUACUCAACAAACUUAGUAAAAAAAAAAAAAGGGUCAUUUCAUUUAUCACCGGAUGAUAUUGAACAAUUUAUCAAUUUUACGACUUUAAAAAUCAGUGAUUUGUUCUUACUUUAGGCUCGGUCAUACAAAUACUGAUGUUAUUACCUCUUUUUUUUUUUUUUUUUUUUUUUUUUUGGAAAAAUGAUGUUAUUACCUCUUUUGAAUUAAGUUAUGGAUUCUCCAAUCCACAUAAUUUUAACACAUGACCCCAUAUAUAUGCGCGGCUAAUUUAAUCUCAUCUAAAAAGCAUGAAGAAAUAAGUUAGUAAACAUACCCUUCCAUUUACUUUGACAAAAAAACUCAAGUCUUUCUUUUCAAAUAUGGUGACAUUGGUGGUAUAUACUUAAAUCCCUUAAAAAUUUGAUUUAAGUAAUGUUUAUUUAGUAAAUAUACUUUAUUAAGCAGACUCUCUUUUCAUAAGGUUCAUAAAUUUUAAUAAUUAAAAUAUUAUUUCAUUGUUUAAAUAUGGUGAUGUAUAAUUAUUGAUUGAAAUCUAAUUUAGAAAAUUUUGUUUGAGAGAUGUUAAAUUGAAGAGACGAGUAAGACUUGAUAAGUCACAAACCCAAAUCAUUUUGAUUUGGGAACACACACAUAAGUAAGGAAGAUAAAAGAAAAUAAAUUAAAAACUCCAAAUUGGAUAUGUAUGUUUAAGUGCGUGCGCGUCCAAAUUAUUUUUGUCUAAGAUUAUGUAUUGUGCCCAAACCAAUUAAUGUUGCUCUAAAGAGAUUGAAGGUUUAUUUAUUCCUAUAAGAUUAACUUACUGUUGUGAAUUCGAACUCAAAACUCAUACCAAUACAAACUAUGAUGUGUGGAGCAAAUAAAAGUAGUAAUCAAUAUCAAAGUGAACACAAGCAACAACAAUAAUAACAACAGCUAGAUCUAAUCUAGUAAUCAAAGUGAAAAGCUCAAAACCACAAACAAAAGAUAAAGAGAGAAGAGAAACAAACACACCAAAGAUUGUUGACCCAGUUCGGUCCAACUUGACCUAAUCUGGGGGAGAGGUUGAUCUCUCCAAUCCACUAUCUAAGAGUUCUUACAAAGUGAUACAAAUGGGUUACAAGAAAUUAGCUUAAACAAGCUCACAAAGAACAAAUCUAAUUUCUACCCAUUUUCCCAAUUUCACCAAUGAACAAGAGACUCAAUGAUUUUCACUCACCCAAGGUGUUUACAAUGUUUCCCAACCCAAGAGAACUCUAAUCAAAGACCCUCAACCCUAAAGUUACCUCCUUUGAUUUCCCAAGUUUUCCUCUCUUGAAGUUCUCUCUCUUUCCUCCUUCAAAAAUGAGCUGAAACACUUAAAGAGUACACAGUGAUAGACAAAAUCGCGAUGCGCCAGUGAAAAUCGCGCCACAGUUGAAGCGUGCGACCCAAGGUACGACAACCUUAUCCACAAACCGCGUCACGCCUGCACCAAUCGCACCAUGAUUUGCCUUCAGCAGAAACCAUCCAUUCUGCCACCAAAAUCGCGCCACGCCUCCCAAAAUCACGGCACGAUUUUGGCAUUUCACAACAUCACAAUUUGAAGACAAUUUCAACACUUGUCUUUAGAGCACAAAUUAAGAAAUCAAAGAUGAAAAUAUUUUGUUGGAAAUUGUGCAUUCAAUAUUCUAGAAAUUUAAAAUCUUAUCUUCUCAAGACAUAAUUUACUACUAUAAUUUAAUUUCAUUUUUAAAUUCUUAACUUGUAUCCUAAAGGUACAAGUUAACACUACCCAAAUUAUAAAUGAAUGAUGUAGUAUUUUUGGAACCACUUAAAUGACAAGUCAACACUCCCAAAAUUACCCGAUUUUCAUUUGCUUUUUAAAAAACUGAAAUAUGAGGAAGGUCAUUGUGAGAAUGAUAUGAUUGAUAAACAAAAUCUACUUUGUUUAUAAAUGCUAUUACCUAACAUAUACAGGUGGCGAUAAUCAUUGUAGCAUAAGAUAAAGCAAAACAGGUAAACUAAUAAUGGCAAGAGUAAUGAUAUUUGAACAAAUUUUUUGGUACAGCUUUUGGGACAAUCUUGUUGUGUUCUCUUUUUAUUGGUCAAAAACAAUAUAGAGAGAAAAAGGAAGAGAAAAAAUAAGAAGAUAAUAUGAGUAUGAGAGAGAAGGUUGUACAAAAAUUAUAUAAAAAUGAUUGUACAAAUAUCAUUUCUCUAAUGACAAAGAUAGAUAAGUCCACAAAAAAAUGUCAUAAUGAAGGUGUCGAAUGUCGAAAAAGAAAACUCUAUGAAGACCCAACAAGUUGGGGCGAGCUUUAAUGCAAUACUUCCAGCUAAGGCGGAUCCAUAAAUGUGCAAGAUAGGGCUUCAAAAAAUAUAAAUAAUCGGGGCCGGCUAUAACUUGUGCAAGCAUAAAAACUACAUAUUAGUUCUAAUUUGUUGCUGUUCAACCGUCUCAAAGUAAUACUCUCGUCAUUUCAGAAUAAAUGUUGUUUAUAAAAGUUUUGUAUUAAAAUAAUCGCUGUUAUGCUUUUUCAAUGCAACUUUAAUAAAUUUAUUCUAAGUUUGCUCUCACAUUAAUCUUAUAUGCACAACUUUUAAAUCAUUAUAUUUCACUUUGACAUUAAUGAUUUAAAUGUUAUAUUACUCUUAUAUUAAUCUUAUAAGCAAAAAAUUAUGCAUUUUAGAUUCAUUCAAUUAAUGAUGUAUGUGGGCUUUAUUAUAGACCACAUACAUCAUUCAGUUUAACAUAGUCGAGUAUAAACAAAAACUUGGUUGAGUUUUCUCGAGUUUAACACGUGUUAACUCGGUCAAACUCGCCAAACAUCUCGAUUUUACCAGAAACCGAGUUUACCUCCGAGUUAACACGAUUUCAGCACCUAAAAACGUAAAUUCGUCCGAGUUUACGAGUUAACACUCAAUUUGUGGAACAUUAUCCUCAAUCCCACGUAUUACUCAACUGACUUGAGAAAAAAAAAUGCACUCUUCCCGAUUCAAUUGUCUUAGCCUUCGCUUAAAUUUUCACCAACUAGAAGGACCCUCGCCUAAUCACACAUCAGCCGAUGUCGAUUAAUAAAGUAAUUAGUUUUAGGUUAGGUUUAAACAUAGUCAUAUGCCAAUCUAGCAAGUUAAUUUUCAUAUAUCAAAAUAGUUUUUGGAAAAAUAUACAUUGUUGACAAAUUUCAUAUACACAUAAUUUUUCUUAAUUAUUGUGUAUUAGUGAAGAGAGUUUUUCAUAUAUGGAUAUAUGUGGUAGCGUGUUUGUCCGUUUCAUUAAAAAGUCACCAUUCCCUUUACUAAUUACUUUCCAUUUUAGGAGAAACACUCUUUUAUGGGUCCCACCAAAAACUCUUUUCUUCUCUAUUUAUUUGGUAACCAAACAAAGGAAAUAGUAUACUCCUCUUUUAUCUCCAACCUCUCUCUUUCGUUCUAGUUUCCUAUGGAGCUAAACAAAUAUGCUAAAGUUUGAGGGAGUAAAUGCCAGCAAAUUGAGAUGAAGAUAUUUUGAAUUCUGAACAAAUUCGUGACGACCACGUUCCCGUAUAGACAGAGCAAUUUGAUUUAGGUAAAAAUACAACAAAGGAUUUCAACAUUGAAAAUAAGAAACUUCGAUGGUGAUUUGCCAUCUUUGUGGUCCACACAUGAGAGACGUGACACUAUAGCUAGUACAACUAUUUGUAUUUACACGUUACUCCCUCCGUCCCAAAUUGUACGACGUUUUCAGACAUAUUAAAAAAUACAAUUAAUAUUGUCUGGAAAAGAGAUAUUAUGAGUUGUUUUACAAAAUUGUCCUUAAUAAAUAAUAUGGGAAAGAUAAAUGAAAGAAUUGAAAGAAGAGAGGGUAAUAAAUAAUUAAGAUUAUAACAGAAAAAGUAACAUUAAUGUUGUAUUGGUAUUGUAAAGUGACAUAUAAUUUAAGUUAAAUUUUUUUCCCUAAAGCGACAUACAAUUUGGGACGGAGGGAGUAGUUUUUAGGUCAAUAGUUACACCUUAAACCCUUAAUAAUUGCUAGGCAAUGUUCUCACCGUUCAUUGCACAACAAGACUUUAUUACUAGCCAUUAUAUUUGUAUGUCUAUAAAUAAAUGCUCACAAUAAAUUAUAAGCACAUUCUCACUCUUCAAAACAAUGAACUCCUUAGCAACUUCUAUGUGGUGUGUUGUGCUUUUGGUUGUGCUUGGAGGACUACCCUUUUCCUCAGAUGCACAACUUAGUCCCACUUUUUACAGCAAAACUUGUCCAACUGUUAGUUCCAUUGUUAGCAAUGUAUUAACAAAUGUUUCUAAGACAGAUCAACGCAUGCUUGCUAGCCUCGUCAGGCUUCACUUUCAUGACUGUUUUGUUUUGGUAUGUCUUUAGGUGACUACUUUAUAUUUCUAAUAUUAUCUUUAGAUUUAUAAAUAUUAGUUUAAAAUAUAUUAUAAUACAAUAUGGUUAGUUCGAUCCAUGCGCAACUCCUAUAUAUUAUACAACUAAAAAUGGUAAAUAAUUGUCUACUACAACUGAUCAACAGACGUUUCCUAAAAAAAACGUCAAUUAGAUAUAUCUUCAUUUGUCCCUUUGAAAUUAACUGUCUUUUGAUCGAACUUUUAUUAUAAUGUCCCUUUUACAAAAUAGAAGGAUUAGAACAAAGAAACAAUAGAAAAAUAAUUCUUAAACACCUAAAACCAUUCUACCAUUAAAGAAAGAAGAAAUAAAUGGAAAUAAUAUAUGUGAUAGGUUGUUGAUAUAAUAGGAAGAGAGAGAUGAAGAGAAAAUAAAUGUAGAAGUAGAAUGUACGUAAGAAAAGUAAGAGAGAUGCAAAUAGGGUUCUAAUAAUUGUCUUGCACUUCUUUUCUUUAUAUUUUAUAAAAUUAUGCAUUAACUAGUAUUUUCUAAAAAUUGUAGGCCAAGUAUAUGAAUCAACUUUCUUUUUUAAGUUUUUAACUUUCAAGUAAAUUUUUAAUAUGCUUUUUUACCAUAUGUUCUUUAAUUUAUGCGUCAAAAAAUAAUGUGAUGCAUAAUUUUCACAGGGAUGUGAUGCCUCGGUUUUGUUGAACAAUACUGCUACGAUCGUAAGCGAACAACAAGCUUUUCCAAAUAACAACUCUUUAAGAGGUUUGGAUGUUGUAAAUCAGAUCAAAACUGCUAUAGAAAGUGCUUGUCCUAACACAGUUUCUUGUGCUGAUAUUCUUGCUCUUGCUGCUCAAGCAUCCUCUGUUCUGGUACAUAUGCCCUAAUUCUAAAUAUAUUUCUGUAAUUUAAUGCCUCGUUGAUCAUUAAAUUUCAAAUGCAAUAUUUAAAUGAUUCUAUUUCUGUUCUGAGUAUAUAAUACUAUAAUAUAUGCAUUUGAUAAUGGUUGCAAUCCAACAAAAAUGAUCAUAUAGUUAAUUAAGGUAGCGGCGCCGUCUGUAUUUUGUUUUCAGUUUUUGCCGCGAGUUUUUAUGCGCCUUGCAUUUACUCGACGUGAAUAAAUUUUCCGUUUCAAAAAAAAAAGUUAAUUAAGGUAGCUUCAAAAUCUAGGGUUAUUUUUAUAAUGAUUAAAUAAAAAAACCAUUUCAAGAAGUUAAUCAUCUAUGAAAAUUAAAUACUACAUCACAAGGCUAAGAGUAACACUUAUUUUACCUAUGAUGAAAUAAUACAGGCACAAGGUCCUAGUUGGACAGUUCCUUUAGGAAGAAGGGAUGGUUUAACUGCAAACCGGACACUUGCAAAUCAAAAUCUUCCGGCCCCAUUCAAUACCUUGGUUCAACUUAAAGCUGCAUUUACUGCCCAAGGCCUGAAUACUACUGAUCUAGUUGCACUCUCGGGUUUGUGCUCAUUUUAGCGAUGAUGUUGACGUUACAUAAAAUAAAAAUUAUAUAUAUGAUUAUUGAUUUAUAUAUGUUUCUCGUUUUCAGGUGCUCAUACGUUUGGAAGAGCUCAUUGCGCACAAUUUGUUGGUCGAUUGUACAACUUCAGCAGUACUGGAAGUCCGGAUCCAACUCUUAACACAACUUACUUACAACAAUUGCGCACAAUAUGUCCCAAUGGUGGACCUGGCACGAACCUUACCAAUUUCGAUCCAACGACUCCUGAUAAAUUUGACAAGAACUAUUACUCCAAUCUUCAAGUGAAAAAGGGCUUGCUCCAAAGUGAUCAAGAGUUGUUCUCAACAUCCGGUGCAGAUACCAUUAGCAUUGUCAACAAAUUCAGCACCGAUCAAAACGCUUUCUUUGAGAGCUUUAAGGCUGCAAUGAUUAAAAUGGGCAAUAUUGGUGUGCUAACAGGGACGAAAGGAGAGAUUAGAAAACAAUGCAACUUUGUUAACUCAAAUUCUGCAGAACUAGAUUUAGCCACUAUAGCCUCCAUAGUAGAAUCAUUAGAGGAUGGUAUUGCUAGUGUAAUAUAAAUAAAUUAGCGUCAAUGCACUUAUUGAAAUCUUGUGACUAGAUGCCACUAAUAAAUAAGUUAUAACUAGGCACAUUUCAUGUCACUUGAAAUCCUAUGCUUUGUAUAUGAAAGGACGUGUUCUUCUUGGUAUUAUACUAUAAUGAGACUUGUAUUAUGAGUCGUGUUUAUGAUCAAUGUCACGCUUUCUUGUUUGUGACAUGCUUUGCCAUAAUUUUAUGAGUCACUUACACUUAAGCACAUUAUUUGGUUCAUAGUAAAAAAAAAGUUAUAAGCAUAUUGUAACGAUCAUAUUUGACUGCUUUUACACGAUAACACCACUUCAAUUCAAUUUACCUAAGCAAGUAUGGAAAUUCAAUUUACCUAAGCAAGUAUGGAAACAAUUAAUUGGAGGGAGGUGACAAGUCACCGAAACAAGAGAUCAUAGCAAGAAAAAAGGCCGGCUCAAAGAUUUUUUUUGAAAGAUUUGUACAAAUAAUUUAUAGAAGUUGUGAAUAUAUAAUUAAUAAUGUUCUCAGUCGUGCUUCAGGUGCAAUUGUUUCAAGGUUCGCUUGGUUGGAGAAGUAUCGUUAGUUAGAACACCGUCGCUCAACGAUGUGCUGUUUUGCGGUGGUCGUCAUUUUGGUUUUGUUUGACUUUGGGGGUUGUUUUGGUUAUGAUUAUUGUUUUUGGAUGUUCCGCCUAUAUACGACAUCGUUGCUUUGUAAAUCUUAUUUCACUUGUCUUUGUUCCUCUUGAACAAGGAUUUCUUAUUAAUAAAUUUAGCCUUUUAAAAAAAAAGUUGUGAAUAUAAUUAAACUAAUAUAUUUUGCUUACUUUGAAAUACUCUUUGAUCACGUACUUUGAAAUAUUCUACUUUUGAGUUUAUAGACAUUCUUUCAUAAAGUAAAUUUAAUUCUUCUGCUAUAGUACUAUUAUUGUUUUCCUUGAGAAUUCAAAACUAUGCAAAUAUUGUCCUCGUUAAUUAAUUCUUCUACUCUUAUUGAAACCUGUUUAAUAAACUCAACUAAAUGUACAAAACAGGGAUGGAGUAGAAUUCUACAUUCAAUUCAAAUAAAUAUGAACCAGGGAUGUUCCCAUGUUGAACAUUUGACCUUUGAUAGCGCUUGCCCAAGGGAAGCGGCAAGGUACACAUUUCAUAGCAAUUUCUCUAAAUACGCUAUUAAAUGUCAUACAGUCUUUGAUAGUGAAAAUCUGAGAAGGCUUGCAAGCGCUAUUAAAAAUAUUUUUUGGCAUAAUACACAUUCAACCGAACAUAGAUCUCUACAUGAUAUUGAAAUUCUUUAUUAUAAAUUGGCAUGUUUGAAUCCAUCCUCUGAAGCAUGGGUACUCCAAACAUGGAGAAGUACUGAUAUCUGGUACGCGUAUGGUAUUCGUAACUUAGUACCAAACCGUACCUAUUUUUACUUAGUUGUUUCGUCGUUGUUGGUGCAGCAAAAACGUACGGACGGUUGAAAAAUAGCCAAAAUUAUUUUGCUUUUUUAUUGUAUUUUAAUUCUCUUGCUUUUGAUGAAAAUAUUAGAGGGGGUGCAUAAAAAAUGUAAAACUCUCAAGCAACAUGAUGAUAGAAGUGUAGUAAUUCACUUGAAUUAUUAUUAUUUUUUUUUUAUGUUUUAUACCAACGUAACCAUACCUUUAUUUUUUAAAAUUUGUCAUAUUACGUAUUGGAUACCCUACCCGUACCUAUGCAUCAUAGUAUAUCCAUCUUAUCAAUUGAACGAUACCAAAAGUUAAUUUACCCUUUUAAUAAUCAUAGUGACAAAAAGUUGCGAUUAUAUUUUCUAAUGAAUUAUUAUGAUUAAUAUUUGAUUUGCAUCGAGAGGAUCACAUAAAUUAUGUUUUAGAUUUGUGGAUCAAAUGAACUUUGCAUAUGUUCAAGAGAGCUAUGUGUAUGAGGUUUAAAUUUCAAACUCUACUACUAAUAAUUCCUGUCCUCAUGGAUUAAAUAAGUAAGGUUGAUCAAGAGAAUUUAUAGCCUAACAUACAUCAGGCACAUGUCAUACAAAUUUUUUGUAUAAAUUAAAUAGACAAGGUUAAUUAAUUAAGAUUUAUUUAGAAGCAUAUUUAACUAGAAAGGCGAGAUGAAAUUGAUGUUAUUCCAUACUAAUGCCUCGUUGCAUCACACGCUACGGGAAGGUAACCAGUGCGCAGAUUUUCUUGUCAAAUUAGGAGCCUCUUCGGACGUCACUCUUUCAGCUCACCCUCAUCCCCCUGAUGAUCUUCGCCCUUUGUUGAGGACAGAUGCCUUAGGAACUUUGUUCUUACGAAGAUAGUUUUUUCCCCUAGAGGGUUUAUCUCUUUCUUUUUUUCUGUUUUUUUAGCAUUGUAACCAAAAAAAAAAAAAAAAACUCUUAAGUCACUGAAAAAGUCUUUUAAACCUAUUCUAUAAAUAUUGUACUUUAUGUUAAAUCAAAAAUUUGCUAAUAUAGUUUGUAAUUAAUUAAGCAUCCUAGCUUUCAUCAAUUUUUAACAUAUUUAAGUGUCUUACUACAAAUUAACUUUAAAUAUGAUGUUACAUAAGUCAUGAUUAUCUAAAAAGUCAUGUUAUAGAUAUUAAAAUACAACUUAAUUUAAUUAAUUGGUCUAUUAGUUUGUGUCUAUUUUUGUAAGUAUGAAAUAAAUCUUUAAUUGCACUAAAAAUAAAAUUUAUGACAAGUAACGAGUUAAACUUAUAUCUUAAAUUCUUUUUUUAUCAUAAUAGAUUUCUUGAUUACCUUUGAAAAAUGGUGGUAAUUUACCUACCAACCAAUGAAAAUGAGCAAUUUGUUGGUGGGGUCAAGAUAGUUCAUGGAUGCCACUUAAAAAUGUGUUUAUGUGGCUAUUGUGUAUUGGAUGGGGUAAAUUACCCACCAUUCUUCUAUGGGUACCCUAGUUGUCACCCUUGAAAAAAUUGUAUAAUGGAGUCAAAGAUAUGUUUCGUGUGGAGACACAACUUGAGAUCUCAUAUUUUCGGAUUGACAAACAAAUUAACAACCAUCAUAGAAUUAAUAGUAAAGUCAAACAAAACAUAGCUUGUUAAAAAAUAUCAAAGUUUCUUUUUCGUUAAAUUCAAAGCUUAGGACAGGGCAGCAGAUUAAAUUUUAGACUAAUGAAUUGUGGGAUAUAUCACUAAUCAUUCACUAAAGCAAUAAAAAGUCCAAAGGUUUAGAUUUGAUCUAGCUAACUUAAAGUUUGAAUAAUGUAACAAAUUAUUAUGUCAUGCACGUGGUUAACACAUAUAUAGAUAUUAUUAACAAAUGAAGUUUAGCUGUCCAAGUUUAGGUAUAUGCAUGCAUAAAUAAUUUUUUAAUAGGUCGAUUAGCUGCCCUGUCUUCAUGCAAAAUUUCAUCCACAAGCUAACUCGGGGGAGACAAACAAAGAAGACCGACAAAAGUAGGUUUAAUUUCAUCUCGAAGAUCUCGAGCAUAAGAUUCUUGUUUCCUUGUAGGUAUAUAUCCCUCCGUUUUUAAAUAUAAACAAAAAUCAUUUUUUAGGUUCAUUCAUUUAAUAAUGUAUGUGGUUCAUAAUAUGAAAGUUCAUAAUAUGAACCACAUACAUCAUCAAAUGAAUGAACCUAAAAAGUAAUUUUUACUUAUAUUUAAAAAUGGAGGGAGUAAUAAAUUUUCUUUUUUUAGCAGCCUUCCAAAUAUAUAAGUUAUGCCCAAGGGUAUUUAUAGUAUUGUAAAUUAACAUUAUGCUUUAUUGAAGUUUUUUAAAACAAAAAUAAAUAAAUUUCCAGAAAACAUAUUAUUUAUUUCCGGAAACUUAAUUCAAUUGUUAAGGAUAUGAAUAUUGCAUAUUAUAUAUAAGGGUUGAGAUUCGAACUUCGGAUACCACAUUAUUUAAUAAAAAAAAAAAAACGCAUAUUCUUUUUUAUGUUAACCUUCUCUUGGUAUUCUAAUUUUCUUUGACCGAAGAUUCUUUGAGUUAGAAUUUAAAGUUGAGUUUUUUGAACGAUUUAUUGCUGUUAUUGAACUUAAAAGUUAGUCAAGUGAUUGGCAAAUAAUUCUUGAUUGUGAUUUUCUUUGAGCAUCAAACAUUUACAUUUUCCAUUUAUUAACAACUCCAUGUGUUAAGUAUGAAGUUGAGUAUUUUGUGAGCUAUUAUACUAAGAAUUGCAUAAGUAAAAAAGUAAAGUAGAAAAACAAACGACAAAUUUGCAAAAAAAAAAUAAAAAAUAUCUUGAGUUGAAUGAUAUUUAUAGAAAAAAACUAGUCAUGUUGGCCAGUACAUUUUAGCCUAAAAAAUCUAGCCUUGUUCGACUAUUUAUGCGGAUAAUACAUGAAUCUUCAUGUUGUUGUAUGUAUGUGGCACUCUAGGUCUAGCCUGUUUUCCCCAUCUUGCGUCGUUUUCUAUUUUUCCUUAUCAAUGCAUGCUACAUUGCUUCAAAAUGUGCCAUUGUGAACAUAGUUCCUUCAGUUAGCGACAUUAUAAACAUGGGGCACGAGCAAAACAUAGAAUUGACAAGUUCCACAUGUCUUUCAUUGCUUCUAACACUCCCACGACCUGCGUGAACCGUAUUGGACUUAAGAAAGAUUCUCCAAUCUCGAAUUCAUCUUUAUUAGAUUCGGUUAUCUUUCAUUCGACUAUAUUGGGGAUUCAUAUGACCCUUAAUUCAACUGUUUUCCAUUCUCAACUAGCCACUUAAUUAUUUUUAGGUGUAAACAAAUGUUCACAACCAAUUUCAGGCAUGUCCUACCGGUUUCUCUCCUAACUAAGGAUGCAUUUCGUUGAUGACCAUGGAUGCCGACUCCGUUUCAAAGAAUUUGACAUAAUGUUUUCGUGCCUUUUUAUGAACCUUUUGGAAUAACAGUUAUUCCAACUGCUUCAGGUGUCAUCUUAACCAUAUGUUCAUGUCCAAAAUGAUGGUUAGUAUGAUUUAACGUAUCAUUCGUUAUUGGUUUCAUGUAGGGUAAACUGUGACAAAAGUACUAAGAUAGGAAUUUAUGGGAAUGAAAGAUGUCUACUAUAUAGAAUUUUGUUAACCUGCUAAUGAUCCACCAUAAUCAUGACCUACGAAGGAUUUGAAGUUUAUAGUCAGUCUAUGUUUUUGAGAUUUCCUCUAGAAUGCAAGUGCAUGCGUCAAAUUUAAUCAUGACCUGGAAAAUAGUUUUUUUUUUUUUUUUUUGUGAUAUUGGUCAUAAUGUCCCACUAGACGUGUGAAAUAUUUAAUCAUGACCUAUCAAUUGUGAUUCCCUUUGCGCAUCAAACAAAUUACAUGGAGGAAAAAAUUGAUGUGCUUCAACUAUGGGUUCUUUAACUCCUAAAAAGUGAAGGAGAAAUGUUAAUGCUAAAUUUGCGAAAAAUAGUUUGGUUUUGAUUAUUUUUUUGUUAAAUAAAAUCUACGAAUGCGGUAUUUAUGGAAAAAAUUAGUUCAACUGGCCAAUACAUUGUAGCCUAAAGAGUCGAGACUUGUUCAACUAAUUUUGCAAGUAAUGGGUAAAUCUUCCAUUUGUUGGGUGUACAUGGCAUCCCACUUCUAGCAUGUUUCCCCCCAUCUCACAACAUUUCAUCGGUGAUGAUGGUUGUUUCUGUUAAUGGUGAUAUAAUUAUGGAACACUAUUGAAAAUGUUAAAUUGUCAAGUUUCAUGUACAUUUGACUACUUCUGAUACUCCCUAAGACCUACAUGAAGUUUAGUGGAUUUGAGAAAGAUUCGCCUAUCUCAUAUUCUUUGAAUUAAACUCCAACUCGUGACGCCGACAAACCCUUUAUUGAUAAUACUCAUUAACAACAUCAGAGUCAAUACAAACCUCCACAAGCUUAAAAUAUCUGUCAUAAACCAAUUGAACUAGGGACGAACCCACCCUUAUGGGUAGUGUGGGUUAUGGCCUACACUUAGUUUUAAAAAUCAUUUUUUUAGUAUUUAAUACACUAAAAAAAAAACAAAUUAUAUGACAAAGACAAAGACAUAUGCCUCCACUAUGUUUGGAUUUUUUUUUUAAAUAUUUGAGUUCUUUUGUUGAGAAAGUGCAAGAUAUUUGUCAUAAUAAUAGUCUUAAAAUUUAUCAAAAUUACGAAAAUACGCACUUUUUUUUUUUUUUUACAAAAACAAACUUAAAAGUAUCUUUUAUUGAUCACUUUGAUCUUUAGAUAUGACUUUUAUUAAUUAUUUAACUAUUUAGUACUCAAAUGUAUUUUUUGUUAGUAAGUUGGCUUAAAUAUGUAUUUGAUCUUUGCAAUUAAAGGUCGUUUAAAAAUUGGUCCCUGUAUUCGCUAAUCCUUGCAAACUAGUCUUGCAAUCAUUAAUCAUUUAAAAUUUAGUCCUUUGACCAACUUAAUCACUGCCACGUCACUAAUUUGAUGACGUGGCAAUCACUGUCAAACAUGAAAUUUCAAUUUUGCCCUUAAGAAGAGGACAAAAUAUUGAAGAAAGAAUUGGAAACUCAGGGGUAAAAUUGGAAUUUCGUGUGGCAUGGCAGUGAUUAAGUGGGGAGAGGGACGAAAUUUUAAAUGAUUAAACAAUGCAGAGGUAAAUUGCCAGGAUUAGCGAUUACAGGGACCAAUUUUUAAACGACCCCUAAUUGCAAGGAUCAAAUACAUAUUUAAGCCUAGUAAGUUUUAUUAAAUUCAAAUAUUGUAGUCACAACUCAUCAUUCAUUUAGAGAUUAAAACGAUUAUUUUUAAACUUUGUAGUAUCAUACAUGUGACAACAAUAGGAGUUAUAGCCCUUUGAGGAUUUUUGUACAACUUUUGUUUAUGUUGUGUCGUUGAUGGUGUUAGCUUUGUUUUGGUAUUUCUAUUUAUUGAUUUUGGAUAUAGCCCUUUGUUAGGAGGUGUUUUCUAUAAGUUUUUUUUUUUUUUUUUUAUUCACGGGUGUAUGAGUUUUUCAUUGGAUCUUCUCAUCUAUCCUUUAUAUGUUACUACUUUAAGACUCCUAACCUAGCACUCCCUGUACUGGUUAAGAUUCAUCGCGAUGUUAAUAAAUUCCAUUUUAGUUUUUUUUAAAAGAAAAAAAAUACAUGUGACAACAAUAGGAGUUAUAUAGCUCUAUAGUAAUACACCCGAUAAUUCAGCUGUAUAUGAACCUGUAGUUUAAAUUUGUUUAUUAGCUUAGUAAAAAAAUUAUUUUGCGAAAAUUUCUGUGAGUUUUCUAUGAUAACAUGCAGCGAUUGUUAACAUCGAUCUACGCAAUCUUUCACAUUUGAUUAUUUCUCUGUACUGUAUCAUUUCUGUUUUUUAUAAGUCAAUUUAAUUUAUUAAAAUUAUUUGAAAACUAUAACCUUGAGUGCAAGUGAGGAACUAUGCAAGUUGUCCCAAUAACAGAAAUCGAUCAUAGUCCAAUUAAAAUACCGCAAAAUUCAAAUUUGAUGUACUAAUAAUUGUGGCAUACUUUUAAAGACAUAAUUAAAUAUAAAAAUAAUAGAGUGGUGAUAUUUGAACAACUAUUUGAUACAACUUUUGUGACAACUUCUUUUUUCUCUCUUUUCAUUGGUUAAAAACAAUGGAGAGAGAAAAAUAAAGAGAGAGAAUAAGAGUAUAAUAUGAAUAUGAAAGAUAAAGUUGUCACAAAAUUGUAAAAAAGGAUUGUACAAAUAUCAUUUCUCAAACAAAAAAUAUCAGAGAUGUUGAAUUCCUCAUAGUUCGUGGGAUUUGCAAAACCUAACUAAUAUUCAAAUCUGUCAUUGGGUAAAACAAAAGAAGGAAAAUGAAACAUGAAUUAUAUAUGUCACAUAUUAUAUAUGUGGGGAAAAUGCUUUUGAGAAAGCAUAUGGUGAUGUGAGACUUUAACAAUUUAUAUAUAUCCCCUUUAGGGUUAGGGGUAAGGUAAACACCAAAAUCUUUGUUUUUAGUCUUAAAAAGGAUGAAAAAUUGAAAAAAACAGUGAUUUAAAGAACGACCUAAAGCAAGUCAAUGACCAAAAUAAAUACGUGUGAGGUACUCCAUAAACAAUGUACCGGAUUUCUUGUUUUUGCUUUUCUGACAUUGAUGUUCCACGUCAUAACGUGCAACAUUUAUUUAUUGAAAAGGAUCCACAACUUGUUGACAAAAGCAUGGUAGUAUGGGGACAGCAUUAGUUUUCUAACGCAACCUUAUCUGAAAUAAGAAAUGAUAUUUCUAAAUUGUUUGCUCAAAAACGGUGGUGGUGGUUUAUGAUCAAUUUUUAACUAAAAUUAUCAUUUUGAAAUAUUUUUUCUCUUUUAUUUAAAUAAGUGAUUUUUAUAUUUAUUUAAUUUUUCUUUUGAGAUUUUCUCAUCUUAGUACGAUAGUGUUUUGUUCGUGGUCUAUAUACAAUAUUGUUUGUUUUUUCGUUUUGUUAAGAUGUUUAUUUAAUUCAGAUUGUCAUAUCAACUUUGAUCAAGAACAUAUCCCUAUAAGACAAGGUGCAAAAAUGAAGGUCUUCUACACGAAGACGAUGAACAUGAUCUUUAAAAUGGGACGCGAGCCAUGAUGAACUUUGGGGUCUUCCACACUAGGACAAUUAUAGAGCUUAUAUGUAAAUCUUCUUUUAUUCAAGGUUAUAUAUGUAAAUCUCUUCGAUACAUUAUACAUUGAGUACAAUGUAAUAUUUUGAAUAUGUUAGUUUUUUUUUUGUCAAGAAUAUGGUAGUUUUAUAUGCAUGAUUAAUUAUUAUUAUUAGGUUUAAAUGCAGUUUUAUCUCCCCUCCCUUAUUUUGACUCAAACUGGAUUUUACCCCUCCUAUUUUAAAACUCGGAAUUUCACCCCCCCUUCCCCCCAGUUUAAUGUUUUUCAGAAUUGUGCCCCCCUAUUUUAAAAAUCGGAAUUUUACCCCUCCAGUUUAAUAUUUUUCAGAAUUUGGUUGAUGUGGCGGUGCUAACGUGGCUUAAAUAAUAUUAAAAAAACACUCACCUAUUUAAAUUAUUUAUAUUAAAUAUUCUGAAUUAAAAAAAAGAGAAAAAAUCAAUAAAUAAAAAAUGUAUUGCUUGUUCAAAAAAAAAAAUGUAACUUAAAAUAAUAAUAAUAAUAACAACUUUUCUUAUAUUUCCUUCAAAAAAUCAUUUUGCUUAUAUGCACACACCAAAAUCCAAAAUCCAAAAAAUACCAUAAAAUGCAUAAAAUAAUGAAAAAAAAAAGCAGGAAUUAUUAAACCAAAAAUUAUAAAACUAGAAGGAGAAAAAGCAGUAAAAAUACUAGAAAAUGGAGAUAAAAGGUAGGAAAAAAAAUCAGAAUAACAGAAAAAAAUCCCAUUAAAAAUACAUGAAAGGAAAUGUAAGCAAAUUGAUGUUUUGGAUUUUGGUGUGUGCGUAAAUCAGAAUAAACAACAACAAAAAUCCCAUUAAAAAUACAUGGAAAGAAAUACAAGCAAAAUGAUUUUUUGGUUUUUGGUGUGUGCAUAUAAGCAAAAUGAUUUUUUGAAGGAAAUAAAAGCAAAAUGGUUAUUAAUAUUAUUAUUAUUAUUAUUUUAAGUUACAUUUUUUAUUUAUUGAUUUUUUUUCUCUUUUUUUAAUUCAGAAUAUUUAAUACAAAUAAUUUAAAUAGGUGGAUGCUUUUUUUUUAAUAUUAUUUAAGCCACGUCAGCACCGCCAAAUUCUGAAAAAUAUUAAACCGGGGGGAAUUCCGAUUUUUAAAAUAGAGGGGGCAAAACUCCGUAAAACAUUAAACUGUGGGGGGGGUGAAAUUCCGAGUUUUAAAAUAGGAGGUAAAAUCCAGUUUGAGUCAAAAUAGGAGGGGCAAAACUGCACUUAAGCCUUAUUAUUAUUAUUAUUAUUAUCAUCAUCGUCACUGUUGUUGUUGUUGUUGUUAUAGUUUUAUAUUUUGCACCCCGGCCUAGGGUCAUAAAUACGUCACUGCCACCAACAGCAAUCUCGACCCGCUCUCUUUUUUCUCCCUCAACACCCUUCUUUCCAACCUCCUUCUUCCCACUCGUAACAUCCCCUCCGUCUCCAUCUCCUUAGAAUUCUCAAAGUAAUCAUACCUUGCAACCUUAGCAAAGACCCAAUAAUUACCAAAACAAACAUUAUUCAAUGUUUUAAAAAGUUUUCCAACAUCAAGUACAUUGUUGAAGCGAACAAAACCAUAUGCAUGACCAUUCACGUUACACUUAUUUGCCAAGUAAACAUCUUUCAAAAUUUCACAAACAUCAAAACUUUGCCGUAAACAAAAAUAGGGAAUUUUCUCCAGCACGUUUGUAAGAUAAAAAGAAAAAAAAACCUCUUGAAUUGUGACCCCACAUGAUCGGACCUAUUAUGUUGUAGAUGACGAAUAUCAAAAUUAGAACCAGCCCCUAACCAUGCUGAAACUUGAUGCGAGCCAUGUUGAGUGUAUCGCGACCUUGAAUGCACAAUACUUUGAUCCUGAAAAACCCUAGCCCUAACCUGUUAAAACCGAUGCACACCAAUACCUCCUUGCCGCGAUGUUGCCUGUUAUCUGUCCUGGCCAAUAUGACCCCAUCCAAACAUUUUUCGACGUCGCCGACUCACCUCUGUUCAUUUCCCUCAAUCCCCCCGAAGAACCUUAGUGUCGGCGAUAUGAAAUGUCGACGCGAUUGCCCUCGGCGAAUCCUAGGGUAAUCGCCCCUCUCAACAUUUUUCAUAUUUGCUAAUAGAGAAGAGUUAUUUGAACAACCAUUUGCUUGAUAACUUAUGUAACAACCAUAAUUUACAAAGAAAAAAAUAGGUAUUUGCACAAAAACCAAAAUAAUAAAAAGAUAAAAUAAAAAUUAAUGUGAAUAUAAAAGAGAAAAUUGACACAAAAGUUAUCACAAAAUAAAUGUUCAAAUAUCAUUUCCCUUCCUAAUAACUCCAAAUGCUAAAUAUGGUCUGAAGCCAACAAAUAUGGUGGCAUCUAAUGAAAUGACAUCACAAGUUGACAACCAAUAAAAUACUUGGGUACAUAUGACUCUUGCAUGCUUUUUAUUUUAUGCGAUUUCCCUGUUUCCUUUUGAUAGGUUCUGGGCAAUUUCCUGAGCUAGUACAUUGGUGGAGAAAUAAAACAAAUAUGGUAUGGUACAAUUGGAGAAAUAAAUUUUAUAUGGACCUCCCAAAAUAAUUUUGUCAUCGUUAUCGAAGACAUAAAUAUUGGUCCCCAUCGCUCACGUGUUAUUUGUUUGACUCUUGAUAAUCACGGGUUAAUCAUUAAUUCAUUCAUACACUUUUUUUUUUACAGAAUACAUUCAUAACUUUUUUUUAGGGGUAAAAUUCAUUCAUAAACAUUGUACCAAAAAAAAAAAAUAUAUCAUUCAUUCAUAAACAUAAUAGUUUCUGAUAUUAUUCUCUCAAAAAAAGUUUCUGAUAUUAUUGUUGUUCAGCCGAGGGGUUUGGUGGCGGUGCCAAUAAGUAUGAUUGUACUGCUGGGUGUGCUGAUCUUAUUAGGGAUCAGAAGAUGAGUGAUUAGGGGAUUCUUUGGAUUUUUGGAGAAAUACAUUCGAUAAUUUAAUUGUGACACAUAAAUCAAUUAAAAUAUUUUUUUCUCUCUCUUUUGCAUGUUUUUAUGCUUAAAAAAAAUUGUAUUGUCACAUAUCAUAUUUGAAUUUGCCAAUAUCAUAUAUAUUAUGUUACACAACACAAAUGCAAUCCACCUGUGACUCUGUGAGGGAGUAGUAUAGAAGGUCUUUGUUGGUAUGCAAAGUGGUUGGGUUUUAAUCUAGCAAAUUAUAUGUGGAUUCUUAGGUUGUGGUGAAUAGUAGUAUUAUUAUUAUUAUGAAGGGGCAGCAGUAGAAUGUGAUUGUAAUGUGUCUUGUUCAAAGGAUUUGACAACUCUUACUGGAUGGAGUGAAAGGUGAAGGAUCAACAUUUAUAUCUUGAGGACAUGUGUGUUGAUCUUUAACUAAUACUACUCGUCUUUGUAUACAAGUUUUCUACGUCAUUUUUACAUUUAUUAAGAAAAGUUGUUAAUGUAAUUUUUAUGUUUAUUUUAUGUGUUAAUAUUAUUAAGUUAUUUUUGGUUUAUAUGUAUAUUAAAUUUGAUUUUUUUUUUUCAUAUUUUAAGAGAAGUUAGUAGUAUUUUUUUGAAAAAAAGACACGUCAGUGGUAUUAAUUAGUUAUAUGUUUAAAAAAAAAAAAAAUCAUCUAAUAAUUUGUAUAAACAAUUAUAUUUAGGGACAAUACAUUUUAUCAAAAUCCUUAUAAUUAUGGACGGAGUAAAUAUUAGGUAAAAUGAGAUAUGAGAUGAUGUUUUAUGAAUCUUGUCCGACACAAAUUAGUCAUUUGUUUGCUGCUGAUCAAUCAAGAUUUUCUUUACCACGUUGGGUUAAGAUAUAAUUUCUUCAUGUUAGUAAAAAAAAACAUUAAUUUCCGUGAGCUUAGUUUAGUUGGUAAGUAAAGACAAUGCAUAAUAUAUGCAAGGUCUGUUCGAUCUCUGAACACCACAAAAUAAGAGUAAAAAAGGAUUAAUAUUUUUUAGAAAUUUAAAUUUUUUUUUUAUUAAUUUAUAGAGCUUUGUUUGUACCAAUUAUUUGUGUGCACAUAUAUAUAGGAGAGAUAUUGACUCCAAGAAUAAGUUUAUAGAUUUACUCUAAAUCUCCACCUUUCAUCUCAUUUUAAUCUAAUGGUUUAAAUGUUAAUUUUUGAAGGAGAAGUGAUUUUCUUCUUCUUCCCGGUUCAAAAGCAUAUCAAAUUAUGAUUUUUUUUCGAAGGCAAACUCAAUUAUGACAAAAAUAUCUUCAAAUAUGUCAAAAAAUUGAAAUUUACUACUUUACAUAAAGUGAUCAUAUUUUAAUUUCUCAAUGACAUGUAUGGAAAAACAACAAAUUUAACCUUAAACUACUAAAAGAAAGGAGCUUACUAUUCUCCAAAAGUUGAGGAUGAAAGUUUUGUUUACCACGAGAAAUCAUGUCAUUUUUUUCCUUUCAAAUCACCCAAGAACUAGCAAAUCAACUCAAUAACAUGAAAGAGCUCAUUGAUUUUGCAUAACCUGAAGAGCCACCAAAUUAUAAAAAUGAUCCGCAAUAAUAGAUGAAUUCGCUGAAUGAACUCCUAGCUAGCCAAUUGCAAACAAGUUGCCAAAUUGUACUAAAAAACUACAAUCCAAAAAUAAACGAUUCUAUGUUUCCAACAAUCCACAGCCACACAACUGAGACUCAUGUGAUACAAUUCCUCUUCAGAAUAAAUUCACCUUAGUUGAUAAUCUAUUCAGAAGAAAUCGUCAAGCAAACACCGACACCUUCAACGGGACAUCCCGCCGCCACAAGAGAUCCGAGGAAAUGAAGUCAUCAGUGGGAAUCCUAUUAGUGAGAAUGUGAUAUGCACCACAGACAUAAUACCCAUCAGUUGGAUCAAGGACCCAAGAAUAUCCAGAUUUUUGGCGAGAGAUUAAAACGGAUGGGAUUAAUACAAUGGUGCAAUGUGAAUGGAAGAAGUCUUCUUUAAUAGAUUCGACAACUUUUACAAACGGGAAUGAGAAGUGAAGGUUGGACAUUUGUGUUGUGAAUACUCCAUAAAACAUAAACAUUUGCAUUGAAUAUAACAUGGGUAUUGAUGCUUUAGCUAAUAUUAAGGGUAUAACGGAGUAAGAGAUAAUUUUUAAGUCUUAUCCGAUUUAAAUUAGUCAUUUGUUAGUUGCCGAUCAAGGAAGUGUUUCUUUUCAUGUGUUUGGUUAAAAUUAAUUUCUCUUCUCUUGGGCUACUGCCCUCGUGUGAGUAAAGAAACGUGAAUAUUUUUUCUUCUUCUUCCCGGUUCAAAAUCAUACCAAUUUAUGAUUACUUUGAAGGCAGAGUCAAUUAUGACACAAUCUUCAAACAUGUAAAAAAAUUGUAAUUUACAUCUUUACAUUCAAGACGUGGAAAAAAUAAAAAAGUGGCCAUAUUUUAAUUAUUCAAUGACGUAUAAAUUCUAAUACAUACCUGCUCACGAUAUGACAGCGAUUUGUACAUUUUUUUUCUCUAUAGUUAGAUCAUCAUGAUUGAAAAAUUGAAUAUUAUUGAUUUGAACCACUAAAGCACAAAAUGAAAUGCAGCAUGCACAUGCCAUUUCUUUCUAUAAAUAAAUAGAUCGCAUAUGUGGUAACCACACUUAAGUCUAAGCUCAAAACAAGAGAAAAAUAAUGAACUCUUUCAAUCUCUCUUUGGCAGCUUUGUGCUGUGUAGUAGUUGUGCUUGGAGGGUUACCCUUCUCAUCAAAUGCACAACUUGAUAAUUCCUUCUAUAGGGACACUUGUCCUAAUGUUCAUUCCAUUGUUCGUGAAGUACUAAGAAAUGUUUCUAAGACAGAUCCUCGUAUACUUGCUAGUUUGAUAAGGCUUCACUUCCAUGAUUGCUUUGUUCAAGUAAGUAUUAUUCAUCAUUUUUAAAACUCGGUAUCUGAUCAAGGACCGACUGAUCCGUAAAACAUUUUUGGUAUUUGUAGCUCAUAUAUUUUAUAUCUAUGUUUAUGAAAGGGUUGUGAUGCAUCAAUCUUGUUGAAUACCACUUCUACGAUCACAAGUGAGCAAACAGCUUUUGGAAAUAACAACUCAAUAAGAGGUUUAGAUGUUGUGAAUCAAAUCAAAACAGCAGUGGAAAAUGCUUGUCCUAACACUGUUUCUUGUGCUGAUAUUCUUGCUCUUGCUGCUGAAAUUUCCUCUGUUCUGGUAUGUUCCAUAUCUUCUUUGUUCCAUUUCCAUUUUUUCUAGUUCUAGUUUGCAAAAACAACAACACUGUAAUAAAAAAGCAGUCAAAGAUGAGUUGAGAAUCCUUGCCAUAAAAAAAAGUUAUGUUGGAAGAACUAUUUUCUUCUUUGUUUUUAACAUGAAAGUGACAUAAAAAAAGGAAAAAAAAAAGUAUUAAAGUGUCAUACUACAAACACAAAAUUAUUUGUCGGUUUUUCCUCACGGAAAAUUAUUUGUACAAUUUAAUUGUUAUUCUUUCGAUCUCAUAAUGAGUUUCUUAGAUUUUUUAUUGUUUAUUUUCAAACACCUAGGAACAAACUUCUUAAUCCAUUUCAUAAUGAGAUGUUUUAAAAAAAAUAAAAAAUUGUUUUAAAAUAAUACCACUUUACAUUUUUGAUAUAAUUUUUUUUCCAACUUUACCAUUAAUAAAUACUUCAAUUUUUCUCUUUCUCACUAUUUCCAAUGUAACUUUAAGUUUGUCUUUUUCGCAUAAAGUUAGGAUAAUUUAGUAAAAGUGUUAUGUCUAUUGAUUAUUUUAUUCAAUUUCUUAAUUUGUGCGUCAAAACCUUAAAUGACACUCGUUGUAAAACUGAGUGAGUAUAUAAAAGAAAAUGAAUAAAAUUAUACUAAAUUAUGUUAGUAAGCAUUGGUGCAAAUUUUUUCUUACAAGGUUGACAUUUUUUUUUUCAUUAAAUAUUUUCUUUGUGAAGAAUUUUUAACAUGUGUCUUAAGGGCACAUGGACUUAACAUGACCCUUAUCAUAAAUGCAAAUAAAAAAUAAUACUAAUAAUUUAUAAGCAAUACAUAAUUAGAGGGUAUAAUUAAAAAAUAAUAAUAAUUUAAUUUACAAUAAGAAUUAAAAAUAACAUUCAUUUUAGGUUAGUUGUUUACAAAUGUAAACUUUAUUUUAUCUUUCCUUUCUUUUACUCUUUAUUUAGCUCAAUCCUCAUUUAUUCUAGUAACAUAAUUUGCAGGCUAAUGGUCCUGAUUGGAAAGUGCCAUUAGGAAGAAGAGAUAGUUUAACAGCAAAUCUAACCCUUGCUAAUAUAAAUCUUCCAAGUCCAGCUUUCAACCUUACUCAACUGAAAUCUAACUUUGAUAAUCAAGGUCUCGACGCUACAGAUCUAGUUGCACUUUCAGGUAUAGAAAUGUUUCCUAAAUUAGAGAAAUUAUUAUUAAUACACCAUUUUACAAAUGAGAUUUGAACUCGGUUCGUUAAGGGUGAUAUACCUCAUGAUGUAUGUAUAUGUGUGUAUCUAAUUGUAUAUAUGUUUUGGUAAAUUUUUAGGUGCUCAUACAAUCGGUAGAGGUCAAUGCAGAUUCUUCGUUGAUCGAUUAUACAAUUUCAGCAAUACUGGAAAUCCCGAUCCAACUCUCAACACAACCUACUUACAAACAUUGAGAACUAUAUGUCCCAAUGGUGGACCUGGUAGCACCCUAACCGAUCUGGACCCAGCCACUCCAGAUACAUUCGACUCGGCCUACUACUCAAACCUAAGGAUUCAAAAAGGCUUGUUUCAGAGUGACCAAGUAUUGUCUUCCACAAGUGGCGCGGACACGAUUGCCAUUGUCAACAGUUUCAACAACAACCAAACUCUUUUCUUUGAAGCUUUUAAGGCCUCGAUGAUUAAAAUGAGUAGAAUUAAAGUGUUAACUGGAUCUCAAGGUGAAAUUAGAAAACAAUGUAACUUUGUUAAUGGAAAUUCUGGCCUUGCCACAAAAGUCACAAGAGAGUCGUCAGAGGAUGGUAUUGUUAGCUCAUACUAAGUAAUUUAAUACAAGUUGCAUAAGAAAGGUACCUAAUAAAGAGUGUGUUCUAGAGGCACAUACAUGUUGUGCUCUUGUGGUGGAUGGCGAUAGGUUUCUACUUUGUAAACUAUGGCCAUUGAUGUAGUGUUUGUAUUAACUAUUUUCCUCUAUUAUGAUAAUUAUGUUUCUUAUAUUAUUGAUAAUGAUGAUGAGAUAUGGUAGGGAUAUUGAAGUAUUUAGGCUUAAAUGCAAUUUUAGUUUCGUAAGUUACUUUAUCAAUUGUGCCAUUUUAUCUCGCCAAAUUUUAAUUUUGCAAAUUUAACCCUUAAGUUUAUCUCAUUUAUGAUUUACUAACCCAAGAACUCAUUGCUCACAUUCCUUGACAAGAUUCUCACUGCUACCCUCAAUCAUUGUAUUUAAUAUGAAUAUUUUAUCUUUUUCAAUAAAAUUCUACACACAAUUUUACAGAUUACUAAUGAUUUACUUUAAAAAUAAAAAGAUGACUAAUGAUUUUCUUAUGAAAUAUCUUUUACGGGAGCGGUGUUUGGAGCACUUUCUCUCCUGAGUGAGAAAGAAUCCCUCCAACCAAAUCCUAGGCUUCAAAUGGGGGUUUUUAAAAUAUAAAAAGAAAAGAGAGAAGAAUCGUAAUGGUUGUGAUUAUAAUUUGAGAAAAGACAAGUGAAGUACAAUUGAGACGAUCCAUUUCCGUCUUUAUUUUUAUUUAUUUUUAAAGACAACUGUCGUGAUUAUUUUAUUUUUUUUAAUCCAUUCCCCUCGGGUAACUAUUGUAAAAAAAAAAAAAAAAAAAUAAUAAUAAAAAAAAAUAAAUUAAUAAAAAGAAAGCUCAACCAAAGAUUAUGCAAGUCGUUUACCACAAAAUAUACAAAUUGGCGCCACAUUGUUUGCAAUAUCAUGCAAACAUUCAUGAUAUUAAACAUCAUGUAAUAAAUAAUUUUUAACGGUAAAUGUGACUUUAUUUAAAAACAAUGACAAAUUUUUUUGAUAUAAAACAUUUGAAUAGUCAUUGUUUGAAGAAGGACUUUAGAGGAACUAAAAACGAAAUAUGAUAUAUUUAUAUAAGCGAAAAACUUAUUUAACUCUAUUAAAAAUAAGAAAUGUAUAUAGUCAAUUUAUGGUCCCGUGUUUGUUAAAAAACACUCAAAAGGUUAUUUUUUAAAUUUGUUUUGAAAUUGCAUUUUAAUAUCUCUUUUCAAUUGUAAGGUUAUCUUUUCAAUGUUAACCUUUUUUUUUUUAAGAAAAUCCAAAACAAAUAUUUAAACGAAAUUUCAACAGUCACACAAAGGUAGUUAGAUGUAUUUUAAUUUAAUCAUCAAAAAAAAAUUAAUUUCCCUAAAAAAAAAAAUAUUUAUUCUUAGUUUUCCUUUAAAAAACUUAAAUAAUAUUUAACUAAUUUUUUGAACAAAAACGGAACUGAACCAUGACUUAACCAUAGUCACUCUCAUAAAAUACAGCAUUGAAUAUGAGCCAGUGAUACGAAUGGGGGAGAGAGAUGACAAUUUGCUAGGCAGGAGAAGUAUAUAGGUUUAGGUAAGUAAAGAACUUAAAAACCAGGUUCUAGAUACUCUUUAUUAUAUUCCAAAAGAACUUAAAAAAAAUAUUAUAUUCCAAAAAAAGUUAUUCAAAAGUUGACAUGAACUGCAUAUCGAACAUUUCAACGUAUAAUUAGAUCCUAACGUCUCUUAUAAAGGUAUGCAAAGAAAAAGGAAAAGGAGAAAGAACCUGCAGAUAAGCAAGACCAAAAAAACUAAGGCUAACACGUUUCUUUAUAAGAAAAAAUCAUUGACAUAGAGUAUAUAUAAGGUUUAUGUAAAUAAUUAGAUUAAUUUGUGGAAAAAAUCCAAAAUUUAUAAUUCUUCAUAGGCAAAUGAAAUAUCGAACCCUGUAAUUUGUUUAGGAGAUUUAAAUCUCUUGUCAUUUCGACUAAUUCAUUGUUGUCCAUUUAUUUAGUAUAAGGAAUAGUUAUUUUCUAUUUUUAUUCUAUGAGAAUUGAUAUUUCUACAAUCAUUUUUAAACAACUUUUGGAACAAUCAUUUUUUUUUUUCUGACCAAAACAAUAGAAAAGGUGAGAAUACAUUGUGCAUUGUUAUUACCCAUGGUUGUACUACAAUAACUUCAUAUCAAUUCUAAAAUCAAUAAUCACAAUUCUUUUACUUGUUACUCUCACUGUGAGAUCUUGGCAUACUUUUUCCCGUCAUGAAAUUGAAAAUAAUACACAUAUAGAAUAGGUAUAUUCAAGGACACAAACGUGAACAAAAUGAGUCCUUAUUAGUUUAACGAAUUUAUAUAUCAUGUCUAUGAAAUAGUAUACGUAAUAUAGCCUAGGCACCGGCCUUAAACCAUACACGUACGGUGAUCACCAAAUCUAAGAAAAUCUAAGAGACCCAAAAUUCUAAAUCAUUGAAUAUAACCACAGACAUUUUGAAUGUGAAUCAUAACAAUAUAUGAGGUUGUACAAUGUACAUAUGAAGUUGGUAAUGACUAAUGAGUGUAUGACUAAGUUUUUAAUUGAAAAGUAAACACUGCCUAAUUUUUAUUUUUAUUUUUUAUAGCAGCAGCCCUAGCUUUUUAUCGUGUUCUUUAUUCUUGUUCUUGAAUAAAAGAGGUAAUAGUUAAGGAUAAAUUAAAGGGAAAUUCUUUAGCAUCCAGUUGGUAUGGACAAUGCAUAAUAUAUGCAAGAUCUGGGGUUCAAACUCCGGCCACCACAAAAAGAAUUUAUAUUACCUAUCUUAAUUAAUAGUUUUCGUUAAAUUUAAGGCUAAACUUCACUUUUCGCCCUCUAAGUUUCAAAAUGUUGCGAUUUUGGCCCCCUAUUAAAAAAAAUGGCAAAAGUGACCCCCUAUGUUUAGGGAAAUAUGCUCUUUUGACCUCCUAACAUAAGGGAAAUAUGCUUUUUGACCCCUUAUCUUUACAAAAAGUUGUGAUUAUGGCCCCUUUUUUGGGACACGUGGCGUCUUCUCAGCAAUUUUGGGAUGAAAGGGAUCAAAAUUGCCAUUUUUUUUAAUAGGGGGUCAAAAUCGCAACAUUUUGAAACAUAGGAGGCCAAAAGUGCACUUUAGCCUAAAUUUAACUAACGGUCCUCACUAUUCUAAAAAAAAAAAAAUCUUUUUUCAAUGAUUUUCUAUAUAUGUUAUAUAUUUUCUAUCAAGACUUCAAUAAACAUACAUCGAUAUAUAGUAGAAAAAGUUACAUAUAUAUAAUAGUAUUAAAGUAUGAUGAACUACAACUCAAAAACAAAAUCAAAGUGCAAAAGCACAUGGUGGAGAUUUACAUCCCAAGUAUAUAUGAUCAAAUAUAAUUAAAUAUGUGUUAAUUUAAAAAAAAAAAAAAAAAGAAAUUAAAGCACAAACAUUAUAGUCUUCCUUUAACUACAAACUAAUCCUUUUUUUAGCAACUACUCCUUUUCCUUUUUGGUUCUAGACUCUAGUAAGUAACUACUCUUUCAUAUUGCUUUAAUAAAGGUGGUAAAUAUUAUUAAAGCAUAGGAAGAAAAUUCCACGUUCUUUAAAUAAGAUUCCAACCACCAACAACAGGUACGAACCAUAAUAAAAAUAGAAAGGACAUUGCAUUGGUCGUUUGACCCAAACUAGAUAAAAGCAUCACGUUGUUGCUCAUAAUAUCAAACAUUAAUUGUCUCAAAGUGGAAAAGAAAAAAAAUGAAUCCACUUGGUCUAAGUGCAACAGCUUUUUGUUGUGUCGUUUUUGUGUUUAUUGGAGGAGUACCCUUUUCAAAUGCACAACUAGAUCCUUCAUUUUACAAUAGUACAUGUUCUAAUGUUGAUUCAAUCGUACGUGGUGUGCUCACAAAUGUUUCACAAUCUGAUCCCAGAAUGCUUGGUAGUCUCAUUAGGCUACAUUUUCAUGACUGUUUUGUUCAAGUAUGUGUGUUCUGAUCCAUCUCUUACCUUCACAUUUUCACUUUUGUGGACGGUGAACAUGAUUUCGUCAAAUUCGUUGUGAUUUCAAUCAAACAUACACACAUAAUGAGUUCAAAUGUAUAUAUGCUAAUAGUUGUGAACAUUGUUGCAGGGUUGCGAUGCAUCGAUUUUGCUGAACGAUACGGCUACGAUAGUGAGCGAGCAAAGUGCACCACCAAAUAACAACUCCAUAAGAGGUUUGGACGUGAUAAACCAGAUCAAAACAGCGGUGGAAAAUGCUUGUCCUAACACUGUUUCUUGUGCUGAUAUUCUUGCCCUUUCUGCUGAAAUAUCUUCUGAUCUGGUAUAUAUUUCCUAGCUAGUUUCCUAGUCAUACAUUUAAAUUAACUUCUAGCUAGAUAGUAUGUUGUUUAAUUUCAAAACUUCCAUGUUCGUAGAAAAUAAAAAUGAAAAUCUUCACAUUAUGGAAAACGAAUGCAAUAAAUAAAAUGUAUCCAAAGAUCUCAUAAACGAUCAAUAAAUCAGUUUUGACAAAGUAGUUAAUAGUCAAAACUAUUAACACCCCUACAUUUUUUCUAAUAUACAUAUACUUUUAAUAAUUUAUUUCUGGACGGAAAAAAUUGCCAAAUUUUCUUAUUUUCAAACGGUAAAAUGUAUUUAGAAAAAUACGCAUUCAAAAUAAACUUACAAAACUAUAUUGAUGGUGUGUUAGCAAAAAACAGAUGUCAAUAGGUAAAUAAAUAGGUUAUGUUAUAUGAACAACUGUUUUUGGAACAACUUAUAAAACAAUCAAGGUAUACAAAGAAACGUGGAUAUUAUAUUAGUACGAAAAUCAAAGUAAAUAGAGUAAGGACACGAUGAGAGUAUAAAAAAGAGAAUUGUUCUAAACCAUUUCUGGGACAACUAAUAAGAGGAUAAUAAUAGAAAUGUAAGCAUCGACACUAUAACCAAAUCAAUAAAGAGAAUAAGAAUACAAUAAAAAUAUGAAAAAAGGAGUUAUCCCUAAAUAGUUAUUCAAAUAUAAUUUCUCAAUUAUAUAUAUAAUUGGUGGGAUUUCACAAGCUUGUAAGCCCCAAUUCGGGUAAGGCAAGGCUAUCAAAUGGUGUGGUCCAGCAGUAGCAUAGACUUUUAUAUUGUGUCUGGUUAUGUAUAUUUUGGUUUGUAGAGAUCUGAUGGUUUUAAUUUUACAUGAUCAUAUCUUAUGCUAUAAAGUUGUACUUUCGUUAUCAUGUUGUUUUAUGAUGUUUUUUUAUAUACAUUGGUAAAGAAAUACUAACCGUAAAAUAAAUAGUUAAAAUAGUUUUGUACAUAAUGAAUUAGUUAUUUGCCUAAAAUUUUGACUAGUUUAAAUAAUUCAAACAAAUCAUAAUCAAAGAUAUGUGACAAUGUACGUUCUUCAUAGAAUUUCAAUUUUAUUAAUUAACAUCAUAAACCAUGAUAUAUAUUUUCUUUAUUAUCCUACAAUGCAACAAAAAUUGCAGGCAAAUGGUCCUACUUGGCAAGUUCCAUUAGGAAGAAGGGAUAGUUUAACAGCAAAUAAUUCCCUUGCAGCUCAAAAUCUUCCUGCCCCCACUUUCAACCUUACUCAACUAAAAUCUAGCUUUGAUAAUCAAAACCUCACUACUACUGAUCUAGUUGCACUCUCAGGUAUAAUUUUUUUGUUUCUUCAAAAUAUGUAACAUGAAUGUAUGUACAUAUAGUCUAAAAAUGACUCAUAUUAAGAAUCCCCCCAUUUAAUUUUUUAGGUGGUCAUACAAUUGGAAGAGGUCAAUGCAGAUUUUUCGUUGAUCGAUUAUACAAUUUCAGCAACACUGGAAAUCCCGAUUCAACCCUUAACACAACUUACUUGCAAACAUUGCAAGCAAUAUGUCCCAAUGGUGGACCUGGUACGAACCUAACCGAUUUGGACCCAACGACACCUGAUACAUUUGACUCCAACUACUACUCCAAUCUCCAAGUUGGAAAUGGCUUGUUUCAAAGUGACCAAGAGCUUUUUUCCACAAAUGGUUCUGACACUAUUUCUAUUGUCAAUAGUUUCGCCAAUAAUCAAACUCUCUUCUUUGAAAAUUUUGUUGCUUCAAUGAUAAAAAUGGGUAAUAUUGGAGUUUUAACUGGAUCUCAAGGUGAAAUUAGAACACAAUGUAAUGCUGUGAAUGGGAAUUCUUCUGGAUUGGCUUCUGUAGUCACCAAAGAAUCAUCAGAAGAUGGAAUGGCUAGCUCAUUCUAAACAUACGCUUGGAAAAUAUCGAAGAGGUUCAAUAUUUUCUGCAUACAUAUAUGAUGUGUGUAUGUGGUGGAUCACGAUAAUUAAUCUCUGCUUGUAUGCUCUUUCUAGUUCUAUACUAUGUUUUUGUUUUGUUCUUCAAGUUGAUUGGGGACCGUAGAAGCUCCCUAAUAAUAUUUGUGUCAAAAGUUUUUUAAUGUGUUAUGUCAUAAUGUUAUUUUCUAAAAUACUUAUUCAAGUAUUUAUAUGUUAAAUAUGAUUGAAUGUCUGCAUGAAAUUCUUUUAUAUUGUCAAGAAUGGAGCGAGAAACUUGUUUAAAAAAGAAAUAGCAAAACAUAUAGAACACCCAUACUCAUAGCAAAUCUUCAAAUUAAAUAGGCUUGGUCAGAUUAUUUUUGCAAGCUUAUUCUUGAGAAGUGUAGAAAUGUCAAGAAUGUUGACGACGCCAUAAUUGAAUAUAUAAAGGUUCCUUUUAAUGUAACCAACGUCUGAAAAGAAGGGAUCGAACAAACAGCAUAGAGCUUUUAAUUUUGAUAUCGAAAUAAGGCGCCCAAAUAUUUUGCAAGUUAUUAGAUAUUUCGACAUGGCUCUGGCUUGAACAAGUAGCUAAUUGUGGUGAGCACAGAAUUGAAUGGCACUAUAAAUGAAUGAAGAGGAUCAUCUCUUAAGCGUGAUCUUGCAUGCCUUUGUUUACUUGAUCACAAAGAAAGUGGAACUUGGUCUCUCCAUAUGCCUUGGCAUGCUACAUUGCAAGCUGAAAUGUAUUCAGCUUCAAUAGUAGACAAGGAAACAAUAAUUUGUUUCUUUAGCUCCAUGAAAUUGGAGAGUUGAAGAUUUAUAACACAUAUCCCAUUGAGCUCCUUCUUUGCACCCUAUCGCCACACCAGUCUGAGUCACAAAAACCGAUUAAUUUGAUAGUUCUUCCAAUUUCAUUCAAAUUUUAUAUAGACAACUUAAGCUAUAUUUGCCUAGUAGCUUUUAUUUAGCAUUAUGUUAGUUUCACAAUGCAACAAAAUUGAAGGCAAAUGGUUUUACUUGGGAAGAAGGCUUCAAAGUUCAACCUCGCCCGACAAAAAUCUACCUUUGUUACCCAAGGCCUCAAUGCUUGAUUUAGUAGCACUGUCUCAUGUAUUUGAUAAUUUCUUUUUCACCUUAAUCACUUCUCGCGCGUUCUCUAACAUUUCAAAAAUAUCUUGAGUUUUGGAUUAAAUAAUUCCAAAGGAGGAUUCUCCUAUAUUUUUGGUGGAAAAAUGUUUUUUUCACCAAUUUGAAUUCUAAAAUAAAAAUAAAAAUAAUUUAAAUUUUAUAAUUCGAACACCUUUAUACACCCAACUUCGAAGCAUAUAGAGGGCACGUUCGGAUUAUUAAAUCUGAAAGUGUUUGUUUUUUCAAAUUAUAAAAUCCAAACAUCCCGUCCCCUAUACACCCUCCCUCAUGUGCCAAAAAUUAUGGGAAAAACAAAUUGGGAAUAUAUAAUUGGAAUUAUAUCGGCACAAAUAUCGAAUUUGUUUUGUGACAAGGAUAACCAGUUUAGUAAACACAUUAACCAUUAUAACUGCUCCAGUGUGUUUCUUGUGUGUUCAUAUCUUGAAAGUGCAUAUGUCUAGUUGAAGCAAUAAAAAAAUGUCUGUUUUCGGGCGAUUGGUUUGGUUUCAUUCAAAAUCCAGGAACGAAACUACUAUAGACUCUGCGCCCUCAAAAUUCAAAAUUCUACCGUAUAGACCCAUUUUCCAUUUUUUUUAUAUUCUCAGAAAAAUCCAAAAAAAAAAAAAAUCAUUAGCUUUGUAUGAUUUUUAGAAUUUUUUAGUGGUAUUUUAUAUAUUUUUUUAUAUUAUUUGAUAGGUUUGCUAAUUUUUCACUCUUUUUUUUUUGUUUUUAGGACAAAAGUCGCAGCUACUGAAAUGAGAGGAAGUUAUGGUCGUUGCUAAUACAUAUAGGUAUGUUUUGGGUUAUAUAAUUCAAACCGUAUUAUUUGUUCGGAUUAUAUAAUUCAAAUGGGGCAAAAUGAUAAUUUUAGAGAGCGCAUGAGAAGUUGGUAGGUGGAAAAAGAAAUUCCCUAAAAAAAAUUGUUUGGGAAAUGUUAUGGUUCUAUAAUUUCGUGCAUACAUAUAUUCUAUAUGCAUGUGUUUUUUUAUACAAUUUGAAAAUGGUGGAUAAGGAUAAAUGACCUCUGUUUAUAUUAUAUACAUAGAUCUAUAUUUUUAUUAUUUUUAAGUAAUAAUCUCCUUUACUUUUUAGAAAAUAUUUGGUGACGCCUCUUAAAGUGUAUAUAUUUUGAGAGAGAUGUGGUAGAUUAAUGAUGUGAUAAAAAAAAAAGAGAUAAAAAGGUUAACCAUAGGUGGACCAUCGACUCGACGAAUUGGCACCACGAAAAACGACAUAUUGUGAUCUUAUCUUAUAAGAAAAAACAUGUUAAAAUGUGUAAUUGUGAUUGCAAAAAGUAAAUUAAAAUUUUGAAGAUAUUUUUUUUAAAAAAAAACAUAUUGUUUUAUCUUUGUAAAAAAAACAAAUUGUCAAACUUUUGCAAGAGAUAUGUAGAAAUAAAAAAUUGUGACGGAAAAUAUUUGUAAAAUCAAAACUUCUUGAAUUUUUUUAGAAAGAUUAAAAAACAAAUUUAGAAUAUUUAUAAGGACAAUAACUUAUUUAAUUAACGAUGGUUAAAACUUAUCCAUUUGAUUUGAUUUGAUUAUAGCCGUGUGGUUCAAGAGGAGACAUGACAGAAUUAGAAAAUUCCUGCAAUUUUCUAAGACUUUUGAUUAAAAUCUAAUUUUAUAUUUAGUCUUCUCUAAAACUAUAAUGUGUCUUUCAUUCUUUUUAGGGAUGUCUCUUUCAUCUAUAUAGUUUGUAACUAUUUGGAUUUUGUUUUAUUAAAAUGAAAUUCUAAAUUAAGUGAUAUUGGAUCGUUAAUUAGUAUUCCCUUCGGUCCUAUAUAUAAGCAACAUUUGACUUUUUUGAUUCAUUCCAUAAAUGAUGUAUUUGAUUCAUAUUCUAUAUCAUAUACAUCAAUUACUCAAUAAAUUUAAAAAGUUAAUUUUUUUUUUAUAAAUAUGACCGGAGUGAGUAAUAUAGAGGAGGAACAACCAUUUUUCUGUUUUCUUUCUGACUUUGCUAUGGCACCAACAAGAAUCCUGAUUGAAGUACUAUGUGUUUGUAUCUAAAUAAGAGAUAUUUUUCCCAAUAAUGUCUUUAUUUAUGACUAACAUAAAUAUAAAGUGGAAGAGGUUGACAAAAAUGUGUUGCAUUAAAAAUUAAAGGAAUCUUUUAUUUUAAAACAAACUUCUAUUUAUUUUAUAAAUAGAUCAAGCCGUUGUAGGAUGGAGGUGGAACUAUAAAGUAAUCAAAUUGUUUUAAAAAUUUGACGACAAAAUGCUCUACAAAUAGUAACCAAUUUACUAAUAUCGGCAUAUGCCAUGCCUUUAUCCUGAUUCCAAUACAAGUUAAAACUGUUGUUGUUUGUGUGCCUCUUUCAAAAAAAAAAAAAAAUAAAUGUUGUUUUCUUGAAUAUUGUGUAUAUGACAAAAAGGGUUUGGCUUGUUUUAUUGGAGAAAUUAAACACAUGCCAAAUAUCUAUUGAAAAAUAGUGUUAAAAAAGGGUUUAUUCCUUCAUAUUUUUAGUAAAGAGCAAGUGAGAGUAGACUUAUUAACUUACUCCUUCAUAUUUUAGGUGGGUAUAAAAUAACAUCUUUUAUAUAUAUAUUCAAAAAGAAAAAUACUCCUUUUCAUUCAUUAGUACAUCAAACAAAACUAUGAAUGCAGCAUCAUUAAAAAAAUAAAAACAAAAGACUUGAAUAAAAAUCAAGUUUUGAUGAGUACGAUAGAAGAUUUGAAUCUAGAAUAGGGGACAAGAUUUGAACCUAGUCCACGAAAAUAAUAACAUUUCUGACACAACCCCGUGAAUGCACAAAUAAAGAAAAGAACAAGAAAGUAAAAACUGAUGAUAUCUCAUCUAAGAGUUACAAGAAAUAUGAAAGAUACUUAGUUUUAUUAAUAUGAUGACAUAUAAUUAUCAAUAGCCAUAGAUUACAAAAUAGAUCUUACAAACACACUGCAUUCAAUUUCACCAUCCAGCACAAGAGAAGAGCCCAUGUAUGUUCCCCUAGAACACACUCUUUAUUAUAGGUAGGUAGGUACCUUUCUUAUGCAACUUGUAUUAAAUUACUUGGUAUGAGCUAACAAUACCAUCUUCUGCUGAAUCUUUGGUGACUUUGGUAGCAAGACUAACAGUAUUAACAAAGUUACAGUGUGUUCUAACUUCACCUUGAGUUCCAGUUAACACUCCAAUAUUACCCAUCUUAAUCAUGGAGGCCUUAAAAGCUUCAAAGAAAAGAGUUUGAUUGCUGCUAAAGCUAUUAACAAUGGCAAUGGUAUCAGCACCAGGUGUGGAAAACAAUUCUUGGUCACUCUGAAACAACCCCUUUUGAAUCCUUAGGUUUGAGUAGUAGCUUGUGACAUCUUGUUCCACCAUUGGGACACCAUUGGGACAUCUUGUUCUCAAUGUUUGUAAGUAGGUUGUGUUGAGAGUUGGGUCAGGAUUUUUAGUAUUGUUCAAAUCGUAUAAUCGAUCAACGAAGAAUCCACAUUGACCUCUACCAAUUGUAUGAGCACCUAAUUUUUUUUUAAAAAACAUUAUGUUAUGAUUCUAAAUAGCAUAUGAGAAAAUACACUUGGCAAAAUGUAAUUGGUUUGGAUAAAUAGACAUGUGUCUAGUUAUUGUGCAUAAAUAGGGAAAAAAUGAUUAAUAUUAUUUCCACUUUAAUUUUCUCUUUUUCAAUUCUUUUUACUUAGAAAAGACACACAUGCAUAUAUGUAAAAAUAUAUGUACACUAAUGUUGCGUACACCUAUAGCUUUUUAGGAGACAAAACUUUUAUACCUGAAAGUGCAACAAGAUCAGUAAUGUUGAGACCUUGUUUAGAAAAGGAGAAUAUUAGCUGAGUAAGAUUCAAUUGGGGACGAGGAAGGUUUAAAUUAGCAAGAGUUUGAUUUGCAUUCAAACUAUCUCUUCUUCCUAAUGGAACUUCCCAAUCAGGACCAUGAGCCUGCAAAUUAUGUAACCAAGAAAAAUUAGAAUCACAAGCAAAAAAAUAAAUAAGAAAAGGAAAAAAAUAAUACAAGUAGUAGUAAUAAUAAUAAGUCGUGAGAAAAAAAAAAGUUUAUUAAAAGGAAUUAAAGAAAGGCAUUUUUUAGAGGUACUUGUCAAAUAUUCCUUUUAGUCUUUAUAUUAAGACUAAAAUCAACAAUAGGAAGAAAUUUUGUAGGAUUAAAAAAAAACAGAACUAAAAAUAAAAAGUAGUAUAUUUGCCAAAACUUAAACCAUAACAAAAAAAAAUGAAGGUUGAAACUUAAAAUAAUAUAUUUUAAUUGAUUGGUCUUUUUAUAUUUAGGUUGAAACUUUCAAGUUACUUACAGAUGGAAUCCCAGACAUUUUUUUAGUACUAUGAAGAAACCUAGCAUCAAAGAUGGCCGGCUAAGAGGCUUUCAAUACUAAUGACUUGUAUAACAAAUUUAUCAACUCAUUUAAAAAAAAUUCUGUCACAUAUAUUAAAAUUUGUUUUAAGUCUCAGUUAGAAUCUGUGGAACAUACCAGAACUGAGGAAAUGUUAGCACCAAGUGCAAGAAUAUCAGCACAAGACACAACACUAGGACAAAAUCACAGCCCUUAUUGAGUUUUUUAUUUGGCCUAGCUCCUUGCUCGCUCACGAUAGUAUUACUAUUAGUGGGUUUUUUCUAGAUUACCUUUGAAGAAUGGUAGGUAAUUUACCCACCAACCAAUGAAAAUGAGCAAUUUGUUGGUGGGGUCAAGAUAGUUCAUGGAUACCACUUAAAAAUGUGCUUAUAUGACUAAUGUGUAUUGGUUGGGGUAAAUUACCCACCAUUCUUCCAUGGGUACCCUAGUUGUCACCCUAUUAAUGUCAUUCAACAAGAUUGAUGCAUCACAGCCCUUACAUGUAUAGAUAUAACAUUUUAGAGUAUUAGAAAAUUGGUAAAUAUAUUACUCUUCAUAUUGGUGAGAUCAAGAUGAGUUCACUAUAAAACAUUUAAUUAACUUGAUGCAUAUGGUGAGUUUGACAAAAUCACGUAGUAACAUUUUAGUUUGAUACUUUAAACUUUCAACAAAAUCACACUGUUUCGUGAUUCUAUCAAACUCGUUGUGGCUUCAACAAAAUCACAUCGCAAUUAUACUAAAUACUAUAAUACAUACUUGAACAAAAGCAACAAAUGAAUAACUUCUCUCAUGUUUCUCCGCUAAUCAUGGGAGAACGAAAAUUAUGUGGGACCCACGCCAAUCUUGUUCCUCUUCUCUCUUUCUCACCUUUGCCAAACAAGAUAAAUGCCACACUUCUCUCCUCUUUCUCUCGUUGAUGUCUCUCUCUUCUACAUUUCUCUUGUACCAAGCAGAGGAUUAGGGAUAAAGAUUUAUAUUUUAGAGAAUUUAUAUUUAUGGACAUAGGUAGUAGCUAAUGGGGAAUAAAUAUUCUAAAUUGCACAUUAAUACUAGAUGGAUUAAAUAAUAUACCAUAUAGAGAGAUGAGCGAGAGAGUUAGAGAGAAAAAAAGAGGUGGCGGUUCAAAGCCAAGCCUUGGACCACCAUGUCGGUUUGCUUCGCCGGCUGAUAGGUUCUAUGGGAGGGGGGCAUAUACUGGGGAUGGAGAAAUUGGGGGGGGGGGAAUUGGGGAGAGUGGGCCAAGGUGAGAAACACACGGAUGAAAGCGAUGGAACCGGAGUUUUAGAGACAUUACAGACAACAUGAAAGCAGCAUGCAUGUAGGAUUUGGCAAGGACAAGGGUUAUGCUUUUGGAAAGUAGAUGAAAGGAAGGUCUUUUGAUCGAUUUGACAGGUUUGAUACGGAUUGGGAUUUGAGACCUAGGGUUUUUUAUGAUCACAUGAGAAGAAGGUUUGUUUCUCAGAGAAGGGUAAGGUCAACCACCCGCUGCGGUGAACAUUCUAGAUUAUGGGCGGAGGUGGAAUAACCCUACAACGCAGUGUUGGCCUGCUCUUUCAUGGCAUCAGCGUGCAACCCUUAGAGAAUGAGAGGAUAAUUGUUGAUGGUCGUACAUGUAUGUGUAAGUCCUCUCACCACAUUGUGAAUGAAGGCUCUAAUCAGUUAAAUGAUGUAUUCUAUAUUACUAAUUUUCCGGAGGACUUUGAGUUAAUUGAUUUGAGGAAGGGACUAGAAGUUUGUUGGAUUUUAUCUGAUAUUUUUGUUUCAAUAGAACGUAAUAUUAGAGGGCAAAUUUAUGGUUUUGUUUUUAAUGUGAUUAUCCUUUUGUAAAGUCAAUUUGAGCCUGUAGAUUUAUAACUUUUUGUUCGGUGACAAGUUACAUUACAAGUCUAGAGACCUUAAAUUGUUUACCUAAAUAAUAAUUAGAGUUAGGUUGUAGGGUGUUACUAAAGUUUAAGUUCGGGGUUGAUUUUGAAAUUUGCAACCAAUUAAGUUUGAGGGUGGGGAUACUAAAGAACUUAAGAGAAUAAAAUAUCUAUUCGAAAAUGAAUUGAUAAAGUGCAACAAAAGGUAUAGCAAAAUCAGAUAAUAAUAAUAAUAAUAAUAAUAAUAAUAUUAGAGACAAGAAAAAUGAAGAAAACAAUAAUAAUAUUGUCUCAUGGUCACAAUAGUUCUCUAGUACUUGAGUUUAUUUUAUGGGGUGAAUAAGGUAAAUGUACAAUGCGUAACUCCAUUGUUUGUUUUAACCUACUUUUUCAAAAAUUAUCCCGCAUUCACCUGAGCCUUGUUUCAACUUUUAAAGACCUUGACAGGGUGUUGACAUUGACUUUGAUAGUCGUUUUAUUUUUUUUCAAGUUUAUAGUAAUAUGUAGACCUGCAUGUCGACGGUGGAAAACACCUGUCAAAAUGUUGUGUGAAGUUGUGAAUUGUGGUUGUAGUCAAGCCAGUUGGCCCAUCAAAUGGCUAGCAAUGAGAUGAACUUUUUGUAUUAUCACUUGAUUAGAUAAUUGUUAUUUUUACUGUAGUUUGUCAAUUUUACAAGUAAAUUCCUUGAGGACAAAGAAUGAUUUGACAUGUUGUCAUUACAUAUUUUUUUUCCUAUUUAUUUUGAUGUUUUUAUUGAGUCUGUAACAAUUUUAGACAGCCUGAAGGUGCAAAAAGCAAAAAAUAUCAAGAAGUUGAAAUUAAAGCAUCGUGUUGGGAUUUUGCAACCGUGACACAAUUUUUCAACCAGAAAUUAAAGUUGUCACUGCCAGAAUAAUCGUGUCACGAUUACAUAAUCGUGACAUGGUUUGGAGGUGUGCCAGAAUACAAAUUUGAAUUUAAGGAAGCAAUCGUGUCACGAUUUUGGUCAUCAUCACACGAUUUUGAGCGCCCAAGACCUUGCCUAUAUAAGCUAACCUUGUUUUUGGGGAGGGGGUUCUGAAUUUUGGAGAUUUGAAGCAUGCUUUUGAGAGCACAAGACUGAAGAGGUGGCCAUUCCACCAAACUCAUAGUCAAUCCAUUGUAUGUUAGAAUGCUUCAAUUGAUUUUUUUUAUUUGUAAUCUUCAUUAUGAGUAAUUAAAUCAUUAGAGGUUAGGUCCGGAGAUGAUUCUGAUGUAGAUCUGUUUGAACCAUGUAGGUUGUGAAACACUAUUUUAUAUAAAUGUCAAUCUAAUUUUUAUUUAAUUCAAUUUGUUUCUAAUGCUUUUUAUUUUAUGUAUUGAUCACAUGUAAAAUGAAACCAAAGUAUGAAUGACUACUGACAUUAACUUUCAACUUAUACCUAAUUGAAUUGUUUAAUUAAACAUGGUUAGUCUAGGAAUGGAUAACCGUUUAAUUGUGAGAAUAUAUUAACAUUCUAAAAACCUUCGAACAAUAUGAGAGCACCUAAGAAAUUGGGGGAUGUAAUCUAAGAAGAGAACUCUGACUCAAGGGAUUGAUUAGAGUAAGUUUUGUUAAUCCUCGUAAAACUAUAGAAACAUUUGUACUCCCUCCGUUUCAAAAUGAAUGUCGUUUAAGGUUCUUACACACAUAUUAAUAAAUGCAUUAAUCAAAAGAAAGAGAGAUGUUAUUUUACCAAGUUAUCCUAAUCAACUAUUGGGUUGUUUUUCAUUAAAGAAAAAAUAAUAGCCUUAAUUGCACUUUUGACCCCCUAUCUUUUCAAAAGUUGCGAUUUUGGCCCCCUAACUAAUUAAAAUACAAAACAGCCCCCUAUGUAUUUGAUCUUUGGNNNNNNNNNNNNNNNNNNNNNNNNNNNNNNNNNNNNNNNNNNNNNNNNNNNNNNNNNNNNNNNNNNNNNNNNNNNNNNNNNNNNNNNNNNNNNNNNNNNNUUUAAUUAGUUAGGGGCCAAAAGUGCAAUUAAGCCUAAAAUACUUUGGAAGUAGUGUAUAUAGGAUUAAUUGAAUGAUACAAUUGAAAAAAAUAAGUUAUUGUUGCAUUGAAAACUGAAAGUGACAUUCAUUUUGAAAUAAUUUUUUUGCUAAAAUGACACUCAUUUUAAAACGGAAGGAGUAUUAUUUAGUUGCAGUCUACCAAUUGAUCGUAGUCAGAUGAUUUAAUAGACCUAAUCUCAUUUCUCCUAUUAUUUUCACAACACUUUUACAAGUUUUCUUAUUAUUUUAUGCAAAUCAAACAACCGCAUAGGACAACCCCAAAAUUUUACACAUAUAAGAUAAUAACCUUAUUGUUAAAUUGAAAUUAAUAUAGUCUUUGUGGGUACGAACUUAGAAUUAUUAUUUCGCUAGUUUUAAUACACUUGCUAAAAUUCUACUAGUAACUUAAAAAAACUAAUAAUAUAAGACAAAUAAUGUUGCAUUAAAAAUUAAAAGAAUCUUUUAUUUUAAAACUUAUUUCUUUGUAUAAAAAUAUAUCAAACCGUUGUACGUGGUAGGAUGGAGGUGGAACUAUAAAUUAAUCAACCAGGUGUGCUAUAUUGAAGUUUUAAAAAUUUGACUGACAAUAGUCUAUAAAACAAAACUAAUUUUCAGAAAUGUUGCUAGUAAGUGUUUUAAGGCACUUGUUAAGGAUUUAAAAAAGAAAAUAAUUUAUUUAUUUGAAAAAAUAAAAAAUUAUAAAUUUUAAGUAGAUUUUUUUUUAAAAAUUAUUGAAUACAUAAUUCUGAUAACGUUUUUUCUUUCAACAUCUUAACAUUUCUCUCUAACUACAAUCGAUAUAUGCCAUUAUCCUAAUUCCAAGACAAGUUAAAACUUUUUUUAAAGAAAGAAAGAUUAUUAUUUUUUUGACAAAAACAAAACAAUAUUCAUUUAUUUUAAUUGAUAGAGUACAUCGUUUAACAUCGUAAAAAAAGUAAAGGAUAAAUAUGUGAGCAAACUCAUAUCAUCCAAGUUAAUAGCAUACAGCUGUAAAAUACCGAUAAAUAAUAUGAUAAAAUUUAAAUGACGAAACACCCAUACCUCUAGAUCUACAACGUUGACGUCCAAAUAAUUGAAUAGUUGAUCUUUCAAUAACAAUCAGAUGAACACCACAACAAGACGAGAAAUCAAACAAUACUGCACAAGACGACGUAUAACAUUGCGUCACUCAUAGACAAUGAAAUCACGAAGAAAAAACCUAAAUCUACUAAAAAAAGUAGUUUAUUUAGAUUGAAAUAGAGAUGAAAAAAAAAAGAUGAAGAUGUGUAACCACACCUCAAUGAAGAAAAUAUAAGAGAUUAAGAUCUUUUAUUUUGUCUUAAUUGAAACCCGUGACUCUUCUUUUAUACAUUUUUUAUCACAACCCCAUGACUCUUAAAUAAGUUUUUUUUUUUUUUUUUUUAGGGAUAUUGCAUGUUAUAUGCAGGGGUCGGGGGUCGAACCCCAGACAUCCCACUUCUCCACAAUUAAAUUGUGUGAGCUCUAGCCAUUAGGCUACUUGACCCAAAAAAAAAUUACAAGUUUUUUUGUCAGGUAGCCUAGUGGCUAGAAUUCAUCUUAUAAGGUGAAUAAGUAGGGUGUCUGGAAUUUGAACCCCGGCUCCUGCAUAUAAUAAUGCAUUGGUCUACGAAUUGAGCUAUGCUCACGGGACAUUGCAAUUACAAGUUACUUCUAAGAUAAGACGCUUUUUAGUAUACACAAUUUUAUUAUUAUGCAUGUCGACAUAUCGGUGUGAGGUGUCCAUAUGAUGUCUAUGUUCAUCGUUCAUAGAUAUAAGCAAAUGUUACCUAUUUCUUUUUUAUUUAACCAUAGUAUAUAUCUCUAAAAUAUCCUUAAUCUAAUUACAGAAAUUGCAUAAACUGAAAGUGAUCAAACCUUUUUUUUACAUACACAAUUUUAUUAAUAUGACAUAAUUAUCAUAAUAGAGCGAAAUAGAACUUACAAACACACUGCAUUCAGUAGCCAUAGAUUACAAAAUAAAAUACAAAACAUAUCACAAUCCACAAAAGAGCACAUGUAUAUAUGUGCCCCUAGAAAACACUCUUUAUUGGGUAGAUACCUUUCUUAUGCAACUUGUCUUAAAUUACUUAGAAUGAGCUAACAAUACCAUCUUCUGAUGAAUCUUUGGUGACUUUGGUAGCAAGACUAACAGUAUUAACAAAGUUACAGUGUGUUCUAACUUCACCUUGAGUUCCAGUUAACACUCCAAUAUUACCCAUCUUAAUCAUGGAGGCCUUAAAAGCUUCAAAGAAAAGAGUUUGAUUGCUGCUAAAGCUAUUAACAAUGGCAAUGGUAUCAGCACCAGGUGUGGAAAAAAGCUCUUGAUCACUCUGAAACAAACCAUUUCCAGCUUGAAGAUUGGAGUAGUAGUUUGAGUCGAAUGUAUCGGGAGUGCUUACAUCCAAAUUGGUGAGGUUGGUACCUAGAACGCCAAUAUCUGGGCAUAUUGCUUGCAAUGAUUGUAGUAAGGUUGUGUUUAGAGUUGGAUCAGGAACUCCGGUGUUAUUGAAAUUGUACAUUCGAUCAUUGAAUAAAAGGCAUACACCUCUUCCAAUCGUAUGAGCACCUAAAAAAUGAUCAAAGCAUAUACAAUUAGACACCAAGUAUCGAGUUUAAAUCUCCUCCGAAACGGUUGUAAAAUGUACACAUGUUAUGUGUAGAGAUAUAGAUUUUAAGGAGACAAACAUUUAUACCUGAAAGUGCAACAAGAUCAGUAGUGUCGAGACCUUGAUUAAGAAAGGAGGUUUUUAAUUCAUCAAGAAGAAAUCGGGGACCAGGAAGGCUUGAAUUAGCAAGACUUUGAUUUGCAUUGAAACUAUCUCUUCUUCCUAAUGGAACUUCCCAAUCAGGACCAAGAGCCUGCGAGGAAAAAUGUGACACAAGUAAAAAAUUAUGGUCUCACACUAGUAGGAUUAAAAAAUAAUAAUAACCAGAAAUAAAAAGCAGUAUAUUUGCCAGAACUAAAAUCAUAACAAUAAAAAAUGAAGGUUGAUACUUAAAAUAAUAUAUUUUUAUUGAUUGAUCUUUUUAUAUUUAGUUUGAAACUUUCAAGUUAUUUACAGAUGAAAUCCCAAACAUUUUUUAGUACUAUGAAGAAACCUAGCAUCAAAGAUGGCCGGCUAAGAGACUUUCAUUACUAAUGACUUGUAUAACAAAUUCAUCAACUCAUUUUACAUUUUUUUUUUCUCUCUCCUUGAGUAGUUGACAAAAAAUAUCAUAUACAUGAAAACUUGUUUUAUGUCUCAAUUACUAUUAAAAAUUACUGGGUCGUCUUGUGAACGAGAUAGAGAAAAUGUCAAUAAUAUAUAGAGGAUGUGAAACGUACCAGAACGGAGGAAACAUUAGCACCAAGUGCAAGAAUAUCUGCACAAGACACAACACUAGGACAAGCAAGUUCGAUUGCGGCUUUGAUUUGAUUCACAAUAUCCAAACCUCUUAUUGAGUUUCUAUUUGGCAAAGCUCCUUGCUCACUCACGAUAGUAUCAGAGUCAUUCAACAAGAGUGAUGCAUCACAACCCUUUCAUAAACAUAGAUAUCAAAUAUAUGAGUUACAAAUAUCCAAAACUUAGUUAGAUGUUGGUGAGAAAUUUACAGUUAGUUUGAUAGAAUCACGUCGUAGCAUUGACACUUUAAACUUUCAACAAAAUCACAUGUUCUUUGUGAUUCUAUCAAACUCGUUGUGGCUUCAACAAUAUCACAUCGCAAUUAUUAUAUAUUAUAUAUAAUAUAAUACAUACUUGAACAAAACAAUCAUGAAAAUGAAGCCUAAUGAAACUGGCAAGGAUACGAGGAUCUGUCUGAGAAACGUUUGCUAAGAUACUUUGGACAAUGGAAGUGACAUUUGGACAUGUGUCCUUAUAGAAGUUAGGAUCAAGUUGUGCAUUUGAAGAGAAGGGAAACCCUCCAAGCACAACCACUACACAGCACAAAGCUGCUAAUGUGAGAUGAAAAGAAGAGUUCAUUAUUAUUUCUAUUGUUUUUUGAACUCUUGAAAUUUAAUUGUGUCUACCACAUAUGGGGUUCAUGUCUAUUUAUAUAGAGAGAAAUGGCUUGUGGAGGCAAUGUUCCUGCAUUUCAUUUCGUGUUUUGGUCGUUCAAAUUAUUAAUAUUCAAAUCUUCAUCUAAUCAUGUUGCUCUAACUAAAGACUAUAGAGAAAAAAAAUAGUUCUAAUCGCUGUCCAUCGUAAGCAGGUACAUAUUGACAAGAAAUAUUUACGUCAUUGAAAAUUUAAAAUAUGACGACAUUUUCUCAUUUAGGGAUAAAGAUUUAUGUUUCAGAGAAUUUAUAUUUAUGGAAAUAGGUAGUAGCUAAUGGGGGAAAAUUAAUCUAAAUUGCUCACUAAAACUAGAUAAGUCUUGAAAAUAAUGUAUAAAAAGUGUCACAUCUGAUUUCGUAAGAUGGUUUUUUAAUUCCCUAAAAAAAUGGUUUUUUAAUGAUAAAUCAGAUAUAACUAAUUUUUUUUUUUGACAAAAAAAUCAGAUAUAACUAAUAUAAACAAUUUUAAGGUUUAAAUAUGUUAUUAGUCUAUGCACUACCAUAAUUUUUGGGUAUUGAUCCACCACUUUUUUUUUUUUUUUUUAGGUCCAUGCAUUUGUAAAAAGAUUAUUAUUGGUCCCUCUGUCGAUCAACGGUUAAAAACAAAAAUAAAUUAAGUGUCACGUGGUCCAAUUAUUACACAUCAUGUGACGUAUUACAAGCUAAAAUUUUGAAAUUAAAAGAAUUCAAAUGAAAUAAUUGUUUUUUAAUUAGUAUCUUUCAAUCAGAUGACCUAUAAACAAUCUAGCCAAAUAGUAUAUAAAUAAUAACAAAUUUUCUUAAAAAACCGUUCUAGCAUGCCAAAAUACAACAUAUGUGCGGAUAAAUGGGAAGGAUUUACUGAUUGAAUAUCAAGUCAUUGCUUAACCAAUAUUCAAAUGCUCCAAAACACGUCACAUUCCAAAAAUAAAUAUGAUAUACAAUAUUUUCUUGAAGACCACAUCCAGUAACACACAUUGAAUAAUUCAUCGUCGAACUAAAUUAUCUUUUGUAGCUAACCUAUUAUUUAGUAAAUGUCAAGCAAAAAGUAGAAACUUUUAAUGGUAAAUAAUAUUCUAAAAUCCAUUAUGAUGGGAUGGUUCCUCCUCAAUUAGUAGAUGAUAAAUGUCUCUGACGGUAUAGCUUUUGUUAGGCGUAAGUUGCCAUUUUCACCUCCCUACCAUCCCAACCUGUAAAAUAAUGUUAGAUAGAAGCUCACUACACUCCCUCCAACAUCUCCUCCUCCCAAGCAAACAAUUGCCGCCAUCUCCCCCAAUCCACCAGUCUAAAGCAUACACCUCUGCAACUAUUACCAACCGAUUCCCUUUUAAUUCAUAAAGACGCUGAAGCCUAUCAUAGAAAUCCCCCCUCGAUCCACUUAUCUGAUCAGAAAAAAGUUGUAAUCUCAUCACCCAAAAUUCGCACCAAAUUAUCAUCAGACCAUAUAUCCAGUUCCAUACUUACCCCUACGAGUUCCCAUCUUUAAACUUAUAUAAAAAUUUGUAGACAUUUUUAUCGACAAAAGAAACUUCGAGAUGUUACUUAUAAAUAAAAUUUCAAUCUAAAAAUGAGUUCUAUAAUAGGAAUAUCCACAUUAAGAAUUUAAAAUACUGUUUUACUUUUUUUUUUGACACAAAAUAUUGUUUUACUUGCAACUAUAUAAAUUAGACUCUUAAAAUGGUACAUACUUUUCUAGAGUUUAACGAGAUAUAUCAUGGUUACAAAAUAGUUUUACACCUCCAUCCAAUAACAACCCAUAUAUUGUCAUUUAAGUUUAUAGUAUUAUAUAACGGCUUUGUAAAAGCCAAAUACUCGAUUGUUAUUAAACACCAACGUAAAACUAGUAUAACUAACAACAUAUGUCCAAUUUUCACUUGUUUUGAAAUAUAAUUUUUAUUUAACUAUUUCACAUAAAUUAAAAAGUUAGAUAAUAUUCAUUAAAAUAAUUCAACUCUAAAAUAUUUUUUUAAAUAUAAAGUAUUUUUCUAAAUAAUACUGUAACAGCAAGAAAAUAGGAAAUUAAGAGAGAUAUUUUUAUAAAAAGAAUAAUUAAUACAUUGAGUAAAUUAAUAAAGACUUCUAUGUUUUAGCUUAAUAAAAUAAGACUUUUUUUUAGGGGAGCUUAAUAAAAUAAGAUUUAUAUAUUUAUUUUUUAAUGACAAAAAAUGACUUGUAUUUAGGACCCGCCUGCUCAAUGUACCAAACAACAUUUAUUAAUUUUUUUUGACAAAACCACAUUUAUUUAUUUUUUUUAAGGACAGAACAACAUUUAUUAAUUAUUCCUUUCUCCCUCAAAAAAAAUUAUUCCUUUAAAAAACAUUUAUGAAUUAUUUAUUAUAAUUAUUUUGGUACAAACUACGGUCACAUUUUAAAAUAAAAGUUGUCCCUAUGUGCAUACAUGCUUUUGUCAACAAGUUCUGCACCCUUUUUUAAGACUCUUUACAGAUAAAGACUUUUGAACCAAGUGUUUAAAAUGAUAUGAUUAAUCAGUUUCAUUAAAUGAUGAAUUGUUCGGUAGAAUCUUAGAUUAACAUGAGUUAAACAAUUUUUGAGCGCUUUUACUUACUUUUCAAUUAAUUUUUGGAUUACCAAAGGUCAUUCUCUUAAGAAUCAAAGAUUACACAUAAAAUAAAUAAAUAAAGACUUCGAGGUUUACCCAUUCGAGUUAUAUGUUUUUAAAGUCACUAACAUCACCAUAUGUUGAUCCAUGUUCGUCUUAUGUAGGGAUAUAGUUAUUGAUAAAUUUUGCAGUUAAAAUAAUAGGUAAAAUAUCUUAUAUUUAGGAACACAUCAGAAAUACCCAAGGAAAAAUACUUUCUUGGUGGUGCCAUAUCAAUGACCCAAAGUAAGAUCAAAUAGGUGAUGGUGUAUAGAGAACGGAAAACUAUUUUUGUACAUUCAUUACCCAUUCUAUAUAUGAGAGUGAUGUGCGUUGGAUAGAUAUGAGAUAAGAAUAUGAUAUGAUAGAAAGAAAAAAAAAAAUAUAGAGAAAAUGUUGUAUUGAAUGGGUGUAAAAAAAUAAAAGGUCUAGAGAAAAAAGAGAGGGAGUAUUAAACAACACAGAGAGAAAAAAAAAAAGCACUUGGAAACUACUCACCAAAGGGGAGUUCGGGAAAAGUAGAAAGUUUGACUGAUCCGUAUCCAUUAUACAUGUUAAAAUACUCACCUUCAAACAUGAAAUUUAAGAAUCAUAAGAUAUUUAAGGUUUAAAUAUAUCCAAUGACUUUUGAAUAACAUAGAACGGAAAAAAAAAUUAAAGACAUAAAAAUGGAAUAUAUUAACAACGGUAGGGAAACACCUAAGUAUAAGAUGUACUAAAAGUGUCACCCCUAAUAAUAGUCAGACAUGCAAAGUAAAGUCAAAGCAAAGGUCAAUCGAUACUCAGACAUAAUAAAGGGUCCGACCACCAUCUUUGAGUACCGAACAUAAAAUUGACUUUGUUAGCUUUAAGCCACCAUAAAGAGUGAAAUUUUACUUUAUCUGCUAGUUGUUCAACGGUGGUUUGGAUGUUAUUAUAAAGCAUAUUAUUACGUUCAUUCCAAACCAACCAAAUAAAAAGUAACCAAAUAAGUUGGAGAAAUUAUUGACGAGCCUUUGAGUGACCUGUAGAGUGAGUAAACUGAAUGAAAUGGUCAUCAAUAUUAAGGAGGUCGACACCUGACAUUCUGAUCCAAGACCUGAUAAGAUGCCACAAUGAACCAAAAGUGGCGCAGUGAAUAAAUAAAUGAGACGCAAUCUCUGCCAUACCGCACCCUGUAACACACAUAACUGCCUCGCCAUUGAUUAUGCCACGCCUUAGAAGAUGGUUCUUAGUCGGCAACCUAUCUCGCAACAAUCGCCAAGUAAAAAUGGAAACCUUCAGCGGCACCUGCUUAUGCCAGAUAAGAUCUCCUAUAGUAACAUCUGGAGGUUCAGCCUGAGUAGUAAGGUGAUGAUAGACGCCUCCCACACUGUAACCACCAGCAGAAUCAGAGUCCCAUUGCCACCUGUCAGAAAUAUUAUGCUGCAAAACGACACCAUUAAUUAAUUGCCUACACUCCUCUAGCAUCUCCUCCUCCCACACCCUCAACAUUCGCCUCCAACCCCACGCCUCUCCGUCAACCUCCCCACCAAUAGCAACCAUAUCAGCCACCGUACUCAGUUUAUUAGACGCUAAGUCAAAUAAACAACGGAACCUGGUACAAAAAGGAGUAUCACCAAGCCACCUAUCAUGCAAAAAGAAAGUACUAGUGCCAUCCCCUACCUUUUUCGAUACCCUCUGUGCAAACCAACCACCCUCUACAUCGCCUACCCCAUCCCUAAUCUUAGCUACUUCCCGCCACCAAGAUGAAACACUCCGGCCCCCAACCUCCAACCGCCCAACUGUCUCACCAUACCGCGCUACCAGAACCCUAUACCAUAACCCGCCUCUAUCCACCAUCAUUCGCCAACACCAUUUGCCUAACAAAGCGCUAUUAAAUUCCUGCAACCUCCUUACCCCCAACCCUCCAUACUCCCUACACAAACAAACAGAGCUCCAAGCAAUCUAGGAAAUUUUCCUGUUAUCCUCACUCCCUCCCCAAAAAAAAUGUAUUAAACAUAGAUUCAAUGAUAGAGAUUAUACCUGACGGAGCCUUGAAGAAUGAAAGAGCAUAAACAAAUAACACGGUCAGGACAGACUUCAGAAGGACCAACCGACCUCCAUAUGAAAGAAAACGGCUUUGCCACCUCCAUAGAACGAAAAUUUGAAAUAAAGAAAAUGCAAACAUAUGAAUUCAUGAUGAAAUUGUGAGUAAUAAAAUAGUGGUAUUGGUUGAGAAAGUGUAAACAUAAUCACAAACAACGAGUCAAAAUUUCUAAUCGAAAUUGCAAUGAGGAAUUUAAAAUUGAAACUCUAGUUACGAAUAAGAUUAGAGUUAAGGAUUAGAGUUCUUUUGUAAAUUGCAAACAAAACCUUACUUUCUUUUUAUCUUGUAUGGAUUCGAGUUAAAAAUUAUUGCAGUUAAAUCUAUAAACUUAAGUGUUUAAGACUCAAUAUAUUGAGUCAAAAAAAGGUCAUUGUAUAACCUCAUAUAAAAUUUACAAAAAAAAUAUAGACACAAAAAAAAAAUAUAAAAAAAAUACUAAUAUGAAGAGAGAAAAAAACUUGAACGAUUUUGGUCUAUGUUGAUCCCCUUCUAACUCCGUAUUACUAAUUAAUGAUUAAGGUCCAUUUGGUUUAAGAUUUACAAUUAAAUAAAAAUAUCCAAAUAGUUACAAACUAUGAAGAUGAAAGAGACAUCUUACGAAAAUGAAAGAGACAUUAUAGUUUUAGAGAAGACUAAAAUGUGAAAUUAAGGAGUAUAUUUUAAUCAAAAGUCUCACCUUUGUUUUUUUGGCUCAAAAAGACGGUUAAGACACACUUAAUGGAAAUCACUCGAUGCCAAGAUCACUCAUCUACUUAAAAGUUCAAACUUUAGCAAAAAAACAAACUUAAACUUUUGAACAGAAAAAACAAAUUACAAUACCAAAGGCCAUGGCCACAUAACUCUAUAAGUUAAGGUUCACUACAUGUUAAUUCUCGCAAAAACAAAAAACACACAAUUUAAAAUUAAUUUUAGAGAGAAAAAUGAUCUAUGUAGUGGUUGUUCUUGGAGGGUUACCUUUGUUCUCAAAUGCACAAUUAGAUCAAUACUUUUACCGUGAAACUUGUCCCCAAUUGCAUUUUAUUGUACACAAAGUUGUAUGAAAAGCUUCAUUAAGAGAUACUCGUAUUUUUGCUAGUCUUGUUAGGCUUCACUUUCAUGAUUGUUUUGUUCAAGUAAGUCCUUCAAACUAAUUUUCAGUUUUGUUUUCUAAUUACAUGGUUAAAUUUGUAAGAUAUAUAAAAGACAUGCUUUUAUCUAAUCAUGGUUUUGAACAUUUUCACAUGGAAAAUCGUGGUUAAAUUGAUUUACUCUAUAAACUAUCGCAUAAAUUAUUUUGAAAAGUUUACUGAAAUAAACUAAAAUAUAUGUUGAUAAACUAUUUUUACAAAUAUUUGCUCUUUUAUUUUUAUUUUUAUUUUUGUUAAUGACAAAUGUUAGUAUAUUAAUUAUUAUGUUGGUAUUUUUUUUUUCUCAUGUCAUGAUUCAAACUCAUAAUUUUUAACUAAUUAACUCUUUCAAAAUGUUAGUUCAACCAAGUGAGUUAUCCAUCCUCAUUUCCCAUAAAUAUUUAUACUCUAAGAUAUGUCCGAAUAAAAAAUCGAUAAAUUAUUCCAAAAGGACCAAAAGCAUCCAUAUAGUACUAAUGUACUUUUGCUGCAUAUUGUAACAAAAUAAAUAAAUUGCAAAUUUAUUUUUAAAAGAUUAAUUUUUAUGCACCGGUGGUGUAAUUUAGACAACAUCUAAAAAUAAAUCAAAUACUCUAUAUACACCAAAGUAAAAUAAAAUAGCGUAAAAGUAGAGAACAAUAACACAUGCGAAGUAGAUUGAUUUUUUUUUUUUGACAAAGUAGAUUGAAAUUUUAGCACCCCAAAACAUCAUAUGUCAAAUGCAGCUAUUGAUAAAAAGAACAACCUAACAAAAAAGUUGAUGCGUCUCACAUCGGUUUUUUUCCGUAUUGUUCUCACAUCGGUUUCAUAAUGAUGAGUGUGUUUCACAUGAUCUUGAAUUAUCAAAUUCAAUUCUACAAUCCUUUCAAUCAAUACAAGAAAAUUGACAUUACUAUAUUGAUAUGAUUUAUUUUUUUGAAAUCUUUGAAAAACAAGAUUAAGAUUAAUUUCUCUAGUAUGCCCAUUUUCAACUAAAAUAGAAUUUGUUUUGCUUUGAAAAUCAUCUCAAUUUCUUGCAUAAUAAAUAUCAUCGAUAUUUUUAAUAUUAAUGAGGCACAUUAUUAGGAACAAAAGGCCCAAAAAAAUAUCACUAAUUUCUUCGAUAAUAAAUUUUUUAGCAUAUUAUUAAGAACAACAAAAAAAAAUAGAGGAGAGUGUAUAUAGAAAUAUUUAUGCUACAUGUGGUAUAUAUAGAAAAUCUCGUUAAAAGGGCCAAAAACAAUAACAGAUUUCAGCCUAGUCUUUUAUCAUGUCAAAGUUUGGGCCUUUCAGAGAAUUUUGCUAUAUAUACCCCCAAAAUCCAAAUAUUUCUAUAUACACCCCACCUUUAAAAAAAUUGGGCCCCCUACCGGCAUGGCCCUUGGUCGUCGUACUCCCCGCCUAUGCCCUAGGGCUGGCCUUGACACCCAUUAGAACAACCCCCACCAAAACCAACUUCACCGCCUAAAUCAAACUCCAUCGCGAAACGCCACUAAAAACAAAAUCCAUAAACCACCUUCACCCGCUUAUCAAGUAAUAUAGUUGCUAGUUGCUACACAGUUUAAAUAUGAAAAAAAAAAAAAAAGUUUAAAUCUUGUCCUCCGUAAAUAAUGUCCUUAUUAGCCUUUUUUUAAUAGCAAUGACCUUAUUAACUAUCAAUUAAGUUACACUUAGGAAACCUAUAAAAUUUAUUAACCAUGCUUUAAGAUUACAGUUAGAUGCAUAAGGGAUCAUUUCGUUAGUCAAAUUUGUACAGCCUUUAUCAUAAGUCUAUGAGUAAAGUUUCAAAAUAUAUAUCAUAUACAUGUGAUGCAUCGGUUUUGCUGAACAACACAGCAACAAUCGUAAGCGAACAACAAGCUUUUCCAAAUAUCAACUCCAUAAGAGGUUUGGAUGUUGUGAUUCUUGUGAACAAAAUCAAGACAAACUUUGGCUAAUCAAAACCUUCCAACACUACUGAUCUAGUUGUACUCUCUAGUAUAAUGUAUGUGUUUGUGUUGCAAUUAUUUAUGCAAAAUAGAAAUUAAUGAAUCAAAAUAUAAUUUUGGAAUUAAAUCAUGUACAAUUUAGCAUCUUAAUUAACUCCAAAAAAAUUAGCAUCUUCGUUAAUCUUGGCUGACUUAAAAAUAUUUUUUUCUUAUUUGGUUGGAUUCAGAAUUUUAGUAUAUUACUUGUUGAUUAUGUUAAGGAUUUAAGUUUCAUAUCAAUCACAACCGUUAAGUUAUUAAAAACAUGGCUUAAAAUAUUGCAACCCUUAUCUCAAAAUCAGUUAAACAAUCCAACUCUAAACAUUUUCUUAAUAAAAAUGUACAUAUGAUAGUAUUGAUAUGUAUGUAUGGAUGUGUUUAUAUAUAUAUAUAUAUAUGCAUGUUUCGAGUUCAGGUGGUCGUACAUUUGGUAGUCUUUUUGUUGAUUGAUUGUAUAACUUCAACAACACCGGGAAUAAAACCUGAUCCUACUCUUGACACAAGUUACUUAAAAAAAAACUACGCAAAAUAUGCCCCCAAAAUGGAACCGGACCCAACCGUCCCUAAUUGAUUUCUUUGUGUCUAGUUUUCUCUAUGUGAAUGAAUUUUUAUACUUUUCAUGUUGAAUUGUUGGUGUUUUAGGGUUGAAAUCGAAUGAGUUUUCCAUUUGAAUCGAGUUUUCAGUUUUGAUUUUUGGGUUGUGAUUUCGUUUUCAAUGAAAUCUGAGCUUUUUGUUGUGAUUUUAGUUAAGUAUAUCAAUUUGGGACCUUUUAAGUUUCUUUUUUGAAGAUGUUGAAGAAUAUGAUGAAUCAAGAUAUUUGUGAUUUUUUAUAUUUAUAAAAAUUAUCAAUUUGUUGAUUUCGAUAAUUUAUGCAGGAGCCGAGUUCGAACCCCGAACAUCUCACUUCUCUACAUUUAAUUGUGUGACCUCUAGACUAGGCUACAAGCAAAAAAAAAAAAAACCACACAAACACUUUUAACGAUGUUGUUUAAAUUGACUUAUUUAAGAUCAUCUACUAACAUAAGUUUUUUGAGAUUAUUUCUUCAAAAAAAUAAGUUUUUUGAGACUAUUUAUGAGAGCUUAUGAAAAUAGUUUAUGACAACUUUCAUAAGCUUUUUUCAACUCAUUUUUCAUAAGUUCUCCAAUAUAGUAUACAAAAACAACUUAUAGUAUAUACAAAAACAAUUUUACCUUAUUUUAUCUUUUAAUAUAAAAACAGCUUGAUUUAAAAAAUGAUUAAAUAAUAUUUUUUAAUUUUUAAAAAUUGACUUUCUUCUGUAAUGGUUGAAGUUUGAACCUCAGAUCUUCUUAUAUAUAUAUAUAUAUAUAUAUAUUAUGUAUUAUUCCUACCAACCCGCCAACUGAGUUAAAACAUUUACAAAGAUGAUUAAAUAUUAAAUACUCCCUCCGUCCCUAAUUAUAAGACCCUUUUGAGAAUUUAUUUUUUUCCUUUUUAUAAGACACUUUUGUUAUUUCCAACUACAUUAAUUAUUUCUUUACAUACAUGCCCCUAUUUAUUAUACAUCUUUUUCUUCAAUCAGCAAUAAGUAGCAUAUGGAAAACAUAAACUAACUCUCACUCUUAAGGAUAAAAUUGUAAAAACAAUAGUGAUUACAAACAACUUUAAUACAAAUAUCUGCUUUUUUAAUUCGCGUGAUUUUAACAAAAGGGUCUUAUAAUUAGGGACAGAGGGAGUAGUUGUUAAAAUCUAAGUAAAAAAAUACAGUGAAAAUUAAGUAAAAAAAUACAGUGAAAAUAAAAACAUUUGUAAAUUCUACACCGUUCAACCGAGAGACAUAAACCCACUCAUUUCUGAAACUUAAACCCUAGCAGCAACCUUUGUUUUGUCUCAUCAAAAACCCUAAAAACCAAAAAUCGCAAAUUUCCCAAAUCUCUCAAACCCUAAUCAUGCCCGCUAAGAACAACCGCAAGAAGAAUUCACGCGACCCAUUUUUCGACGACGGUCCCACCAAACGCCGCAGAGUAGCCGCCGACGAGGAUCAAGAUGCUGAGAUUGAAAGUGAUAGUGAUUUUGACGAAGAUGGUUUUGUUCCAUCGAAAGGUGAAGGGGAACAGGAGUCUGAAGAGGAAACUACAGCUGAAGCUAGGAAGAGACUAGCUGAGGAGUAUUUGAGGAAGUUUAAAGACAGUGCUAGGAGAGAGAAGGAACAAAGAGAUGAAGAUGGUGAUGGAAGUGAUGAUGAUGAUGAUGAAGAUGAGGAUGGGGUGAGGGAUUCGCUAUCUACGAAGAUGAUAAAGGAGCAGCAAGAGGAGAGUGGUCGCAUCAGAAAAGCUAUUGCUUCAAGGUUUGAUUUUGAUAAAUUUGAUACAUUAUUCAUUAAUUGCCUGUGUUAUGUUAUGUUGUGUUUUGAUUUUUAAUUUUGAUUUGAUUUCAAUGCGACCCUUUUGGUUAAAUUGCUUGUUUUUGUGUUUUGAUUUUGAUUUCAAUGUGACCCUUUUGGUUUAAUUGAAUAAUUGAAGCAAUGGGUUGUGUUUAUUUUGAUUUCAAUGUGACUCUUUUGGCUAAAUUGACUGAUUUGGGUGUGUUAUUUAGGGUUAAAUUGGAUGGUGAUGGUGGAUUUGAAAAUUUAGUGAAGCAUAAACAAUGUGUCACUGCGGUGGCUUUAUCUGAGGACGAUUCUAAGGGGUUUUCGGCUUCGAAAGAUGGAAGCAUUGUGCAAUGGGAUGUUGAGAGCGGGAAAUGUGAGAGGUAUAAGUGGCCCAUUGAUUCGGUUCUGAAGUCUCAUGGCUUGAAGGAUCCUCAAGGUUCUGCUGCAAAGCAAAGUAGACAGAUUUUGACUUUGGCUGCAAGUUCGGAUGGUCGCUAUUUGGCAACUGGGGGACUUGAUCGUCAUAUUCAUAUAUGGGAUACACGCACUAGGGAGCAUCUUCAGGUACUUUUGCCUUUUCAUUCUUUGAAAAUAAAAUUGUUGGAUAUUUUUUGGGGGUGGAACAGAUUAGUACAGCUCUAGGUGCACUGUGAGAUUGUUUAUUGUUUGUAUUUACAGAUUAAGGAAAAUUUAUACUCCUUUCCCUUGUUUGGUAACAUUCAUUUUUCGAUAAAAUUGUCACAUAACUGUUGAUAUGUCUUGCUCUAUUGAUGUGUUUGAUAUAUUUGUUGUGAAUUGUGUGUAAAUUUGAUUCAAACUGAGCAAGAUUUUAUAUGUUAACAUAAGCGGUUAACUUACCUUAAUUUGUAUUUAGUAAUUCUUGGCAUUUGCACAAGUACAAGCCUAUUUAUGACCAAAUCUGUAGGAUAUUGGACUGUUUAGUUGGGACUUGUUAUUGUUGGUGUUUGAUUUUGUCUGUUGUCUUUUACAGGCUUUUCCUGGUCAUAGAGGUCCUGUUUCUUCUCUGGCUUUUAGGGAAGGAAGUACCGAGCUAUUUUCUGGAUCGUUUGAUCGAACGGUUAAGAUAUGGAAUGUUGAGGACAGAACUUACAUGAAUACUCUGUUUGGCCAUCAAAGUGAAGUAUUAAGUAUUGAUUGUUUACGCAAAGAAAGGGUAUUAUCUGCUGGCCGUGAUCGUAGUAUGCAGUUGUUUAAGGUAAUCUCACCAAGAUGAAGUCUUAAGUAUAUGGCUGCAAAACCAUAUUGUAUAUGUCGGAUAAUUUCUCCCACCAUUGCUCUGUUUUUGGAAAAAUAUCAAGUGAUUAAUUAAUAGGAAUUUUUUUUCCUGUCAUCAAAUGCUGUUUCUUGGGUUAUACUGAUUUCCAUUUCCUCAUGAGACUUUUUUCUGAAUAUUUACUGAUGUGUAUUCUCUGUAAUUUAGGUCCACGAAGAGUCACGUCUUGUAUUUCGUGCUCCUGCAUCUUCUUUAGAAUGCUGCUGUUUUGUUAAUAAUGAGGAAUUCUUGUCUGGUUCGGAUGAUGGUAGCAUUGAGCUUUGGGGUGCAGUACGAAAGAAGCCUAUUCAUAUUUUGAGGAAUGCUCAUGCUUUACUGACAGAUAGCAAGAAAUCUGACCAAAACGAUAGUGAAAGACUACCCAACGGUAACCUAGGUAAGCCUUUAAAUACUAUAUUAAUAGUUCCUUCAGAAAAUUACUUCUUAUGUGCAACGUAUUUUCUUAUCCGUUGCUUACUUUUCUGAAUGUGUUCUAUUUCCUCUAUGAUUCUAUUUUCAUUUACUCCAUAAAUAUAUCUGUCAUUUGUGUAUUUGUAGUGUGAGUUUAGUUAUAGUUAGCAUUAUGUUAGGAUCAUAAAGUGAUACCAUUAUCUUCACUAUGCAGAAAAUGGUCACCACCAUCCCGAGAAUCACCAUUGUUCUUCAGUACACUCUUGGGUCAGUGCAGUGACCGUCUGUAGGAACAGUGACCUUGCCGCAUCUGGUGCGGGUAAUGGUUUUGUUAGAUUAUGGACAAUUGAAAACGAGACCAAAGACAUUAAACCUCUUCAUAAUGUACCGUUGGUAAGUAGAAGGAUAGCAACUAAACUCAUUUAUCGGAUUCAUAUUCAUGCUUAGCUGUAAUUGCAGUUGAAAAUUUCACUGGCAUGUAAUAAAUCUUUUGAAUCACAGGUUGGGUUUGUGAAUUCUUUGGCUUUUGCGAAAUCAGCAAAAUUCCUUGUUGCUGGAGUUGGGCAGGUACUUAAACUGUUAAAUUCGGCAUGUAUUGCUCUGUUUUUCUUCUUUGGUAUACAUUUUACUUAGUUAUCUCUUUGACUCUGCUUGCGAGUUUGGAGGGAAGGGGAGGGGAAGGCUUUGGGGGGAUGGGAGUAGAGGGAAAAAUAGAGAAAUCUUCCAUCUUUUUUGAAAUAGUGAUCUUGUAGAGAAUGGUAAAUGAAUGUUUAUGAUUCAAUAUAUUUUUCAUUUUGAGAGUAUGAUAACAUAGAUUGGAUUUAAAGAAAUUAUCUAAACCCUCCAAAACCCUUAUACAAUACAGUUUGAGUUUCCCCAUUUUGAGGGAAUUUUGUAUUUGAAGAAAAAUAAACCCCUCAAAGCCAUCCCCUCCCAAAACCCUUCAUCCCUUACACUUCAUUAUUUCUUUUACCCAAAGCCCUCCCUCUCCCUUCCCCUUGCAAACAGAGCCUUAAACUCUAUUGACAGAAAAGCUAGAGCCUUAAAAAAUUUCUACUUCGGAUAUUUUCUUUUACCGAACUACUUUAGAAGUUAGUUAAUUGUUAUGGGAUUAUCAUAAGCAUAUUAAUAUAGAACUAAAUUUUCUGUGAUUAUGGAAUUUUGUGCUCUCUUGCUUUGUUUUCCUAAUACUCUUACCCCCUAAAAACUCUAUUGCUUAGAGUGCAUUUGAUGGAGUGGUUGUCUUACAGACAAUUCUGUGUAUGUUAGCUUGUGACUGUGAAGCUUCCCCCAUAUUAAGUGAUUAAAGUGGAGGAAUUAAUAACAUUAAGGGUCUCAGGUCUAGAUUUGGCUGCACUCACUCAGUUAGGUUUCAGGUUGACCACCACAAUUGUAUCCCAAAAUGGAUAUCGCUACAGCGGGGCUGACGAACCUUUAGUAAACUACAUUUAGAAGGCUAAUUUCAUUUUCUUGACUUCUUUUAUACGCCAAUUAUAUGAAUUAGACUUGUUUUAUCUAGUAACUAGUAAAUAGGUGGCCACCAACAUGGAAGUGGUUGAAAUUAUUGGAUGAGAGAGUGAUUGAUUGCUUCAAUUCUAUGGAAACACCAUUGGAUAUUGUUUACACUUUUAGAUAGAUUGCAUUUUACAGAAUAAUUGUGGCUAUUGUUGGUUAGUCAUACCCAUUGACGAUCAAAUUGUUUGACUUCACAAAAAACAAACCUUGAUCAUCAAACCUAACUCUUGCUUUUAACUGUAAGCUUAGCUGAACUCGAAAGUUGGGAGGGGAUACAGAAAAGAUGUUUAGGACUCUCAACAUAUAAUCUCUGUAUAGAUUGAGGAUUUAUUAUUAGUUCAUUCAUUAGUGUAUUGUUUAAUACUUUUAACUUAACAAAAUGUCUGUUUACAGGAACCGCGUCUAGGAAGAUGGGGAAGAAUACGUGAAGCUCGAAAUGGAGUUUCAAUUCUUCCACUUAAAUUGUCAUGAGAUGUGAGGCAACGAUUGUACCUCUUCAAUUUUGACUAAUUCCAAAUGCAACAUUGAGUUGAAAGAUAUCUCUGUCCGUGAUCUUAAUUAUAUGUAUCAAUUACAUUUGUUAUUAUUAGUGCCCGAUUGUUUGAGAAUUUUGAAUCAUGAUACGAGGUUCCUACAUUGAAAAAGACUUGAGGACUCGAGUUGAACUUAUUUAGUUUCAAGAAAUCAACUGUUUUUUCUUUUAUAGACAUUUAUUCACUUAGGCAUCUAUGAGUAAGCAUGACUUUGGUUCUAUAAUAACAAAAAAUGAUUUGGAUUGAAUUAAUCUUAGAAAAUCGAUUUCCAUGAAAAAUGGUGAUUUAUGAUUUUGAUGGUUUGGAUCAGAAUUGUUUGAGAACAAGUUGGUCACUGCAGAAGCUAAAAAUAUUAGCUUUUAGGUUUAAUUGACUUUGGUUCUACAAUAACAAAAAAUGAUUUGGAUUGAAUUAAUCUUAGAAAAUCAAUUUCCAUGAAAAAUGGUGGUUUAUGAUUUUGAAAGUUUGGAUCAGAAUUGUUUGAGAACAAGUUGGUCAUUGCAGAAGCUAAAGAUAUUAGCUUUUAGGUCUAAUUGACUGAGGCUGUAAUCAAUGUUAAAGUUGGAAGCCAAACAUAAUUUUUUGUGAUUUAAGUAGAAUCAUUUAUGGUGCUCCAAUCAAUUCUACUCAAAAGCAAUUCUGCACUAACAAAAUCAAUUUUGACAUUCCUGAAAGUGGAACCAAGUGGAACCAAACUUGCAAUAAAUUAUUUUUUAGGUCAUCAAAAGCGAAUUUAUGCAGACUAUUUAGUUAACAAGAUUGGAAUGAUCAAAACUUUACCCACUAUUAUAGUGUAAAUUAAUUUGGGAAAAACUUUUUCCGUUGUAUAUACUACAAGAUUUAUGAACAAUCGGGACGAAUUAUAGAACCCGAAUGUCAUAAACAACUAUUGGAGUUUGAUCGUGAGGAGGUAAGUAUACUAUUUUGUUACAGUUAGAGGAAAAGGUUUUGGUAGACUAAAUAGGUUCCAUCUUAAUUAAUAACUGGAGUAAAAAGUUUCACUCUCUAAGUA
rnacentral:lncRNA from 1 species